rnacentral:lncRNA from 1 species
AACUGAAGUGUUGGCUCAUAUAUAAGUUGGUACUGAUAAACUGUUCGUCUUGGUGACCUGUUUGGGUAGCCAAAACGAUCUGUUGAGAGUUGAGACAGACCCGUCUUCUCUUUGUUAACUCUUGUCAGUAACAUGGCAUGUUUGAGGACAAAACUGAACUGAAGAGUGGCUUCUUCUUCUUUUAAAAAAAAAUCAGAGUUGUGUGUGUGCGCGCGCGCGCGCGCGUGUUCUUCAUUUAUUUUUCUAGAACAGUGUGUUCUUGGGUGCUAUUGAGCAAAGGUCCAGUAAGAAGGGCCUCAUGGGCCGGGCCUGGAGUAUCUACUGCAGCGUGUCGUGUACAGGCUAGGGAUGAUGUUUACCAGGUUGAAGUCCUCUCAAAAAAAAAAAAAAAAAAAACAGGUUGAAGUUGAGCCACACGGGUCUGCCAGUCACGUCACAUCGACCCGUACGGUUAUUUCUCACCUCGACGUCGUCGGAACCUUGCUGCACGGUGAGCCGCCACUCGCCGCGGCCGUCCCCGAACGCCUCGCCGCAGCCGGCCCAGCGGUCCCAAGCGCCCAUCAUCUCCUCUUCCCCGACGCCGUCGUACUCCAUCCCGGCCACCCGGCAGCCGAACCUGACGCGCUCCAGCACGCCGAACCGCCGCGCGUACGAGCGCAGGUACGCCGUGACCUGGGCGUGGUCCGGGAACACCUCGGCCACGUCCGGCGGCCAGGGGAAGUCGGAGAACUCGUAGAACGGCCGCGGCGUCUGCAGCCGCGUGGACGCCAGCGCGCGCGCCCACACGCCGCCGAUGGCUUCCUCGGACGCCUCGAAGACGACCGGCAGGAAGCCCCGCGCCAGCAGGUGCUUGCACGCCGCCAGGCCGCUCACGCCGGCGCCCACGAUGGCCACCCUCUUCUUCUCCAUUGGGAAGAAGCAAUGCGGCCGCGCGUGUGUCGAUUAGCUAGCUGGCGGCCGUGCUGUGGCCGUUUUUUGGCGUUAAUUUGUGGGGGAGUGGAAGGAAGACUGGCGGUGAUAUAUAGAGAGCGUGGCACGGUGACAGGCUGGGUGGGUCUGGAUCGACUUUGCCGUCACGUGUUUUGGAACGAUGAUAAAGGAUGAAAGCAAAGUGUGGCACUCAACUCAGGUGCUGCCGUACUGCUGCACUGCUUGCUUGUUUGAUCGUAUGGUUGGUUCAAGUUAACUGGUAGCAGGAACUAGAAAUCUGUUUUAGUAACCCAAGUCUUCACUUAGCACUGGUAAAUUUGAGCGUGGAAAUUCCAAAUGGACACGUGAACACCCCCUGCCGUCAUCGUCAAAAAGGAGAACAUCUAUGUGUCGAUUCAGGGAAGGACGAUACCGCUGCAUAUCCACACGGUAAAUUCGUCGUGAUGGCCCAAGCGGAAAAGAGGGGCAAAUGAUAAUUUUCUCAACAUGCUAAAUCAAUCUGUGUUCCUUUUAUGUUUAUACACGGAGCAUUUGCUGGAGCAGGAGCAAUUUCAAAAUCUAUAGGGGCAAAUGAUAAUUUUCUCUGUUCUGCUAAAGGAGUUACUCAUGCUCUGUACCUGGCUCCUCCUGAUCUUUCAAAUUGGCUCCACCUGGCUCUUGAUCUCCUAAAUUGGCUCCAGUAUCAUCUUCGGGUGGACUGGAGUUAAGAUCUGGUAUAGGCAUGGAGGCUAGAGACAAGCGGAGGCCUGAAGGCUGGACACAAGCGGACUGGAAGAUGACGCAGUGCUGCUGCAGAGGAAGUUGGCCGCAGGACCGGAGAGGGGAAGGAGGAGGCGACCUGCAGAGGAGAGAGCGCAGGCGGCUAGAGUGCGCAGGUGACCUGGAGUGGCAUGCGGAGAUUUGAAUUCAAACUGUCUUUGUAUUAAUGGACCUGUAAUUAUUUUAAUUCGGAGGAUGUUUUUGUAAAGCUGUGUUUGUGAAGUGGCUGCAACAAGAAUAUCGGAACAGAGGGAGUAGCUUUCUCUAAUGCCACAAGUGUAGCAUCCACGGUAUUUUGGAGUCGCAGGGAUCUCAACUGGAACUUGCAUUAGAAACUGGUAGCAGGAAUUAGAAAGUUGUUUAGUAACCCAAGUAUUCAUUUAGCACUGGAAAAUUAGAGCGUGUGAAUUCCAAAUGGACACGCAAAGAGCGUGUGAAUUCCAAACGGACACGCAAAGGCUUAGGGCCUCUUUGAUUCGUAGGAUUGGAAGAAAAUACAAGAAUAGAAAAAAUGAAGGAUUUCAAUGUCAUGUACACUUGAUCCAUGCCCGUAGGGUGCUUCGGAUCGGGAGUAACCACUCUGGAAAGGACAUAGGAAAGAGGGAUGCCUACAAAAUGAUCCGCGAUGGUGCGAGGAUAGGGCGGAGGAGGAAGAAGGUGGGUGACGAAGUUGGGACUUCGACAAUGUCCAUAUUAGUGGACUUAUAUCUAGGAAAGUUUCGAGUGUAUGUGUUGGCGAUCUCGUCGUCUAACAAGGACACAGGGGACACGAUUUACCCAGGUGUGGGGAUUGGGUGUGGAUGGAGAGGAGCGCGGAGAGGAGAGCGGGCAGGGGAGGCCGAAGUCGACCGCGGGAAAACUCGUGGCGCUCAUGUCGGAGUCAGACAAGAGGGCGGCGGUGCUGGCCUAUUUAGGAAACCUUCCACGUCAAUGCGCCAGCUAGCUAGACCCAACAGGUGGGCCUGCCCAGUCAUUUUUGGUCUUAGAUGGUAGCGACCGAACGGUUAAGAAAAUCCGGUGUUUUUAGUAAAAAAAACAUAGAUUGGUACUGAACUGAACCCUAGCCACAGUACGGUGGUUUUCUGUAAUUUAUAAAAAAAAAACACACCUCAGCUCUUCAUCUCCGGUCGGCCCAGCAACUCGAUCCUCACCCAGCCAUGAUGGCCUGCCCAUGAAAAUCGCUUGGCUCUUCUGUCCCUGGCUUUGGAUCUAAACAUUGGUCGCAUCUCGGUGGCUUUUGAUUGUUUGCUUGUGAUCGAGACUUCAAGAGUACGUGGCAGAGGGACUUAUGUUAUUAUAGUGUUAUCACUAGAGAGAACGAAGAAAGGAGGGGACUGUUUGAGGAGGUUACUUUUAAGCAUGAGAAGAGAUAUACUACUUUCCUCGUCCUCACAAAGAAUGGCAUGCACGAAUUUCAAGAUUUUACUUUGACUAAUAAUUAGGCUAAUGAUUUGAGAGUUUUAUGAUACAAAAACUAUGUCAUUGGAUUCGUAGUUCAAAAACCUUUGCAACAAUAUAAAAUUUGUAACAUAUAACUUACAUAUAUUAGUGUAAUCUUUGGUCAAAAUUCGAUCUCGAAAAGCGUGGAGUGACUCUUUGUGAAAUGGAGGGAGUAAUGUAGUAGAUGCUAGGGCUCAUUUCCCCCCUUUCUAUUCCUCUUCUCUCAGCCCCCUGCUACAGCUCCGAGUCCUCCAAGCCGCGCCUCCGCCUCCUCUCUCCCUUCUCUCUGGCGGCUCUGCCGGCCGAAGAGGACGGAGAGGAUGGAGAGCGGGGGGGGGGGGGGGGGGGGCUGGGUCUGGUGAUAUGUAUAUUAAAGUAGUUGCCUUAGGGUAGUUUUCUACAGGAACUUCAGCACCGGUUUUGAGGCGCCGGUUGCUCGUCGGUUUGGUCGUUCUUGCUGUCGUCGUCUGCAUCGCGCUUCUCAGUCUGCACGGCAACGGUUCAACCUCCGAUUUGGUUUCCUUUUUCAAUAAAAGCCUCUGCCUAGAUCUGGAUUUCUCUGCUGCCAUGGAUUUCAUGGCUGGCGCUGGAUCUAAGGCCCUCCCCGUAGUAUCCAAAAUAAAUCCCUGUUAUUUUGCCAGAUUUGUUCUCCACAAAACUUUAUUCCUGGCGAGCUUGUUCUGAUCUUAUCUCCAUGACCGCCUUGAAGAUCUUGUGGGCUGGUUUAGAGUUGGGGCAUGAUUUCUUUUUGAAUCUCUUGGCCCCUUCUCACUGCUACUCGGUGAUUCGCCUCCUUACAAUCAUCUGCAUCGAAGUAGCUAGGACUAGUUCUGGUCGUUGCAUCUGUAUUGUUGUUUGCCACUGCUCCUCUCAACCUCUUGCUUGGAGGCCCGCGUCACGGCUCUAGGGCAUGGUCUUCAACAUACAGAUUUGGCGGCUCCAUAUAGACCUUCGUCUGGUGGUUUCAGCCCGUUGCAGGGGCAAGAUUCGGUUUCCGUCGUCGUCUGACCUUACUCAUUAUGGUCUCUUGGCGUCGGAAUCUCCUAUUGUGGGUGCCAUGGCUCGAUCUUCCUCAUCAUCUCUUGCCUUGGCUACUCUGUUUGUUCCUCCGUGCUCGGAGGCAGGUGGUCGUUCAGAAGGUGCUUCGUUUUGCCGGUGGCGGCCAAUUUUGCUGCUUGCUGAUGGUGAGUUCAGCAGCGGUCAACAGCGACGCUUCCCGAUGGACAGGUGGCCGGUACCCUCUACCGUGGAAGCUCGAGGAGGCGUUCAAGAUGCGUGGCGAUCCGUCCUUCUGGUGUCUCCCCACGUGUACCCAAGGGUCUUGUUUGUAAUUUUUAAUUUUCUCAGGAACCAGUUUGUACCUCGAGUUGUAAUCCUCUGUAGGACUUUUGUCCUACUGUUUUAAUGAAGCAGUGCCUUUUUACAAAAAAAAAAUGUAGUAGAUGCUCAUAACUUACCUAGAGCGGCUUGACCUCUUCCUUUUUGUCUCCGUGUUUAUUUAUUACUUUCUCUGUCCAACAAAAGAUGUCUCAAGUUUGUAAAAAUUUAGAUGUAUCGAGACAUGACUUAAUGUAUAAGUGCAUUCAAAUUUAGUCAAAGUUGAAACAUCCUUUGUUUCGACGGAGCUGGUAGAAGUGUCGACGAUGGCUUGGUUGAAUACAGUUGAUCAGCGGUUGUUUCCUAGUGUUGCACUUGUUCCUUUGUAACCUUUUUUUUCGGGGAGUUGUUCCUUUGUAACUUGUGUGCUAAUAAUAUUCACUCUUGUCCGAAAAAAGCAAGGAAAGAAAACGCAAGACAAUUGUUUGCCGAGAGAUGGAAUGCUCAGACCGACUGGACCAAAGUCGCUGAAUCCCCCGAAGUUAGUCGCGGAAUUGAUCAAUGCGCAGCUGGAACCUGAAGUCGAUCAAUGAACAUUCUAGCUUGACGCGGCUCGUUGGGGGUUGCUGUGGAAGACGAGUUUCCCAGCGAAACUGACUCGCUCCCCACGGAAGUGGUGAUGAUGAAUCGCAAUAUGGCGCAAGCUUACGUGUGCGGGGUAUAGUCACGGGUAUACUUCAAGAUGCCACCCGCGGGGUAUAGUCACGGGUUCAUGGCUCCCCAUACCCGUAUCCAUGAUCGGGUAUAACUUUUGUCCAUAUCCGUGACCUGUCAGGGUAGAUGGGUAGUUACGGGUAAAAAUGUCCGUGUAAUUACGUUUUGUUCACAUAGUUAAAAAACCCACACUAUAUUUACGUAAAUAACACUAUAUUAGACAAAAACGUAUACAUAUUUGCUAAAAACAACAACAUAUUUUCAUAGGAUUGGGUAAAUGCGGCCAACAAGCCGAACCGGUCCAUCAUCACAAAUCGGUUUUUUGGAGAAAGAACAAAGAAUCGUCACGGUAUGAAAUGUGCAAUAUACGGAAACCCAAUUGGCAUGCCUUGGGUCUGGGUCUACAUCUCCGCACCUGUACCCGUCAUACCCCGAGUACAAGAUUUUUCCAUGAAUAAAGUUUUAUCCCAUACCCAUGCCCUAAUUGGUUUUUACCCGCCAUGUAAACAAGUAAUUGGUAACAAUUGCCAUCUUGAGACGUGUUGUGAGGCCUUGUUGUCUCUCGUCCUGGACUUACCAUAUCUCCUCUUUCUAGGUAGCCACCGAUCGUCCUCAAGUUGUUAUUAAAUGUUUGGAUUCGGAAAGCUUGAGCUAAUAUAGUGCCAUUAGGGCCUCCUCCCUGGUGGUGGUGGUUACUAAUUUUCUUCCUCCUCUUCUUUAAUAUGUUUUUUCUUGUUCUCUUCUCUUUCUCGAUGGGUCCAUAUGCCAUCCUCUUAUACUUAUUAGUAUCCGUGUAGAGGCCGUUGAUUCUUCAAAUAACCACUACCUUCUUGUUAUAUUAGAGCAUCUCCACUCGCCCCCCCCCCCCUUCCCUCCCUCCAUAUAGCAUCCGGCCUGUCAGUUUUCGGGCAUAUGGGGGGCGCCAACUAGAUUUUCUGUUUGAGGCCAGCCGGUUCUCAGUCGUUACCCCCAAACGGCUCCCAUACCAAAUUUUACAAAUAUUGCAAAUUCAAACAAGCACAUUAUUUAAUAAGUUUUGAAUCACAGUUUCAAGCAAAUUCAAUCAAACAAAUAAGAAGAACUAGACGUUUCCUCUGAACCUCCACAAAUGCUUGACCAGAUCAUCUUCAAGUUGUUGAUGAGUGCCAGCGUCUUGAAUUUCCUGACACCUGGCGAGGAAAGCAGCAAAGGCAACCGGCACAUGGUGAUCAACAUCGGCUAAAGGACCCAUCCGCUCAUACGAUUCAGUGUCAUACAUGGACAUUUCCGCUCGCUCUCAAUGAUCAUGUUGUGCAUGAUCACACAGGUAGUCAUGACCUCCCAUAUCUGAUCUUUGGACCAGGUGAGAGCAGGGUACCAGACAAUGGCAAAUCGAGCAUGCAACACACCAAAUGUCCGCUCGACAUCCUUCCUACAUGCUUCAUGUUGCGUUGCAAACUAAUAUCUUGCUCCUCCUGCGGGUGCGUUUGAGAUUGUCUUCACAAAGGUUGACCAUCUUGGAUAGAUGCCAUCUGCCAAGUAGUAUUCCUUGUUGUACGCAUGGCCAUUGAUCUCAUAGUUCACCAGAGGAGCGGUGCCUCCAAUAAUCUUGGCGAACACAUUCGAGCAUUGUAGCACAUUGAUGUCAUUGUGCGAUCCUGCCAUACCGAAGAAAGCAUGCAAAAUCCACAGAUCCUGAUCGGCCACUGCCUCAAUUACCACACUACAUGAUCCUUUGUGGCCUUUAUACAUGCCCUGGUGUGCAAAUGAACAGUUCUUUCAUGACCAAUGCAUACAGUCGAUGCUGCCAAGCAUACAUGGGAAUCCUCUUUCUGCGUUAUGUGCGAGGAUUCGAGCCGCGUCUUCUGUGGUGGGUGUUCUCAAGUAAAUAUCUCCAAACACCGGCACAAUUGCCCUACAGAACCUGUACAUGCAAUCGAUGGCCGUGGACUCGGCCAUGCGGAGGUAGUCGUCCUGUUUAUCGGCAGGAAUUCCAUACGCAAGCAACCAGAGGGAUACCGUGCAUUUAUGAAUUGUUGUGAAACCAAGUGUACCGACGGCGUCUCUCUUCAAUUUGAACUAAUCGUUGUACUCCCAAAGGUACUCAGGGAUUUUCAAAAAAAAGUUUCCGAGACAUCCUGAAACGGUGCCGAAAAACCACAUCGUUGUGCAAUGGAUCAUCAGCGAAGUAGUCGGCGUACACCAUGCAGUAGCCCUCCGUCCUCUGCCUCGACUUGCUCUUGUGGCAGCCCUUCCUCGAUCCUCCCCUACUCGGCCGCUGUGCAUGCUGGGCGAUCAGGCCAAGAAGGGCCGACAGGAUCACUUGAUGCUCGUCUUCGCCACCGGAGGCUGCAUCGUCGGCAUCGACAACUUCCUCGUAAAACAGCACGGUGAGCAUCUCCUUGUCAUCCGAAUCCAUGGCAUUGGCAAAUCGUCGAACACCUCCUGAGCAAGGUGGCCGCGGGGUGGGCUUGGAGCUGCCGGUGGUCUUCGAAGGACAGCGGAACGGGAAGCUGUGGCGGCGCGGAAAGAUCUAUGUGACGGUUGGGCCUUUCUAUCGGCUGCGGACCGUCACCGGUGAGAGGGGUGGUUCCGGCAGCGAUUUGGAGGUGGAGGGUGCCUGCGCCCGACAGAGAGGUUGAAAUGUAGUUUGUUUUUGGGUUGUGCCACUGACAGUGCUGGCCCGUACGUUUUUACGCCGGAACCAACACCCCCGCCUCCAUUUGGUGUUUGAGGGGCCUUUAGCGGGGCCGGCUGAAGAUGCUCUUAACAUCUUCUUCUCGUUGGACUACUACUUCUCGUUACCUGUGUACAAUGACGGAGCAUGUGCAAAACACAAGAGGGGCAAUUUCAUAUCAAAACAAAUAUAAGAAGGAAUCUCAUCUAUUAUAUACUAAAAGCAAUAUGAAGGGUACCGAGAGAAGCAUCCACGUUGAUCCACAUCAUCAGUAUUAUUUAGAUUGUUAGAUCUUUAAUUUUAUGGCCAAGAUCUAACGAGGGAAAUAAAUUUGGUAGACUCGGGAUAGCUGUCACGGACCAAAAGUCCGGCUUUAUCACGACCGAAAUUAAAAGAUUGAGGAAAUUUACGGUAACUGCACGGACUCCCGUCGCACGCACGCAUGCUGCCGCCUGUCUAGAUCAAGAGCGCGUCCGACUCCCUGUCCUGCCAUCCUCAGUUUGUCCAGGGCAAGCUCAAAAAACAAAAAGACAAAAACAAAAAGAAUUGCCCAGGGCAGCGGAGGGAAUAAAGAAAACAUCCAAUAGAAAAAGAAAAUGGCAAGUAGCAUUGCUUUCCCAUCUAAGUAUUUAUCUAUUACAAUAUGUCAUCUCAAUCUCAAGUACAAACCGUCGGUUGCUUCAAUAUUUGUGUCUAUUUAUUUUAAAUCACAAUGAAAAAUCCGCAGAGUCAUUCAUAUAACAUGUGUGACACCCCAUAUCAGGGAAAGACCAACAGUCGGUAGGUGAUUCGAACUUUAAUUUUGAGAGUUAAAUGCACGGCGUGUCCUAAAAGUACUGGCGUGGUGUCAUCUAGGUCCUAGUAGUAUGAAAUUGCAGUUUUGGAUCCUAAAAGUACUUUAAGUGUGUCACCGGACGGUGCUAAACAUGCCGGAGCAGGCCUGACCUGCCCACGUGUCCUGUUGACCAGCUCGGACCGGCCAUGUAGGAUUAAGAAAGGAUACUCAAAUUUGCAAUUUGCCCCCCAAAAAUCCCCUCACCCCCAAAUCGCGGCCCUCUCUCUUCUUUCUGGUCGGCUUUCGGAGCGUGACCAUGCCGCUCGCGGCGGGCUCUAGGCGCAGCCACGCGCGGACGACAACGGCGGGGGCUCACCGGAGAGCGGCGGCUAGGCUACGUGGAGAGGAAGAGGAAGGAGGGCGGCUCACAGUGGGCUCGAGGGGAAUCGACGGUCGGAGGAGCGAGGCCGGCGCAGUGCAGAGGAUAAUGGCAACGGCGGUGGAUUCGUCGUCAGAAAUGGGGAAGACGGCAGCGGAUCCGUCGCCUCGGAGCAUGACGGGGUGCGACGAGUGGUCCUAUGGAUGCGCUCCUGCACGGUGAAGCGACGACGAGGGAGACACGGUGCUGGAGGCAGCCGGUGACUGGGAGCUCACGGCGGCGAUGAGGAAUGACGACGCAGGGGAGAUGCGGUGCACAAGAGCUUCGGAAAAGGGUGGAUCCGGCCUCGGGGAGUCGAGGCGGUCCUUGUAGGCAGAUCAACGAGGCAGCGGCUUCGAGCCUGACGGCGCAUGGCCGGAGCUCGGGAAGAUGAUGUCCGCGUGGAGCUUGGGCGCGCACGAGCCUAGGCGGUUCGGAUGUGAGGGAAUCGUGAGGUUGGGGCCUAGCCAGCGCUGCGUAGACGAGUUUGCCGAAACUAGAAGAGGAGGCGGCCGUGCGAGAAAGAAGAGAGAGGGCCGUGAUUUGGGUUGGGGAAUUUUCAACGUCAAAUUGCAAAUUUGAGUAUUCUUUCUUAAUCCUACGUGGUCGACCGGCGUCGGUGAACGCAAUACGUGGGUAGGUCAGAUCUGCUCUAGCCUGUUGAGGACCGCUGGUGACAAAUUUAAAGUACUUUUAUGACCAAAAACUGCAUUUUAAUAGUAUUGGGACCUAGAUGACACCACGCCAAUACUUUUAGAACUUGCCAUGCAUUUAACUCUAACUUUAAAUAGUAACCUAACUUCACCUAUAAAACGAUCAAUCAGUUCAUGCAAAAGCUGAUCGACCAUAUUUCUAAGUCGUGUAAAUAAUAUAACAAUACAAAUAUGUGUGAGUCAAAAAAUAAAAAUGCACAAAUAUUUCCCGCAAAACUUAAAGUAGAGGGGUACUGAGAGGAGGCAUCACGUUGAUCUACAUCAUUAGAAUUAUUUAAACCUUUACAUCUUAAUUAUAUCUAAACAUCAAUGUUUAAUGAGGGAAGAUAUGUUUAUUGGACUAGCAUGGAAAUCAAAUUGGUUUAGCAUAAAACGUCAAAUUAGUCUACGGCCCACCCAGACCCAAUAUGUUGCGGUUAGUGUUAAAAUACGUUAGACGAUCAAUAUUUUACGACCUCUCGUGUUUAUUUUUGUUGUUCCUUCACGAAUCAUGAGAGCAGUAAGUAGUAAGAGCAUCAUCAUUCGUCAUAAUCUAUUCCUUUUGCGGGGAUGAGUUAUUAGCCGGCAUUUGAAAAUUAUAACUAUUAUCAAUACAUGAUCCCGAAAUUUAACCCUGGCUACGAAUUGACAUCAUGUAGUUAGGAAAUGACUGCUAGGGAACCAAACACGUCCUUAUCAAAUAUUGCUACAAAGUACCGUAGAAAACAAACAUCUAGCUCAAUUGUGAUAGUAUAUUCAAGUAAAACUUUAAAAUCUUGUAUUGUGACUUAUUAUCAAGAAAAAUCUUACCUACCAAUAUAACUUGACAUACACACGAUUAUCAGUGCGAAUAACCGAUCCACCUAUUGCCGCAUGUGAACUUGAAUUUUGUUUACAAAUGUUAUGUAUAUCACCUCUCAUCAACCGUGUUAGGUAAAUACUAGCGGUUGAUGGGUGAUCUGAAUUUUAACUACAAAAGGUAAGGUAAUAUCACAUACCAAUAAUCAAUUCGUCUGAUUCAAAAAGUUGACCGACCAGUCGACGUGCGACCUAACCUUCAGUUCUUGAUUUCAAUAUAAAAAUACAGAUAAAACACCGUCUCAUGUUCAAAACAAAUUUGACUCAAUAUACUACCGUACUUCUAGGGGUUGUGAGAUUGAUUAAUUAUAAUUUUCUAAAUAUGCUGGGUUCAUUAAUCCCGUCUUCUUAGCGACAUGUGUGUAACUAGCAGAACAAUAUGUAUCUACGUUGGAUAGAAAAUAAUGAUAAUUAAGACCUUUCCUGCGCAAUUGCGCGCAAUGCUAGUAUAAGAGAAGAAAUAAUCAGAGAAUUACACGUAUACACGUCAUAUUCUGGCAGCAACGCUCCCAUGGGCAGCAGUCAGCUCGUGCGUCGGCCACCAGGCAGCGAGCCGUGUGCGUGGCAGCAUGGGCGUUCGGCAGCGGCAGACACACAUGGUUGCCCGUAGAGCAGAGGAAGGUGAGAAACCCAGAAGGGAAAUAGCGAAUUAGAGAAUUGAGGAGCAGAGUGAAUAGCCGAGGUAGAUUGAAGAAGUGAAGAGAGAAUUCAAAAGAAAAGAAGAAGAUGAUUAGGUCGGCAUAAACGGACGCUAUCGGGGUUUGCGAUUUGGACCAGGAGUCCAUGCAUGCAGAUGACAGAAGGGCGAUCAGGAGACAGCUUGGGGGCUCCCUUGUAACCUUGUUCAUGAACUGGGCCAGAAGAUACCUAUUUAGUUAUUAUUUUCUGUUUAGGCCCGGGUUGGCGUCCACGUAGCUCCACCGGUGCCUGUGUACUACUCAUUCAUCGUUGAAGACGCCCUUGUCGAGUUGUUCGAAGGUCGUCGGCGCCUAUUCACCUUGGUGUUUGGUUUGUGUUAACCAAACACAGGAAACACGAGUCCAACACUGAUGCUCAUAACUUAGCUAAACUAGCCUCGUUCCUGCCGGUGGGCUGUGUGUAUUUUAGAUGUGCCGGACGUUAUUGCUUGUAUUUCCUCCGUCCAAUAAAAAAUUUAAAUGCAUCUAUACACUAAGUCAUGCUUAAAUACAUUCAAAUUUUAAUAAACUUGAGACAUCUUUUGUUGGACCAAGGAAUAUUCUGAAUUUGUGUUAAAUGAAAAGUCUGGCUUUGCCUAAAAGAAAAACCUGUUUCUUCUGUAACUUGUCCUGUUUCUUUUUUCCCUAAGAAAAACUUGUGCUUCUUACCGUGAGUUCUUCCCAAAAAAAAAGUCUGCAUUGCAAUUAUGUGACAAAAAUUGGCAUGAUUAUGUUCGUAUUUGAAAUUACUUACUAAUUUUGUUUCACUUAAGCUGCACACAUAAAGGCUUGUUUAAAAAAAGAAAUGGAGAGACUAUAUAUUAUAUAUUUUUUUAUAAAAAAGUCUGAUUAUUCGCGGUAAAAAGAAAUCGUCCUGAACCUGAAUAGAGUCAGACCGGGUCACGUUUGCAUCGGCGCAUGCAGAAAUAUCGGUGCAAAAGCCCAGGCGCUUUUGGUCAAGGCAGACGACGCCCGUUGCUUUGGGUAAACAGUUGCAGGGUCUUUGCAGGUCUUUUGCAGGGUCUUUGUUCCCGGAGAGCGGAGUAUAUCUCUAUGACCUGCUGGCCCAUAUCCUACUGCUACAGCGAAAUGCUAAUAACACCCGCCCUUUGCUCUUUGGAUUCCAGUGGCAAGAGGAAAGAAAAUAUUGCUACUGGAAACUGUAAAAGAAAGAAAAGCACAAACAGUGCCAUGUACAAUUCCUUGGUAACCAUAGCAAUCAACUUUUUCUGCACCGGCUACCUGACACAAGAAGCCAGGCCCAAGGCCACCACCGCCUCCAUCCCUCACCGCGGAGGCAGCAUUGGCCAUCGAGCGGCGCCUCUCCCCGCCAUAGCCUCUCCUCUUCUGCCCUCGGAUCUACGGCAUACCGCUGCUCUUCUCCCUCCGGUCUCUUUGUUUCCUUUGAUCCUCUUGUCGACGGAGAUGGUGGAUUUCUCCCCUGCGCCUCCAUCGCUGGUUCCUCCGUCCACGCGUGCUGUCUGCGACCCUCAAAAACCUCCCGCGCACGACACGCUGCCACUCCCUAUCGGCGUUCCAUCGCCUCUCCUGUCGCCGGCGGUUGGCUUCAUCGACAUGGCGCCGGACGAGGAGACGGGCGCGUCUGCCUCUCUCUCCACCACCUUCGUCUUCGCCGCCGCGUCUACCCCUCUCUCCACCACCAGACCGACGCCCCGGUCCAGGCUGUCUCACCGGAGGCCGACGCCACCAUGGCCUCCUCGUCCGACGGCGGUCCCUACGUCUGGGCGGACGCAGCUGCCCUACCGGAGGCCGACGCCGUCGCCUUCGAGUCCGUCAGUUCCGAAUCAACAUGUGAUAGAUAUUUCUGAGAUCGAGGAAGACAAGCAGUAAGGGGAUGGAGAUGAGGACAUUAGCAUCGGAGUGGCACUAAACAUCAGCAAUGGUGGCAAUCACAAUGGACAGAACACAUCUGCAGCUGCUGCUGGAGGAGGAUCAGGAGAAGAUGGACGAGACAGUCAGCUUGCAGCAAACCAACCUGCUGGAGGAGGAGAUGAAAGAGGGGAGAUUGGUGACAACGCAAGAUGGUACCAGACUCCUUAUGCCUGUCUCUCAUACGUGCGGGGGAUUUGGGGUGACCGGCAUCAGACUCCUUAUGCCUAUAUCUCAUACGUGCUGGUUAUUUGUUUAUUUUAUCAUGGUCUGCUCUGUGUGCUAUCAUGGUGGAUCACACUCGGACUCUCACAAGAAACACAGCAGAAAUGGGGCCGUUGGAUUUGGGCUGCCGUGUGGAUGAUCUCAAUACCUUUACUCGUCUUGCCAUACCUGAGGUUCUACGGUUAUGCUAGGACGAUAGCAGCGGCGGCCGCCGCAGCUAGGAGGGCAGAAAAUCCAGCAGCAAACGAGCAAAAUGAUGAGUACCGAUUCAGUGCUGUGAAUGCAAAUGCUUUGAUGAUGCAUGUAAGUGGUGCCGCUAGAAUAGUGUACAUGGUGGUAGGCACCUCUUAGCCACUCGUCGUGAUUGCUCAUGCAGUGGCUUUCCUUGUUGAGGCACUAGACCUGGUGUUAAAUUACCUGGCUGAAGGAGGAGACGUCCACGUUCGCUUGCCCCAGGUAUAAUUUGCAAAGGAAGACCGUUGUCAGGAGAUUCUCACAGCUGCUGGCAUAUUUCUCUUAUUAUGUGUUUAAUUUGCAAUACUCAAGUGCAUUUGUUUCUAUGAACCAGAAGUUUGAUUUGGGGUUCGUAACUGUGAUGUUUGGUACUUUGGACUUGUUCCAUAUAUUUUAAAACGACAUCUGUUUGUAAUUUGCAAUGCUGGUGAUUGGGAAUUAGUCCAUAUGUGAUAUGUUUGUGUAUUAUAUUGGGAAAAUUGAAUUGUCACAUUGAUGUAAUUGUUCAUAGUCACAUCAGGAGCUGUCCAUGGCUCCAUGCUAUGAUUAUGGGCUCUCACGGGGGCUAGCAAAUACGAAGAUCUCUAUUCUUGCUGGGAAAAUUACGGACUGAAAGAUAACUGUUUGUAUUUACGAAAGGAGUGAAUGUUCCGACGAUUUUAUUUUAUGCCAGGAUCGGUAGUGCAAAGCUACGUAUUUUGGUUGGAAAAAAUUGUUUUAACGCGGUAACAACGGGGAUACCGCGGAUUUGGGUUAAGAUAAAUUAAUGAGCUUGAGUUAGCGAAUUUAUUUUAGCUGUGCCCAUGAAAUUAAUUUCAGAUGGCGCUGAUUAACCACUUGGGAUUGCGUAUGCUACGGCUGAGUGUGGGAUGGUAAACAAAUUACUUAGGCCUAUUCGGUUUGUAGAAAUCUCAUAGGAAUUUUCCAGGAUUUCAACCCUUAUGAAUUUUUUCUAUGUGUAGCAUUCGUUUUAUAGGAAUGAAACUGUUACAUUCCUAAGGAUUGGGUCCAAAUUGACCUGAUUCCUAAGGAUUUUAAGCAUUAGGUAGGACUUCAUUUUAAAUUCCUAAGGAUUGAAAUGUUAUGCACACUCCAAUCCUCUACUUUUCCUAUCCCUGUGGUUUCAAAUUCCUAUGAACCGAAUGGCCCUUAGAGCAUUUGUAGCAGGUUUCCUAAAUCCAUUUCCAAUCCCUAUCUAUCACAUAUCCUAAAAGGUGAAAAAACAUGUUCCAGUAGGUUUCCCGUGUGGUUCACAACCCUAAAAUAUUUAGAUAACUCUCUAAAUUCUCUCUUCUCAUCCCUAAAUCUACAGAAUCAACACCCCGUUCCCUAAACACCAACAAGCAUAUGGGGAAAAAGAAGGUCUCGAUUCUUUCCGUUUUCGCUAGUGAGGAGAGGGAAUGCGGUGGAGAUCAGGAUUGGCCAAAAAGUGAGAAAGAGAGGAAGAAGAGUGUGAAAGAAAAAAGAAAAAGAAAAAAUGCAUCUUGUAGUCGGGUGAAUAUGCCCUUCCCUAAAGCUCCAUGACAUGUAGGCCCAUGCACAAUUGGAGCCAUGCUGGGUAUUAUUCCGGGUGCGCGCAAAAGAGGACAUCUUUGCUUAGAGUUAGAUUAUGACUCAAGAUCGAGUGAAAACACACCGCCUGGAAAUUCCCCAAGAAGUACGGCGCGGAACGGCACGCACGCUGGAAGCAUAAAGAAAUCCAUGCUCAAGAAUUAGAUUUCGCUUAUGUUUUAGGAUGUGGCUUUUUCUAAGUCACUUGGUUUUUAAGAAUUGAGCCUUAAAUAUCAGUCUAUUUUUCAGACUAGUUGGAUUAAGAUCCUAGGGUCAUCCUCAUUCUCUCAUCUUCCAUUUUUUAUGAUCGGAUUAAGAUCCACACACCGGUGGUGGGUAACCUGGACCGCCACUAAGCCUGCGCCACUGGUGCUAACGAGCACCGGUGGCGGUGAUGAUACCCGCCACCGGUGCUAGCCAGCACCCGUGGCGGUUUGCACAACCGCCGCUGGUAAUCCGUAGGGGAGCUCAGAAAGUGCAUCGGUGGCCGUGGGAAGCACCGCCACUGUAAUGUACCAGUGGCGGUGCUUACCCACCGCCACUGGUGGUAUACUAGUGGCCGUUAUGCCUCACCGCCACUGGUAUGCUUUCGUAGCACCAGUGGCGGUUCUCUGUCACUGUCACUGCUACAUGGACAACAUGUCAUGUCGUCCCCUUUUCUCAACAUAUGUUCCGUGGUGGCAUAAGUGAAGUCCUUCAGUUUUCUUAUCCACUCUUCGCAAUUUCUUGUCUCCUCGUACAUCCAAGCACGGCUCAUCGAGCUAAAACACGAUAAACAAACAUAAAUCAAGUUACAUAUAGUAUCACACAAAAUUUCGGCAUGACCUUUGCUAUAAAAUUUACAAAUUUUGCAAAAAAUGCCAAAUAAACACCCACCCACACCCAUAUGUGAACACAACCGGCACAAUGGCCAGUAUACAUGUACAAACAAAAAUAUUCACAAACACGGCACGAUGGCCGCGGAACAUGCACAUUCAACACGUAUUUUAUUGAGAGAGAGCAGCUUAAUUAAUCACAUAGGGGAACAGAGGGAGAGAGAGGGGACCAGAGAGACAGAGGGGAGGGGGCGUGCGUGCAGCAACCAGAGAGACGACAGAGGGGAGGGAGAAAUGGAGCUAGGGGAAGAGUGGGGGACCUCCCAAGCAAGGGGGCCAGCCGGGACAGCUCCUGGAGAGAGAUUGAGCUCUCCCGGCCGCCGGCGCCAUUUCAGCCACAUCGAAGAAGAAGAGAAGAGAGGAAGGAGCUAGAGGAAACGAGAGGGAGAGGAGGAAGGAGAGGCAAAGGGAGCAACCUUCCGGCCACCGGCGUUAUGGAAUUUUGGCAGAGCUUCGCCGUCGCCUGUGUGUUCAGGAGCCGCAACUGGUCCAGAGACACGCGAGCUGAGGAAGAUAAGCCACGGUAACUUUGCUUUAUACAGAACUUACCAGUGGCGGUUUAAAGAAUCUACCCGCCACUGGUAAACGGGAUGGAAAUCUCUGAGGAGCACUAGUGGCGGGUAACCGAUGUGGCCACUGAAACUAGGAGCACUAGUGGCGGUGCCAGCACUCAUGCGGCUUCCACCGCCACUAGUGCUCCACUAACAGCGGCGGUGGAAGCUAACCGUCACUGGCACUCGUUUCAGAUUCUUCCAACGACUUACCAGUGGCGGUUUGUUUUUUCGACCACUCUAACCGCCACUAGUGCUCGUGCGCUGGUGACUACUAAGCAGCUCCAGUGGCGGUGCUGGUCGUGCGAGUGAUUUCACCGCCACCGGUGCUCCACUAGCAGCGGCGGUGGUUGCUCACCGCCGCUGGUCUUCGUUUUGGAUUCCUCCAACGACGUCCGGUGGUGGUGAAUGUUUUGGACCAUCUGUACCGCCACUGGAGUUCGUGCGCCAGUAACCCAUUAUGGCGUAGUGAUCCAACAGCUAGCAUGUCGACUGAUCUCCAACUAAAGAACAUGUGGUUUUUCAAUAGCUAAAUCGUAUUUUUAUGGUAUACUAGCAAUAAAAGUUGCACAAGGGAGAACUAUCGACCCUAGUAAUCGACCCCGAUGUGUCGGGAUCAUGGGGGCCCACGUCCCGGACGGUUUACCCUCGUCGUUACUCGACCCGAAGAAGUGACAUCCCGCGACCGCGAUCCCGUUCCUCGACCCGAACGAUCCAGAUUCAUGCAUGCAUGCAUGGCAACUAUGGUUCCACUUGGACACUCUUAUUUAUCCAACAAGCUAGAUCAGAAAUUAUAACAAAGAAUAAGUAUAACAUAGGGUACACGGCCGGCAGCGACAUUGUGGCCGAUAGAGUCGAAGCAAGGGAGGCAGGCUCGCUAGCACGCGUCGCAGGCGGGCAGAUCGGCGACCCGGACAGUGCGCUUGUCGUUGCUACGCCGCGGCCAGUGUUCGCAUGCAUGCAGGCAGGCAGAUGGCCCCGAUCACCCCUAAUAAGAUCGUGUCAAACUUGGUGGCGCCGGAGAUGACGCCCGUGCUGAUCAGAACGACCGAGAUGAAGGGGCAGAGGCUCGCCACGGACGAGCAGACAAAGAUCGCCAACUCCUCCACUUCCUCCUCCAUCGUGUUCUCGCCCAGCUGAUUCCCUGCUGUUGACGACGAUUCCUCUCCUUUCUCCAAUCUAGAUCGAAUUCGUUAAUUGAUAUCGAACUUGACACCAAGUUCUGUAGUUUCGAUGCAGGCGAUUUCGAUCUGACUAUCUGAGGAACACGAUCGAACUGCACACAUGAGACAGCAAUAUACUCGGUAGUCUGUAGCCUUUUUUUUCCCCUUUUUGAAGCGAAAUAAGAGGGGUCUAUUCUGUACUGGACAAGAGUACGUAAUGCGUACAGCAGUCCGGGGGGGUGUACGUGAUGCGUUCGGAUUGCCUAAUCGUUGGAUGUGAUCGGCUUUACGUCGUGCAAUUUCUUUUAGGUGGGCCGCGCAUCGACGAAUCACCCGAGAUAUUUUGGUUGGGCCACGCAGACGACAGACCUAGGCCCCAAAGAGAAAUCCUCAUUCGAGCCUCAGCUGGUUUGACGACCAAGAAUUCAUUUCAUUUGAUCAAAAUGAAAUGAAAUUUAAUUUUUGAUAAGAUUUUAUUUGGUUGAAUUUGUAUUUCUGGUUGAAAAAUCAUGUUCGUCUACCACAUGGAAUUAAAGAGUGAGAGACAAUUCUAAAAAAAUGAUGGCUUUUAAAGAGAAAUUAAGACUAGUUAUAGUGUGAUUUCAUGGAAUUUGAGAUUGAAUUCCUGUGGCUAAUUCCGUGCCAACCAAACAAGUUGUUUUUGGAAUUCAAAAUGAAUUCUACAAUUCUAUGCCCAAAUGAUGGGUGCCAAACGAGCUGUUAGUGAAAAAAUCCUCAACUUUGAGAAAAUUACUUAAAACCAACACAUUUGGAGCAUGUGUCUAGGAAAACUAUCUUUAUUUAAAAAAAAUCAAAUUACCACCGUUUUUUGGGACACGGGUACUCCCGCGCACUGAUUUCGCAGUUAAGUCCGUUUUGACGGUAAAACUGACAAGAGGUCACCUCGUGGUGCCAACGUGGAGCCACGAUGGACAAAUCGUCCACCUUGCCAUCCCUUACCCGAGCCCUCCUCUCUCUCCCUUUUCUUCUCCAAUUCCGGCCAACUCUAUAGCCCAACUCCGGCCGCUCCCCGUCGACCUCUAGGCCUCCCUGACCCCGCGCGUCGCCCUGCACCCUAACCCACAACGCCUGAACCCCGCGCAUGCCCCAAGGCCCCCGCGCGAGGUCGACUUCCACGCCUCCGGCAGUGCGCCGCCGCUCCCCAUUUGCCCAACCGAAGCCUCCCCCGCUUCUGGCGCCAGGACGUCCGCCUCUCUUUUGCGAAGCCACCGACGCCCUCUCCCGAGCCCGUUGCUGCCCGGAGCGCCCCCGCGUCGUCGCUCCUCUGCUGGUCGUGUAGCUCCAGGUUCGGUUCCCCCGACGCGCCGCCCCUCCUCCCUACGCGCGGCACGAGCCGCGGCGCACAAGUCCCCCUCCUCCCGAACGUGGGGCACGAGCAGCGACGCACGAGCCGCCCCUCCUCCUGACGCGCGGCGCGAACAACUUCCUCCCGACGCACGGCACGAGCAGCGGCGCACGAGCCGCCCUCCUCCCUAUGCGCGGCACGAGCAACGGCGCACGAGUCCCCCUCCUCCCGAAAGCGGGGCGCGAGCUGCGGCGCACGAGCAGCCCCUCCUCCAGACAUGCGGCGAGCAGCGGCGCACGAGCCCCCCCCUCCUUCUGACGCGCGGCGGACGACCAGAGCGCCGCCGCGAUGGGCAGGUCGAACAGCGUGCAGAGCUGCCCAUGUCCCAUGCUCGGAGCGGCGGCGAAGACACGGAUGGAGCCAGGCGCGCCGCCUGGAGCAGCUUGUCCACGGCCAUGGGGGAGGUUUCUCCGGGACGAAUUCCACCGCAGGACAGCAAGUAGUCCACGUCCGCGGGGAAUGGUUAUAAUUCGUUUUCUUUCUUUGCUGGCUGAUGAGUGUUGAUGUGGCGCCACGUUGGCUCCAAGAAGUGGGUCCCAUUGUUAGAUUUACCAUCAAUUUACGUUGAAAGAUUACUGUUUGGAGUGACGGGUGUCCCCAAAAUCGGUGUGAUUUUUUUUUAAAGGUGGUUUACGUAAUUUUCUCCCUAAACUUUUUGCGACACUGAUAACGAAGAAAUUUAUUGCUGCGGCAAGCGCAAAUCCAUGUCGCUCCCGAGAUCGAGCUCAGCUCUCACUGUAUGCCGGCGUAGUCGACGGCGCCGUAAGGCUGGAACCACUCGGCGAGGAGCCCCUUCUUCCUCCUCGGAUCGCACCCCAUAUCACGGCACAGCUCGUCGUUAUACCAGACGUUCACCGCGCCCAAGCACGACCUCCUGAAAUGCUCCCCGCCGCCGCCGCUCCUCCGGUAGUACCUCCCCCACUCCGCCACGCUCCCCUCCAUCCGCCUUACGCCGGGCAGCCGGAACGCGCCGUCCAGCAGCCGCGCCACCCACUUGGACAUCAUCUCGCACACGUAGAUGUUGUUGAGCCCCUCCGCGUACCCGACCACCGCCAUCUGCGGCACCCGCGGGUGCACGCAGUUCCGGUACAGCGGCACGGCGGCGUCGGGCGACCCGGCCACGAUCGCCUUCAGUCUGGGGGACGCGAACAUGUCCCUCAGCUUCUGGUCGCCGCGGUACCCCGUGGCGAGGAUUACCACGUCGGCCGGGAUCUUCUUCACGGUGCUCUCGCUCUCGCCACUGUUGUCGAGGAAUUCCAGCCCGUCCCUGGAGAAGGUGAAGGGCGAGGCCGUAGGGAGCUUCCUGAAGACGAUGCUGCCUUGCUUGACCUUGUCGUAGAAGCCGUCGGGGAGCAUGGCGAUGAGGCAGGAGGAGACGCAGCUCGCGAACCCGUGCCCGGGCUCCAUGCCGUGCUCCCGCAUCGGGAUCGCGCUCCGGUAGUACGCCCCUGUCACCGCGGACACCAGCCAGCCCAGAGGCGUGAGGAGCGUGGCCAGGAGGCGGGAGAUGACCCCGGCGCCGGGCUUGGCGACCAUGAGCUCCGCGAAGCGGUUCAUGUAGAGGUAGCCGAUGUUGAGCUUGCCCCAGAUCUGCGUGUCGUGCAGCAGCCACUGCGGGUUCCUGCAGACCAUCGUGCACGGCCGCUCCGCACCUGAUUGAUCCAGAGGCAGAGCAAGCAAGUAAAGGAAAGGAUUCAACUUCAGCCAGCUAGCUAGCAGAAAUUAAUGGCUGCGCCGUGUGCGAUGUCUCUCCGUCUCUUUGAGUGAUGAAGUGACUGACCGUUGGCGUCGGCGCAGUCGGCGGCAAUGUCGAAGGCGGACUUGCCGGAGCCGACGACGGCGACGCGCUUCCCCUUCAGCAGCGCGGCGGCGUCCGCGUGGCCCAUGUCGGAGAGCUCCAUGGAGUGCAGCACGCGCCCCUUGAACGCUUCCGGGCCACGCCCAGGCGGGAACGCCGGGACAUUCGGCACGCCGCUGAACCUGCCCACGCACAGGAUCAGGAAGUCAAACUCGCACACCUCAGUCGUCGUCUUCUCCGGCUCCGGCUCUCCAUGGCAAUGGCGCACGGUGAGGCGCCACACGCCCGUGCCGUCCCCAAACGCCUCGCCGUUGCCGUUCCACCGGUCCCACCCGUCGGCGGCGUCCUCGCAGCCGCCGUCGCCGACGUGCUCGGCGGAGACGACGGUGCUCCGGAAUCUGACGCGCUCGAGGACGCCGAAGCGGCGCGCGUAGACGGCGAGGUAGGCGGCGACCUGGGCGCUGCGCGGGUACGCGUCCGUGGACUCCGGCCAGGGGAAGUCGGAGAAGCGGUAGACGGCGGCCGGCGACUGGAGGCGCGUGGAGGCGAGCGUGCGCGUCCAGAGCCCGCCCACGGCGGCGCCGGCCUCGAAGACGACGGGGCGGAAGCCGCGCGCGAGGAGGUGCUUGCAGACCGCGAGGCCGCUCGUGCCGGCGCCCACGAUGGCCACCCUCUUCGCCCUCUGAUCCAUUUCGAGCGAUCGAUCGGCCGGUCAGCGCAGCCGGGUGAUGUUUCUUGGAUUGUGAUCUACUAGCAAUUCUCAAGGUUAAUCCAAAGAAGUACUGCUGCUAAUAUUCCGAUUAUUAUAUGCAAGUGGCUGGGCGCGGAUCAUGUGCGGCAUUUUUUAAUCGGAAAAUUUGUUGCUUCGAUAUGGUUCGGUUCGGGCAAUGUGCAGUGCCGUUCGAUCUUGGCUGCUUCAUGGUCAUGGCUUUUUCUUAACCUCAUGGUCAUGGCUUUACCCUAUCAACGUGGUCCAAGAGGCUACUUGGGAGAGGGAUUGUACUAGUGAGCUCAUGGAUACUAGUUGGGCGAGACUAUUUUCUCAUGUCAAAUUGUCAACUAUCUUAGCCUCUAAGAUUUGUAUUAGUAUACGUGCAGAUUAUUUUUUCAAGCUAAGAAUUGUGCUAGAUCUCUCUGGAUUUAUAAGUCUAGCUCUGCUAUUCCGCAGCCCGCAACCGGUUGCAGAUUAUAACUACUCUUUAUAAGUCAUCCGCGUGUUCAAAUAUCACCAAUUUAACUAACAAAAUAUAAGUUAUAAAGAGGUAAUAUUAUUGUAGACUCUCUUGGUUAUAAAAAGAUUUCAAUAUCGUCCAACGGUAUACUUCGACGUCAACAAAGGUAAUCCAACUUUUGAGUAUACAAAGAUAGAAAAGUAAGAAUUGUCAUAUUUAAGAAAUUCUUGGAGCCCGAACUAACGGCUUUGGAGUUUUUUCUCAGAGGAGGGGUUUCGAGAUUGCUGCCUCCUGGGAAUGAUAAGGAGAUUCACCCACUAUCUUGUAAGGAUAAAAAAGUUUGAGGGAUGAAAAUGUUAAAAUGUAUCGGUGGCUGACUGGCUGCCGUGGCUGGUGCCUGCGAGUGCGAGUCCGCGACCUGGGAGACGGGGAGGGGCUGAGCAGAUGGAUGAAUCCUGGUCGUUGUUUCUAAUUCGACGACCUAGAAUCACUUGGAAGGCUCCGGGUGUAUAGAACUAGAAGUCCAAAACUCUCUUCUCCUUCUCACCGUGCCCUACAGUCGUCCCCGUGCUGACGUGUUGUAACCACGCGUCGUCGCCUCUUACGCGCGUCACCGGUUUGCCGCCAUCGCCAUUCCAUUCGUGCUGUCUCCAUCCCGGCGGAAGUCUUUGGCCAUUGGGUUUUGAGGUAUGAGGUUGUUCCCAUCCAGCGAUUUGUUCAAUCCCACCGACCUUCACCAUUUCUGGAUCCACCCCAGGCGCCCGCGCGCCUGCUUGUGCCGAAGCGGCGGUCGCCAGAGUUUACAGAACGCGAGACUAGUUCAAUGCUGCCGCUUGUUGAUUUCCAAUUGGGGAACUAGGUAUAGCAACGGGGUGUGUUUUUGGAUGUUUCGCUGGAUACAUGGGCGAACGACAAUUUUGUUUUGAGCUAGGGCGAACUAAUAUCCAUACACAUAAUAUUUAAUAUUUAUUUAUGGUCGCAACAAUGUAUUUUGAUGUAUUUUUUUAGGUUUUUAAUAAUUUGUGUGACAUUGUAUUUCUCAACAUUUAAUAUUUGAAUAGGUAAAUUUGUAUUGAUUUUGGGAAUCAAUUUAAUAUUUACGAGUGCUCAUAACAAGGCGACUACAAUAAGUCUCAUAGAAAUACACAUCACUAGCAAAUAUUAUAGUUAUAUCUUUGUGCUACGUAUCUUUGGUAAUCUAAUAUUUCAUACAAGGCUAUAACAAAUCUAUAUAAUCUAUAAAGUUGAUCUCCACUAUCUUCAUUAAAUGUUUGCAAACUUGACAUGUAAGGUGCCCACCUCACCAUUCAUCCACAUCCCCACUAAGGUGCAUUUAGUGUUUGUAAAUUACACAUGCAAGGUGUCCACCUCACCAUCCACAUCAUGCACAUAAUGCAAGCCGACAAUCAAUUCAUUUUGGUGGCACCUUAUACAAUUCAAAUUUUUAUCAUCUAAGGCUUUUCACCCACAUGACCAUCCACAUCAUGCACGUCAUGCAACCCGACAAACAAUUCAUUUUGGUGGCACCUUAUACAAUUCAAUUUUUUAUCAGACUUUUCACUUAAAAAUGUCACAAGUACCAUGGUUCUAGAAUAUUCAUAUUUCUUUUACAUUUGAUCAUUUUAUUAUCAUCAUAUUUCUUCUGAAUUUGAUCAUUUUAUUAUGUGUUCGUAACAUCAAUUUUGGCUACAAAUAUGCUCAUCAUGCAACUACAAAUAUGCAAAUAUAAUUUUCCGCGGCAACGCGCGAGGAAUCACCUAGUACAUAUGGAUUGUCAACUUAGGUUUUUAUAACUGUUAAUCUGUAGUUAUACGUUUUAUUCUAGAAACAUCUCCGUACUUACAAAAAAAAGAUCAAGUAGAUAUGUGACAUAGCAAACCAGAUUAUUCUCAGUUAACAAUAGUAUAAAAAAUAUAAAAUAAUAAAUGUAUUGUGUAUAAAAUAAUUGGACCGGGCUGGCCCGAGGCCCGCCUAUGCCGUGUCAGGGCUACAACCUCAGGCCCUCAGGCCGGCCCGGACACGAACCGUUUAUCUAUUUUCUUUUUUUUAAAUUAAUACAUUUGGCCAUUGACUUUUUUAAUUCUGAUCCAACCUAACUCAUUUUUACAUUUGGUCCUUUGACCCAAAUCUAACAUUUCUUUUACUUUUUUUUACCUUAGGCCUGAGGGGGCUUGACGGGCCGUUGGCCACCUAUAUUUUGGCCCAUCCCGGUGCCGGGCGCCCCGCCCACCCUCGCUCCGUCCCUCAUCUUCCUCCUCGCGCGAGCGCCGCCACCCCUCCCUCCCCAUCCCGCUGCCGGGCGCCGCAGACCCCUGCCUCGUCUCCUCCACCGUAGGUAUCUAUCUCCCAUUCGAUUCUCUCGGUCCCGACCUCCCAUCACCCCACGAGGCCCCUUCAGUUCCCCGUCAUAAUCUUCCCCAAUUCGUAACUGAGGCAAAAAUCAAGGUAGGGAGGCCGCCCUACCUUGCUCUACCGGGUCCUCCGCCCGUGGCUGGAUGAAUGGGUUUUGGGGGGAGAAAAUGUUGAGGGGAGUUAGAAUAAUCAAUUUUGUUUGCCAAUGCUAAUGUGUGUACGGACCGCUGUAGCUCCUCCCUGUUACAGUACCCGCUAGAUCGUAAUUCAUCGGUUACUUGAUAGGCCUGAAAUUCCCAGUCCCUAGUAGAUAGAGGAAGCCAUUUGUUUGUUUUUAUAUUGUAGUGUUCAAUGUUUUGUCAUUUGUGCUCCGUACUUAAACAUCACUAGCAUGUUCCGGAUAACAGCAUAAGCAACGGAUGUGUGAAUGUGUGAUUGUGUAGUGUGUAUUAAAUUUUGCCUGAAAAAUGCACAACAAAUGUAGGCAAAAUUACAGGAAUUAAGUGGCACAAGUGAACCUGUCAAAGUGGCAGGUUGGUAUGUCUUGGUAACUUGUUGGCUGAAUUGUAGUUCUGUACUGACUACUUUGCAAAUUCAUCACUGAUGUGUAGAUAUUUGAAUCCAGGUUGAUUAGCUGCAUUCCUGCACAGGUACCAUGCCUGCUGGUGACAACCCACACUCGAUCUCAGAGAAAAAGGCAGCAUUGAGGGAGUCACCCAAACAAUCUAAAAGUGCUGUUAUUCAGCAAGACAUAACUUCUUCUUUUCCUAAAGACAAAGCUGCUGAGAGUGUUGGCAUCAAGAGGCCACAGUUUAAUGGUGCCUUGACUCCAGCCAACCAUCAUAUGCCAGGAAAUCCAGGGACAAAUGGACAUCUUGUAUACGUGCGCAGGAGGCAUGAAACUGAUCAAAGCAAAGGUGGCACUUCUGUAAGUGCAGAAACUUUCACUUCUCUAAGCUCAAAGAAACCUGUUCUAGGUGGAUUGCAGGAAGAAAGUUUGAAUCAUCAGAACAGUGUGCCUCGUACUCAACCAGCUCCUGUUUCUGCGUCCCCUGCUGCGGCUGCUACUGUUCCUGCUUUGCCGUCUGGAAAUUUGCCGGGUCACUUUUCUUUUGGGAAACAAUCUCAAGAGAAGGUUACUGUUCAUCCGAGUAUUGUUGUGACUGCCAGCCCACCACAUCGCAAUGUUGUGUCUGCUGCAAUGCCUCGGAAUGUUACAGCUACUAAUAUAGCACCUACUAAUGUUGCGGCCACUAGCACAGCAUCCCGCGAGGCUGUAGCUACUACUGCAGCACGUAAUCCACCAGAUUUGCAAAGAUCAACCAAUGAAGAUAGGAAAGAGAGGUUUAUUCGGCUGCAGGCAUUCUUGAGAAAUAAUGAGCAAUCGGGCCAAGAUGAAUAUAUCCGCAGUAAGAUUUCCUAUCUUAUGUCACAAAAGCUUACUGCUACUGUUGUCUAAUAUAAAUUGUGUCCUUUGGCUAAACUGUAGUUCUACGGUCUUUGUCAUCGGUUGACCGGAGGAAGCAUGCCAUUGAGCUAGAGAAACGAGCAGUCAAUCUUUUGAUCGAAGAAGGUAUUCUUCAAUCCCUUUUUCUGCUAUAUUAAACUUGCAUUUGAACAACUGCUUCAGUUUAUACUUAUUUCGCAUAUCGAUCAACAUGAAUCUGUUUACGGAAGCUUGAGAAUUUGCUUUACUUAUUAUUUUUGUUCCCUUCAGGGAAGGAGCUGCAGAAGAUGAAAGCUCUGAAUGUACUUGGCAAGCUUCCGUCCACCGAGCAUCUAUCACUACCAACUCAGCCCACUUUUGCGAUGCGCUUGCCGUUCGAGCCAUUCCCAGCCCGUCGUUGAAAAGAGAGGGAAAUCAGAUUUGCCACCGCAUAAUAAGUGCUUAGAGACUUUCUCAUAAAUGCUGCAACAUGGUCAAUAUAUUUUGCCUUCGCAGGAAUAAGCUGUUCAUGCAUAUCUCCUAGACAUGAUGCUAGCUCAACUGCCAUGCACUCAGUGCACCAAAUCCACAUAAUUUUGCUGCGGUUUGUGCAAGUUUCCUAUGAAGAAGGGAUGGGUCUGCUUUUAAAAAGCUAACAAGGGAUGUAUCUAAUGUACUCUGAAGAUAACUGCUUAGUGUGCUAUGCGAGACCAUUGCCAAAUUGAUUUGAACAUGGGGGCAUGUGGUUCACAAACUUCCCUAGUCUCUCUGUCCAGUAUAUUCAACUAGUCGCUGUGCUGCACUGACGUAGACUAGCAGUAUUGUUUCUUUGUGUCUGCUGUAUCUCCUCUUGUUUAAUUGCACGGGGACAUCAAGGUACGAAUUGUGGCAGCAAAAAGAGAGAAAAAAAGUGCUGGUAAUUUGACCAAGAUGCUUCAUUAUUGAUGCUUAUACAUAUAUACCUACCGAUGACGACACCCAUGAUUAAGAAAGGAUUAUCACUUAAUAAUGGAUCGGGACAUGCAUGCUCCCUCCUAACCAGCACAUUAUAUUUAUGCAAGAGUAGCAUGCUACAGAUCCGUGCAAUCGUGCGUGGCAAAUAAAAAGCAGUAACAUUUAGCACAGAAAAUUACUCAUGGAUACAAUACUCAGCCAUCCAUACGCGUGAAUUGUUUUCCAGAAUUUUUUAAACACGAUAUUUUGUUUUCUUGGAGUUGUAUUUGGCCUUCUUUAUCUUGCCGUCACUAGGUUCUUUGGACCAGAACUUCCAACUGAUAUAGAGAAGUGCCACCAUCUAAUGAAGUUCACAUAAUGCCUUCUGGGAAUGAUCAUGGAGAUCUGAACUUCCAUAUCCUGCCUUCAUUUAUUGCCAGCUCUCAACUUUGGCACUUACUAAUUUCAGUGGCCUGAAUUGAACACUGAUUUGAGCAUUGCCGUCAUCACAUACAUAAGACUUCAUGGCAUCGAUACCAUCAAGAAAGUCGAACUAACUUCCAAGCAUACCAUAUCACCAUUCCUCCUGCCUAGCAAGGAGGAAGAGACUUUUUUUUUGAAGGGCAAGAAGGAAGAGACUUUCAGCAGCUGUUGGUUUCAGAGUUCCAUUCACUCGACCAUGGCCGAUGAGCUAGCUCCACCAUAUGGAUACUGUUCCUCUGGUACACAGAGCAAAACUAAAAUUAUAAUCAUGUACAAAUCACCUCUCUUGACUCAGAAUAUCCAAAUCCUCAGAGUUCUAUGCAGUUCAGGUACAGUUUCCAGAUUUCGAUUCCAGCUUAGUUGUCAGAUUCUAAAGAAUCCGAUUGCGUGCAGCACUGUUGCAUGUCUCAAUUAAUAAUGCAAUCCAGCAAGUUUUUUAUCUGAAUAACCGAUCCCACCAGUUGUGAGUAAAGUCUUUCCUUCAGUGCCUGUUCAGAGCAAAACUGUCUUGUGAGAAUUGCUCAGGUCAGAUGUUGUACAACGUUAUAUAACAACUGCAAGGAAAUGCACAGGAAAAUGUUAAAGAAGUGAUGCAGCCUCUGAAAAGAUGACACAAGAAAAUGCAAUAAAAGCCAUGGAAUGCAAAUCAUUCACGCAAAGCUCGUUAUUUUGCUAAGUAGCGAUGGCACUAAUAUUAGUUUUACAUGUUCCGAUGCCAAGAUUGGAUCCGUGUUGGUGGUGACUCCUUCGUGGGCCCCACACAUUAUGUGGCCCUCGAAUCAGGACCCGCUCACUGGAGAAUUUUAACAACCAAACCGGUAUCUGAUUGGCGGGGAAUUAAGAAGACCUCUCCAUAGCUGGUGGAGAGGUGCUGAAGGUGUUGGCAUGCCACUAAAGAAAACCCAAAGCUUUUGGUCAAAUAUGAGACAAGUAGCAAUUGAUCUAUUUGGGAUGGGCUCUAGGGUAGUGACUGAACCAAUAAAUAAAUGGGAAAGCAAGCAAGAGAAAGUGGGCACUGCAUUUGUAUUCAUUGGAGUGAUGUCAGGGCAACUCGCUGAUGAGCAUUUGUGGCGCCUUUGUACUUUAUCUUUGAUGUCAUCCUCAAACUAGUGUCUUCUCAUAUUGAUCCAAGCAAUGUACACCUCUCUAUGCAGUUGCAAACGAAUGCUGACAUAAAUAAGUACAUGUGGCCUGGCACUAGAAAACACAUUAGCUCAGUAGGAUGCAAAAUGUGAAAGGGUGUGCUUUCGUUCUCCUGACGCGAUUAUGAUUAAAUCAAAAUAAUAAACAAACUAAGCUAGUAUAAUAUUUAUUUCUGAUUUAAUCUUAGAUCUUGGUUUUCAAGAAAAUUGCACUUAAGCACAUUCCAAAUGUAAAAGGGAGGAGAAAGCUUCAAAAAAUUACAAAUUGCACCAGUUGUAUUGUGUUACCUGUGUUGCCUUGCCAAGAGGCAUCAAGAUUCCUGGACAUGUCAUGGAAUAAUGAAUCAAAGCAGUAUUCUAAUGCCUUCCUGUCUGAUCAGGGUGAUCAUGGGAGGAAUCAAGCAAACUGCAGUUAGUAAUUUUAGUAAGUUAACAAAUUAAUAUCCUGACAAUCUUUAAGGCCCUUACCAAAAGGAAACAGCCUUGGGAAUAAAAAUCUAUUGCUCUAAGCGUAAUGAAGCUUUCAAAUUGGACUUUGGUAUUGGAGAUCACAUGUAUCUCCACCUAAACCACCAUUAUUUAGAUAGUUAAUUGAUCCUUGUUUUGAACAACUUCCUAACUUUUAAUAUUCCCAAGUAAACAACCAUAGAAAAUUGAGGAAGGUAAAGAUCUAACAAGAAAAAUAUGAUUAAACUAAAGCACUAACCAAUCCCAAAUAGAUACGUAAGCAGCCGUACAUAUGUAGCUUUACGAGAUGCAAUCCUGGGAACAAGCAGUCUAUUUAAUUAAGCAAGUGCAUCUGUGAUCUCUAGAGAAAAAUGUAUAGCUCAUAAAGCAUCUAUGACUAAAAUUAAUUUUGUGCCAGACAGCCCCACAACUCAUAAUUGUAUUCAGGAUCAGUUAAGUUUUCAAACUAUCUCUCUUUUUACUGGUGUUAAUCCGUAUUAUAUAAGCACUGUUACAUAAACAUUUGGAAAUGUGUACUCUUUUAGUUUGGAUGGUAGUUGGCAGUGCAGGUUAGAAUGUAAUAAUCGCUGCAAAGGGAUUUUUAGCCAAUUAGGACUUUUCUUGCAUGUUUCUCUGAAGACCAAAAGAAUCUUUCUGAGGACUACUUUUCUUGUACGUAAUUUGUUGCUAGACAGAAUCAUGUAGCGUGUGUAUGCAUAUGUAGUUGGAAGAUACUAAAACUCCUACCUUUCCAGAUAAUUGGCCCGGAAUCUGUGGUUUCCGGUUCAUUGCAUAUUGAUGACAAUUUUUUCAGACCCUACACAACUAUAUACUGGAAUCUCCAAUUAGUGCACCAUCCCUGAUCCCCCUCUCUGCAGUCAGCACUGAUGUAAGACUUGUGGCCUACAUUUUAGUGGCCUCGCAUGUGGCUCAUAACCAAGAUGGACUGGUUCCACCGUUCCACCAACAGACUUCGCACAAGAAACCUCCUGAGUGGUCACAACUGCAACUGUUACAACUCAGUAGUACUAAAAGAUGUCAUAAAUCCUAAAAUUUACUAUGGUAAUGCCACAUGAACACACAGGUUGAGCACCAAAGCCAUAGGCAACUCCUUAAAAGAGAAGCAAUAGGUAAUUGGUUCCGUCACCAAAAGAGCCUUCCUUAGUUUAUCUCUGUCUUAAAACAGCCCAUGGUAUACUGGUAUCGCAAAAGAGAGGAAGACGGCUUGGUAUAGAUGAUUUUUUUCAUUAGAAGGACGUAGCAGAGACAACGCAUUGUAGCGUUGUUUCUUUAGCUGUAUCUAGAUGGUGUAAAAAUCCACUAGAUACAACUUCUACAAUUAUUUCAUUUAAAUGGAAUUGGGCGAAAAGCCUUCUGAUCUAAAAAAACAGCUUCUACAAUUAAUUGGAGAUGCUGGAAUCCUUCGCAAAGCCACAUAAUUACCCACAAAGUUGACUUUAAUAUGGAAGUGGGUAUAGUUGGAUUCCUGUGUGGUGCUGGGCCCCUCUGUGAGAGGGAAAGAUUCUAACAAAUAAAGAAAAUAGAAAUGCAGGGGUGGCCCCCAUAAGCUUUGUUCUUACGACAAAACCAGACAAUGAAAGGCAGAACCAAAGCAAGGACAGGCCAAGCCAAGCCAGGACAAGCAUAGCAAAUUUCUAAUUUUCAUUUUCCAUCUUACAGCGGCAGGAUUUAGCAGCAGGCGCCUUUGGAAUGAAUGGUGGGGGGUGUUCUGGUGGAGGACUGAACCUUUUCUAGAGCUGCUAUACUUGUUGGAGGAGGCUAAAGGAUGAGCUAGGAGGAAGAGAGAGGGAGAGAAGACCCUUUUCAUGAGAAGAAGGGAGCAAUACGAUUACCAGUGAGCAGCUACUACUCUUAUCAAUCUCUUUCUUUGCUUCCUUUCUGCAGAAAAUGAUGUGUUCUCUCCUACUACCCGCACCCUUCAAUCCAAACACAAGCACAUCUGACACAAAGAUCUUCUUCCCUAGACUCCCACCCUCCAAUACUUCUUGUUUCACCCAAGAUGUGCAGCCAACUAUGCUUCUUGAUUCCCAACAGGAGAGGAGAAGUAUAGUGACUUGUGCAUGCUCAUGCUAUCAAUUCCAUGACGACCUACCUUUCAGGCUCUAACACUGAUGCACUUUAUUGUAUCAAACUGUGUGAUCAGAUUCUGAAGGAAGCUUUACCUAUAUGGAAGAGGGAGACGCCCAUCCUAGCAUCUCCGUGGCACGCACCGCAUCGUCUGAAGGUGCGGCGGUAGACUUCGAUCUCCUGGAGCAGCUGCUCUCCGGCGACAACGCCUGGCUUGAAGUGGCGACCAACGCUUCACGCUCACCCAACUUUUUUGCUUCUCCUUGCACCUUCCUCUCGGAUGCCACAACUACCACCACGACGCCGGCAAGUGCAAAUAAUAACUUGUGGAUUCAGUCAAGCUCCACCUUCCGGCAACGGUUGGACCAAGCACUUGCUUACAUCGAAGAGACACAGAGAGACACCGAUGUGCUUGUGCAGCUAUGGAUGCCUGUCAAAAGCAACGAUGGGCAGUUGGUGCUGACAACAAGCGGGCAGCCCUUCACUCUUGACAAGAGCUCAGAAAGCCUCAAACGGUUCAGGGACGUGUCGACACAUUACCAGUUCUCUGCAGAUGUUGCAUCGGAGUCUUCUCCGGUGGGGCUUCCAGGGAGGGUGUUCAUUGGCAAGCUCCCUGAGUGGUCACCAGAUGUUCGGUACUUCACCAGCUAUGAAUACCCCAGGGUGAACCAUGCACAGGACCUAGACGUCCAUGGGACGAUGGGACUGCCAGUGUUCGAGAAGGGGAACUACUCAUGCUUGGGUGUGAUGGAAUUGAUCAUGACCAGACAGAAGCUCAACUUCACCUCUGAGAUCAAUAACAUCUGUAGUGCUCUCCAGGUAUUGAUACCUCACUUAACCUGAAAGUUGAAACAUUAGUGUGCAGCAAGUACAGUUGCACAAAGAGCAUGUUUGUUGUCACCAGUAAUGCAUUACUAAUUACUACAGUAGGAAAUAACCAAACUUUCUCUAGAUUUGAGAUUUCUUAAUGGCAUGCUAUUUGCAGGCAGUUAACCUGAGAAGCACAGAAGUUUCAAGCAUUCCACGCACAAAGGUAGGCAGCAAAAUAAAUUCAAAACUAUUAUAUCCCGGUUUUGACUUUUUGUUUCAUCUUAACUAAACAAUUUAAUACCUAUAUAUGUCCCCAUAUAUGUACCAAUGAUACAAAUUUCCCCUCUGCUUUCAUGAAAGUCUAGAUGGGUCCUUCAGUGCAACAGCUAUUUAAUAUCUAAAACUUUGAAAACCGAUACAGAUCAUCCCUAGGCAGUGUUUUACAAAGUAAUUUUACCAUGUUGGCUGCUUACAUCAUUAAAUGGCAUCCCACCAAAUAAAGCAGGAUCUGCCAGAGAGGAUGGAGUAGAAAGAGAGGAAAAAUAGUUUUUGUUUCUUUGUUUUUAGUAAAUUUACUGAAUUACUGUAUGCGGUGGCUUUCUGAGAAGCCUCAUUGCCUUGCCAACUCAGUUAGUUGAGCCCAGUCGGAUGUCUCAUGUAAAUGUAGAUAUCUUGAGAUGAAAUAAUGGUACUGAUAUAUUCUCAUGUCUUCAUGCCUGCUCUUGCUGACUAUCAACCAGUUCAACAGUGCUUCCUAUAAAGAUGCUCUACCAGAGAUAUUAGAAGUCCUACGAGCAGCCUGCAUCACCCACAAGCUCCCAUUAGCUCAGACCUGGGUCACAUGUGAUCAACAGGGGAAAAGGGGCAGCCGCCACUCUGAUGAGAAUUACCGGUACUGCAUUUCCACCAUUGAUGCAGCAUGCUAUGUCAAUGAUCCCUGUAUGCAGAACUUCCAUUACUCCUGCUCUGAGCACCACCUUCUGCGUGGGCAGGGGGUUGCAGGGAAAGCCUUCACCACAAACCAGCCAUGUUUCCUCCCAGAUAUUGGAUCUUCAACUAAACUAGAGUACCCAUUGUCUCACCAUGCUAAGAUCUUCAACUUAAAAGGUGCAGUGGCAAUCCGAUUGAGGUGCACACGCACUGGGACAGCGGACUUCGUGCUGGAAUUCUUUCUGCCAACCGACUGUGAAGCCCUCGAAGAGCAGAAGGCAGUGUUGGACUCAUUAUCGGGCACCAUGCGCAGUGUUUGCCAAACUCUGCGCGUGGUUACGGACAAGGAGAUGGAGGACGAGGCAAUGCUGGAAAUGAAUGAGCUGAACUCAUUUGGUCCUAAGGGGAAGAACAAAGUCAAGGAGUUUUCCUUCGGUGGCAAAGCAACAGAACAUAGAGAGGAGGCAUCAUGGACAAGUUUAGCAGGGACUUCACAGAAAGAAUCAGAUUUAGCUGAGUUAAGUAUCCAUGGAAUGUUCUCACCCGGAGGGCAGGGUUCAUCUCUAGCUGGUGUUCAGACAACUGCGCAAGGCAGCAAAGGAAAAAGGCGCACAAAGACAGAGAAGACUGUGAGCUUGCAGGUUCUCCGGCAGUACUUUGCUGGUAGCCUGAAAGAUGCAGCGAAGAACCUUGGAGGUGAGUGAUCGUAACUCCUCACAUAAAUGCAAGAUUCAGCUAUGAAUAGUUUACUGUUUUAGUAGAUACCAUCGGUCGUUGAACUUAGUAAUACAAGUCACAGAGCCAGCAUGCUAAACUGAAUGCUCAAUUAGAAAAUGAUGUCUCCACAUUGUCAAAAAGAAAAGGUGUUCCCACAAGAAAGUCAACCUCCACAUGCACCACACAAUAAAAGAUGAACAUUCUUGUCACUCUUUUUUUGUGUGAAAGAUAAUUGUACAGUCAUAAACACGGGGAGAAAGAGAAGACUAAGUUUUAUUUAUAGUUCAUCCUGUAGUCUAAAUAACAUGAACACGGGAGAAACAGAACAAGUAUAAAACAGUUGAGUCUACUCUCAAGAAUUGCCAUAACAAAUAAGUUUAAUACCUACGAUUAGUUAGCAGAUCUAUUAUAUGGCCUAGAAUUGACAGAAUUGAUCAAUAUCUUGGAAGUCCUCAUUUAUUCAUCGCUUGCAGCUAAACAUCAACUUUACACGACUAAACAAUCAAUUAAUAAAUAUUACGAUCUCCCUCAAGAUAGAGAUAGGUAUAUGUAAGACAUACCUUACCAGAAAUAGGACAUGAACUUAUCAUGUUGACAUGCUAUGUUGCUUUCUAGAAGUCGAGCAGCUGGAUCAGAACCUCAUGAGUCAAACAUAGCUAAAUUAUUCCUUCCAAACAAAAGAAAAACAACAUGCUCAUCAUGUGUACAUGCAUCUCAAGGUGUGAUCACACUUUUUGUGUGAAAGAUACUUGUACAGUACACACAUGAUCUAGUGGCAAACAUGAAAAAGAACUUUGUUCAGCUCGGCUGGAGAUACACUCACCCUUUUUUUUUUCUUGCAGUGUGUCCUACCACCCUCAAAAGAAUAUGCAGGCAGCAUGGCAUAAACCGCUGGCCAUCACGAAAGAUCAAGAAGGUAGACCAUUCUCUAAGAAAGCUGCAGCAGAUCAUUGAUUCAGUUCAUGGAGGAGAGACAGCUUUCCAGCUUAAUAACCUGUACAAGGAUCUCACAAACACCUCUGUAUCAUCUGACAACAAUUUGUCAGGAAGCAUCACAGUUCCUCUAACUAAGCAGAGCAAUCUUACUGAGUUUGAGAAGCACCGACGCCACAGGCUAAGCAACAAUGCGCCAUCAACCUCACACUCACAUUCGUCAUGCAGCCAAAGUUCUGAUUCAAGCCCGUCAUGCAGUGGUGGAGCAACAAAAGAUUCACCACCAGCUGGAGUUGAUUUGAUGAAGUCUGGGAGUCAUGUAAGACACAACCCUAUCCAGACUCUGCAAGCAGAAAAUGCUCUAAUAAAUGGACAUAUCUCAGUUCAGGAGGCAAGAGGAGAUCUUUUACAUAAUGUUAACCAAAAGGCUAUAGGUGGGCAGCAUUCUUCUCGAAGCCCAUCACCCCCCAAACAGAAUUCAGAUAUAGGUAUGAGAGUAAAGGCCACAUUUGGCUCAGAAAAGGUCAGGUUCAGAUUGAAGCCUGAGUCUGGCUUUCAAGAACUGAAGCAGGAGAUGGCAAGACGUUUGAGUAUAGUAGACACAAGUUCUUUGAUUGUAAAGUACCUGGAUGAUGAUUCAGAGUGGGUCUUAAUGACAUGUGAUGCAGAUUUACAAGAGUGCCUUCAUGUAUAUAAAUUAGCAAAUAUCCAAACAGUCAAAAUUUCUAUUCAUCUAGCUGCUAAUCCAGAGACAAAGGUCACUGUUGGUCACACUGGCUUGUCAUGAAGCCAUCAUCGAUCUCACCAGACUGUGGGAUUUAAUCAGAAUUCUUCAAAGAAGCAGUGCUUGGUUUUAUCCCAGGGAAACCCAGAAUCCAUGCUUGACAGCACAUGCUAAGUACCAAGUAACAUCACCACACCCGGUUUUGCUGUUAUCUACAUUAGCUUUUUAUUUGAUUCUGAGGUUAGGAGCUGCUGAUGACACUAGAAUGUUUGAGUAUGGGAAAGCCAGUUUUAACUAUUAGGAUAGACUGAAGCAUUGACUUGUAUAUACUAUCACUGAUGCACCCCAAACUCUGAAAGACAGUCCAACUUGAUUGAGUUGAUAUGGUGAAAUGUCUCUAAACAAGGUUUUCUCCAGAUAUCUGAUAUCUUUUGGUUCUGGGAAGCUUCUGUAUGAUUAUUGACCAACUUCAGUGGUCCCUUCAGCCGUCACCAAAGUUACCAGCAGAAAGACUUUCAGCCAUUCAGUGUGUUUUCUCAUUCCAUGGACGUGCGGCUUUGAUUUCGGAACAAAGAACUCUACAGUAAUUAUUCUGGACUAGAUAUUGAAGGAUAGGAUACUUUGUUCAAUUUGUUGAUCCUUCAAAAUGUCAAAAAUGUAUGGUACACUCGUACCACAUGAAGUGUCUCUUUAGAAAACUGUUUGCUACUGUAGACACUGCAAUUGGUUUCUUCAAGAAGCUUUCAGUUUCUCAACUGUACUGUCAAAUAUCAAUAUGCAGAUUGAAUUAUAUCCGCUCUAGCAGCUUUCAACAUGAAAGAGGCUAAUGCUGUUAAUAUGCCUACUUAUAACUGACACCAUAAAACUUCAAUUCAUGCUAAUAGGUAAACACGUGCUUUUGUAAUGACUAGUAAGUGAUAUUCAGAUCUAUCGAGAAUGAGAAUGGUCACAUAUAUGGAACCAUUUAGUUUUCAUUUUGCCCUUGCUGAUGAUCCAAACUACAGAACAACCAGAAUACAAACAAGUACUCCCUCCGAUCCACAAUAAGUGUCUCAGAUUUAGUACAAAUUUGUACUAAGUUAGUAGUACAAAAUUUGAGACACUUAUUAUGGAUCGGAGGGAGCAUGUAUCUUAGUAGAUGAGACAGACUACAUACAUAUGCAGAUGACCAUAAUAUGGAACCAGAAUGCAAGCAAGUAUGUAAUAAAUUACGGAGUAAAUUUGUGGAUGCAACACAGCUCAAGCACAGAUCUAAAGGCUAUGUUCGCACUGAAAACUUGUCCAGCUUAGACAUGCCCCUCUACAUUAUCUACCAAUAAGGCCAAAAAACAUAGAUGCUACGUCCUUAUCGUCUCAUAUCAUGUAGAACACAAAUGCAGCAACUAAUAAAUGUCUUCCCAUAAUUGAGACAAUGGUUACAAAAGAUAAAAGUAUCAAGGUAUGCAACAAAUAAGUAGCAACAAUUCAGAUAACUAAGAUCUACUUAUCAACUGUACUUUUUGCCGUUUAUUGUUUAGCCUUCUUCUCAUGCCUUCAAGGAUAUCACCCGACAUCUUAAACUUUUGCUACCCAUGCUACUAUGAUGUUUGUGACAGACAUGCUGCCCAAUUCACCUUUCCCCCACAUCCCCAAAGACAAACCAAACAGACUAACAUUGAAAGUGACUGAGAGAAACUAGAAGCCGUCCUUGCAUUGUCAGAUUAAACUUUAGCUCCUCCAAACUAGAAUAUCUACAGCACAUUUUAGCAUCUUCCAUUUCUGACACGGUGAGUUGCCUAUCAAAUUAAAGGCCAUGGAACCGAGGGUCAGAAACCAUAGAUGGAUGAUGCCUGCACUAUUCUGAAUAAUUCCAUCAGUCUCACGUGGUUCCACAAUAUUCCUGAAAACCUAGCGAAUAUUAUGGUCAUCUUCAAUGCAAGAAGGUGCCAAGUCAUUGUGUCUUUGAAAACAGGCUGAUUGGCUUCACAAUUUAGCAACAUAACAGCAAUCAGAUGAUGUCACAUCCAAGCGUCAAUAUUACAAUGAGUAGAAUGGCAGUGCGACCUCAAGUGGCCCCACUGCAAGUUUGCAACAAGGACUUUGACAUUGACGGUGGUGUUGCAUUCCUUUUGUAUGAUUUUUUGGGCCUGCACUGAGCCUGUGAUUCAACUGGCUUUGAUUCAACAAGAAAUGAACCACAGGCUUGCCGUAUCCUAAGAAUUGCUCUUGUUCCAAGCUCAGCACAAGACACUUGAGAGGAUCCUCGAUGCUUGAAUUUUGAGAACAGACGUGCAGGUUAAGCUGAAAUGUGGUUUAGUGAUAAGGCAGGCCAUGCCUAUACCUUUAAGCCAGGCGUACAGUUGGCACACAGGUGCAUCUACAUGGAUUUCCAGGACGUCAGUAUUGAAAGGAAAGCCUGAAAGUUUCAGGACAGAUGCAGAAAUGGACAGUGGAAACACAACUGUAAACAAGAUGCAAGUGUUUUAGUUGUGCAUGUACCCACAAAAGCAAAAACACUCCUGUCAUCAACAAGAAUAUUUAAGAAUGGACAACAAACACGAUUAUAUCAGAACACAAACUGUUACUCAUCAAUCAGUGAGAAGUAUGGCCUCGGCAAAUGAACUGUGUCUGUGUCUUUACUAUUGCUACUUAAGCUAAGGAGAUAAAUUCAAAUAUGACUCCAAUUUAGGAAGGAGAUAAGGUACUGUUAUUCAUCAAUCGGUGGGUAGUAUAGCCUCAGCGAAUUAUCCGCAUAUGUGUCUUUACUUCUUAAACUAAGGAGAUAUAUUCAAAUAUGACUCCAAAUUAGGAAGGAGAUGAGGUGUAUCUCUAUGCUAACUGCUAGCUAGCGAAAAGCUAUAUAUAUAAUAUUCUGCUUCUAUGUUUCUUCGAUUAUUUGAGUCUUGGCAGAAUGACUUAUGCAGCAAAUGCUUCUUAAUGCAAUAUAAUGGAUUAACUUGAAGAGGUAAAAGAUUCAACACACAGAUAUAAGAGGACAAUUAAGGUUGCUGAGGUACCCAUAUCACAAACGAGAUUCAAUCAUUCAACCCAGCACAAACAGCUAGAAAUGAUUUAAGUGUCGCUCUACCUAGUCAUGACUAGUCGAGAGACUAGCCUAUGAGUCAAUACAUGGCUUCGACCUGUAAACCUCAACUAGUCAUCACCGGUUGCACGACUAGUCUAUGAGUUGGUACCCCAGUGACUGACUCGACUAUUUCGACUCUGAAUCAUUGACAGCUACCAACCUACUAUAGUCCACUCCACAUCUCCACGACAAGCUACGAGCAGCAAAAUAUAAGAAAAUAAUAUUGGGAAUAGUUCAUCAAUCUACACUCUCUAUGAUGUAAACAGAACAAUGCAAGCAUGUUGACUACGAGUGAUGAGAAAGUAAAAGGAAUAAGCUAGAUGUAAAAGGAAUUCAAAACAAAUGUAUCAGCAUCUUUUGCAAAUGAGCAUUUAGUCGUCAUGACAAAGUAAGCAAACAAGGAAAAUUGUUUGUACCUGAUAAGCUUAGUAAGCAUGAAACAUGGCAAGGGCAAUGAAACCAAAUUUGUGGCAAGAAAUUAUCCAUUGACAAACUCGUAAAACAAAAUUAGAAAUUGGGAUACAAGCUCUAUCUUAGUAUCUUACAAGCACGCUAGAGUCAUACGCUGAAGCUCAGUCCUCGUCCUCGUCACUCUCGUCGCUGAAGUAGCCUUUCCUCUUCUCCUUCCUCGCCGCCGUUGCCCUCCCCUCCUUCUCAGCCGCCUUCUCCUCCUCUCCCCUCGUAUCCACCACCGACGCCCACCUGUCGUCCUCAAAAGCCGUCGCGACGGCAUCAUCUUCGUCCGACUGGUAAGAGGCCCCGGCUAUUUCCCUGACACCGCGGCCACCACCACCACCACCCCCGCCGCCGCCGCCGCGCCGCGACUUCUUAGACGGCGCCGGCCUCUCGCGGGGACCGAGCUGGUUGCGGGGGCACUCGUAGGAGAGGUGGCCCUCCUCGCCGCACUCGUAGCAGUGCGACUUGUCGCGGUACUCACGGCGGCGGAUGAACUGCGCGGCGCGGCCGUUGUCAUCGGCGAUGGAGGCAGCUAGGGUGCGCCCAUUGAGGACCUUGCCGUGCAUCUCGGCGGCGGCGGCAGCGGCUUCCUCCCGCCGGACGAAGAGGACGAAGGCGACCCCCCGGCUGCGGCGGGACUCGCGGUCCUUGAGGACGGUGACGCGGGCGACCUUGCCGAAGCGGGAGAAGAGGGUGUGGAGGUCGGAGUUGGUGAGCGCGAAGUCCAGGUUGGACACGUACACCGUGGACUUGGACGGCGCGAGGCCGCCCGAGCCGCUGCCACCCCUGCCGGGCUUGUUGCCCCCGCCUUGGCCCGACGCGGACGCGCUGGAAGCGCCAGCGGCUGCGGAGGGCAGCGGGUAGCGGUAGAGGAAGCUAUCGUCCUCGCCGUCGGAGUCGGACCCCUGCCGCCGCCGGCGAGACAUUUUGCCUGCGGUUUUCCCCCUUCCUGAGGAAGGGUGCCAUGUGUAAUGUGUUUUGACGAGCCGAGGCGUGAACUGGGCCAGACCCAGAACAGAGGAAAAUGGCCGCGAGGUGUCUAUGGGCCUAGAGAGAAGAGUGGGCCUGUGGGCGACAUUGAGGUCUUCCAAUUUUAUUUUUUUUGGAAGAGUAAGUCUAUUCAGGUUGGUUGCAAUUUACUAGUAGUCGUUCAGGUUCACUCAUCGCCAUAUGAUUCUCCAAAAGGAAGUUAUCAUCAUCCGCAUCAGUACGAAUGAUGAAGUAGACGCAUCAUGGUUCAUGGAUCUACCAAUGUUUCUUUGACUCGUUAGUGGAUUGGUUGUAUAUACAAAACGUGAUUUCACGACUAUUGAAGGCAAUGCAAACGGUGUCGGCCAAGAAGGAAAUAAUUACUACUACUCCAGUGAAGACGGAAGGAUUAUUGUAUUGAUUGAUGGAAACACCAUCUCUCUCCCCGAAGGAUUACUUUAGCAUAAUAGCAUUGACUAAAUGUGAAAAAAAAUAGCAUUGACUAAAUGUGAACGGGGAAUAAUCCUUCAAUCCAUGGCAUGAACAUCGGGCUCACCAGAAUUCAGAGUGUCUCUUCUGAUUUCACAACACCACGUGGAACUUCGCGCCAUCAGGCCAUUGAUUAAUCGGUAAACGAACUUGACACACAUGUAUUUAAAUCGCCCAUGACCUCCAAAUCGAAUCGCCUCCCGCAAACAGGAUCACCCAGGCAAAGCUCUGAAACCAGCCAUGGAGACGGUGAGGAAAGCUCAACUUGUUCUUCUUCCCUGAUCCAUCCAAUCCAUGGCUUCUUGCUGUUCUAAUCAGGAAAGACAGGCUAGCUUUGGCUCUUCGCAGCAGGGAACCAGGCGUUUCAGGCUCGAGGUCGACAUGCAGUGCCGGUGCAUGGGGUGCGUCAGGAAGAUCGAGAAGGCGAUGGCCUCCAUCGGAAGUUUCAGUGGUACACAGCCUCUCUGACUCCUCUCGUUUGAUUAUUUUUUCUGAAAAUAUUUGAUCGCCAUGUUGAUAGGAGUCGAAACGUCAGUAGCGGAUAUUGAUACUGGGAUUGUGGCUGUGGCCGGGAAGGUGGAUCCGACGGAGCUUUGCCAAUGGCUGAAGAAGAAGACAAGGAAUGAUGUCAAAAUUGUCGGCUCUGAUCAUAAUCAGGUAUCUUUCUUUAUCUACCAGAGCAGAAUGAAGGGCACUGUGAAAUUUUUGGUUUUACGAACAAAUAUAUUUUGAUAUUUACUUUGGCAUACACUGGAAAUGGCAAGAAGGAUCAUGUGUACUGUUUGCUUGCCAGAAGGACAAUACUCAGAUUAAACUGCACAGAAUAGAGGAUAAAAAAGUAUCAGGCUAAAAACACAUGUAGAAAAACUGAUAAAUCUACAGAAGGGGGCACAACACAGAGUUUGAACUGCUGAAUGUUUUUAACAGUUAAAGGCGUGACAAGAUUCAUGUUUCCGCAACUCUGACUAAACUAAUACUCCUACCUGGUUGCAAGAUUCAUGUUUCCACAACUCUGACUAAACUAAUACUCCUACCUGGUUGCAGAAAAUGAUAUUGGUUCAUGGAAGCAGUUCAAGAACUGGGGACACCACACCUUCAGCUCCAACAUUACCGGAUCAUUUGUCGUGGGCUCUAGCACCAUCAGGAAUUCAGUCUGGCGAUGAGGACCUACAGCUGAUUGAGGAGAAGAUCAGGGACCUCGAGAAGGCCAGGGAUACAUUGAAAAUCAAGAACCUGAAGAAUGAACUUAUUGCAGCCAAGUGUGAGCUUAAACAGUCAAGGGAAGUGAUCAGUAAUGGUAAGAAGGCUCUUCUAGAUAGUGCUCUGAAUCAGCUCAAAGCAUACAAGAAAUUAGAAUCACUCAGUCAGUCACUAUGUGACUGAGCCUAAACAAUUCAUGGCUUCAUAGUAUGGUCCAUGUAAACUUUGUUCUUGCCUGGUGUGCAAAGUAAAACUUCUUGGAGUUUUCAUAUAACCCUGAAUCAUGAUGUGUUAUUGUUGAAAUGUCUAGAUGCCAUGGGGUGUAAAUUUCCAUGCCAGGCAGUGAUCCUACUUGAUCUCUUGGCAAAUUUGUUGUCUGCAUUUUAUUUCCUUUUACAGAAAAGUAGAACAGGAAGAGUUAGAUAACAUAAGUUCAGAAAUGGUUGUUCAGUUAUCAGUUCAAGUUUCAGCAGUGACCUUUCAACACAGCAAACUACAUUUAUCAUGUGCCUGUAUAGAUGUUCAUGCUUAAUAACAUGGGCAUUAAACUAGCUGAGAGCUGAGAAUUAGAACAGUUGAGGGGCUUCAGGAAACAUCAAAGUAGCAUAUUACAACCAGAGCACUCAAAUUUCUUCAUUAUAUUUUUUCGUCUCUUACACAACGCCAAGCAAAGAGCACACGUAGGAGAGGCACAAAGGCAGAGAGUUCAAGGAACGCACUGCUGUGUUAUUCAGACAUGCCGCCUAUGAUCGCCGUCAUCAUCAAGGCGUAGGUUGACGCCGUGGGUGCGGAGCGCGUUGAGGAUGGCCCAGACCUUGGUGCGGUUCUUGAAGCCCUUCUUCUCGAUCUCCUUGUCGGCGUUGGCGUGUAUGGGCUCCCGGGCGAGGCCGUCGACCCUGAGGCGCAUGGCGAGCACCUCGCCGACCGCCGCGGCCGCCUUGGCGUUGCAGGCGCGGCCGCACUCCAGCCCGUCCCGGAGGGGCCUCUCGACGGAGGACGCGGUCACCACCACGCGCCCGCUCUGCCGGUCCACCACGUUGGCCGUCACGAACUUGAGCGAGAUGAAGAGCCGCAGCACGUACCUCUUGGCCUGCGCCAUCGAUUCUGGUGCCUCGGUGGCGUUUCGGCAAACAGCUGGGAGGCGCCGGGCGCGAUUGGGAGAUGAAGAUAUAAGGGCAGGACGGCCAGGCGAGGCCAGAGGAUUGUUGACACUGCAGAAGGGGGACGCGGAAUGGUAAGGACGCGCCUGUGAGUGGUGGCGGAUCCGGCGGCGGUUCAGCCGGAGACGGCGUAGGAGGGCUGGAGGGGCAAGGGCUGGGCGAUGGUGACCCCUCUAGUUAGUCGGUGCGCGUGUAAGCGGCUAUAAGGCCGCCUUGGAGCUCGCUAGCGCGGGGUGGUGGUGCGGCGCGGAGAGCGACGUCGAGCGGGGAGGCGCAGCCGUAGUCCGCGGGAGGGCUGACUGGCCGAGGGCGACGACGCGACGUACAGGGACCCUAUCCCGGCUAUCUAAAGAAAGAAAAACGAAAAAAAACAAAAAAAAUUUGAGAGCACGAAAAAAAUCCCGGCAGGCGGCAGGGAUCCCGGCCAAAAUGUGGGACCAGAUCCCGGCCCAGAUGUGGGUCCAAAUCCCGGCCCAAUCCUCAUCGACCCAAUCCAGUCGCCAACUCGCCAUCGUCUCUCCUCGUCCACCUGCACAAAAAAGAAAGACGGCCGAGCCGCUGCCUCCGGCGAGGCGGCGACGCCGACGCUACUCCUGCAGCGGCGACACACUACCGAGGACACCUUCUUCUCCCAGGUGAGCAUCCAGCUUCUCGUAUUCCUGCUCUCUCCCUUCCUUCCACCUCCCCCAACUCCGGCCCCGAAUCCCGCCGCUGCCCUCUCCUAAAUCCAGGCCGCCGGCCAAGCUCUAUUACAAAUCCGCUGAGCUCCAACAACCAAAAAACGGGCUGCAGCUCGGGAUUGCAUCCUCGGAGCUUGCAGCCCAGCUGCUGCACCCCUGCUGCCAUGCGAGCUAUGGCCGUGAGGGCUUCCAAACACGCCCUUAGGGUUUGAGGUUUUAGGGAUUCUUCCCCCGUCCAUCGCCGGUCACAUCGCCUCCGGGAUGCAAGCGAGGCUGGUCGCGGUUGCCCACGCAAAGCCCAAGCGGCUGUCGCCCGCCAGCGAGUUCUGGUGAUGGUGGCACUCACUGGGCAUGGAGGGACAUGUGGUCCACUCGCAAUUCGGAGAUGGUGAACAAGGACAUCACCACCAUGAUAUUGUUUCAGUGGCUGAUCAGUUAGAGCUGCUUCCUGAGCUACAGAUAAUCUGACGCAUCAGCAAGAGACUACCUUUUCUUGAUUAGCACAAAUUGGAUAUAGCAGUUUCUGCCAAUAUUGCAACUCCAAUCCAACAACCCAAUAGGAGAAGCGAGGGUAUGCUUAAAGGUGCCUUCUCACCAGUGGAAGUGUCUUCAAAUAACAUUUUAGGUGGGCCUCCAGUUGGGUACAGUAUUCAACACUUCAAGGAGAACACAAGCAGUCUUCAGCUUUCUGCUUGAGAUAAGAAUUGAUGAUAAUACAAACUGCACAGCACUUGCUUCUUCCUAUUGAAGAGCAACCUUCCCUUCCACAUAUCGUGUACAUUUCUGCAACAGGCCCAGCCCCCCGUUUGCAUUGGAUAGUAGUGCGUAGGUAGACAUUCAUCCUGACAAUUGCAAACAGUUCUUCCGUAACGAAAAUGGCUGCACCAUUUUGCCAGCACUUCCUGGCUUCCUGCAAUUUCCUAGCGAUCUUCCUCUUGUUCUUGUUGUUGCACGUAAAUUCUGCUCUGAACUGAAGCUUAUGUGCUCAUAUAUCCACGUUGACACAAUGCCAUGUUUUGGAGGUGGUGGCUAUGAUUGCUUCGAUUGCAUCAACGAUAAAAGUUCACCGGGCUCUUUAACAAGAAGCACUAAAUCACUUGUUGAAUUAUUCUCAGCCAAAACAAUGAAUUAGUAGCUAUUUUCCAAAUAAAGAUCUUUAUUUUCUGAGGAACAUGUGCCUUCCAUACACGACCAGAUGUCACGAGCACCUCUGUUAGCUCUGCUGCAUUGACCACCAUUUUCUUUCAAUAAUUCCACAUUCUCAGCCAGUAUAUAAGCACUUCUCACUGUGAAUAACAUGCUUCUCCGGUUUCCAUGCAAUGUAAUCCCCAGAAGGGUUUGUUGGCAGUCUGAUUGAGAGAAUAGCUUCUGCAUCAUGGGGAUAAAAAAUCUCACGAAUUUGCUGCUCCUUCCAAGAACGUGAGACCGAAUCAAUAGAUCAGCCACUACUUUUAAUCAGUUAGAUUUUUCUGAUUUUCCUCCUUAUGUUUACAUUGGCGAAGUAAUCCAAUUCACAUUACAUACAUUUUUAUGUUACUGUUUUUGAACCAAACAUAUCCUCGCUUUCUUUGUGCGCUGACUCUCCUUUCUGCACACAGGGGCGGGUGAACUCGACAGAUAUGGCGGUUGACAAGUGGGUGACAGUGGUGGAGCACUCAAAGGAGAUGGUGGGCGAGAAGGCGGCGGCGGCGGCUCGAGCGGCCCAUGAGUCGAAGGAGUACAGGAGGUCGCUCGUGGACAUCGGCCUCACUCUGUUGAUCGGCGUCGUAUUCAUGCUCCUGAGUUUCCUCGUGCCGGAGAUAUCCAAGGUGUGGCAGAUUCUGUGUUGGCAGACCACGAUGAUCUCUUUCGCAUGUGCCGUGUUCUUCACCUGGAUCCAUCUGAGGGAUUUCCAUCCCAAGGUGGAGUCAUCUCGGGUUUGAAGAACUGGGAGUGGAGGAGACAAAGGUUGCUGGAAAAUGUUGAACUGAAGCCUUGUCACACAAACGUAUUUGGUUGAUGGACCUUAUUCUGGAAAUGUACAGAAGAAAAAUGAUUCAAAUUUCUUCUUCAGCUGAACAAUCCAUUCAAGAAUCAGUUAGACGUACCGUGAUUAUUCUCCACAAGAGUACUGCAAUGAUAUUGUUGGUGGUGUUCUAAAUUGACCUCUUUUUCUAUUGAAGGAUGGUUCAGCUGCUUUAUUUAUAAGUAAAACUAUAGCAUUAUUUGAUUCAAUGAUGCAGAUUUGUUGUCUUGACUUGGCCUCAUUUUCGACACCCUGUAGUACAGUUCAUUUAUAUGCUGCUGCACUUGGCAAUCUCACACUAGAAUUUUUUCUCAAAAAAAAAAUUAUCGCCACUCGAAAGAAGCAAACAACAAAAAUAAAUGUGGAAAGUAUUGUUUUUUUUACCAAGUAUUGUUGAUUGGAGUCUCUGCAAUUUCUGUGGUUUUGUGCUAAAAUGCCUAAUUCCCCAUGCUUGUUAAUAAAAUGUAAAGCAUAUAAUUUGUUUUUGUUUUUUACAACUUCUGGAUCUGAAUACUGACUUUUAAUUGCAUUGUUUGGCUAAAUCUGUUUCAACUUCAUGAACUCGGCCGCCGCCUAAUCAAGCACGCUGGCGGACGAUGGACUGCAGCAGGGAGAAGGUGCCAGGGGCAGCACCGUCAGCAGCAGCGCUAUUCACCACUGGUCACUCCACCGCCAGCGCCUCAUCCAAUCAGUGCUAGCUCAUCUGCUUGUGCUUUUUCAGAGUAUUCCUUCUAUAAUUCAUUCAUCUGCUCUUUGUUUUUUCUGGUUGAAAUAAGUUUAUAGGCGACUGAAGUUGUACAGCACAAAAUUAGUGGAGUUACAUCAUGAAAUUAGGGAUCACCUGGUUGAAUAAUUAUCUGCUCUUUAUUAUGGAUAAUUGCAGAAUGUAUUACGUACUAUACUCUUGAAAUCACAGUCAUAUAUACUACAGAACAGUAGCUUAGCUUACCCAGUGCGGGGUUAUUUUCUCAACCUGAUCAAGUCUAGAAUUUGUAGAUAGUUGUGUAUUUUGCUCUUAGGAAAGUGAUGGCUGUUACUUCCUCCGAUCUAUAAUAAGUGUCUCGGGUUUAGUACAAAUUUGUACUAGGCUUAGUUUAAAACCGCGACACUUAUUUUGGAUCAGAGGGUGUACAAUUAGAAAACUUGCAAUGGCUAUUUAGUUUAUUAGAACACUUGUGUAUUUUGUCCAAGAACCAAACAUGGGUAAGAAAGGGAAGAUGUUCAGUCUUGUCAGGAGUGUGUUGAGCUCCUCCGAUUCAAACUGGACGCAAGCUUGCUGACAUUAAUUGAAGGUUUUUAUAAAGUGAUAAAUCACACAUCAAUCCUACUCUGUUGUUCCAGUGCAGUUUUCUUGGUCGUGUGAACUUGUAAAACCUCGCAACCUUUUUGUGUUUGAUGAAUUUUGGGUUCCAUGAACAAAGGUAUAUGUGUUUGGCGUUACAUUGGUUCUUUUAUGCAUUGUCUGAUUUGUGCUCAUUACUUGGUCUUCUUCCUCGUCGGUUUGGUGACGAAUCAGCGGUUCGACAACCUGUCUUGCAAGAGGUGUGUCCUCGGACAAAGUCCGUUCAACGAUCUUAAAUUCUCAUCGGUUGCGAUGAGCGACUCACGCGCCUAUUUAAAACCUAUGAGGUUAGUGCAUAUUGUGCAGGUCUAGCCUUCACCCAUUUGAUCACCAGAGACAUGGAGAAAUUUUAAGAUACGGACGACGGACCUUUAGAUUUUUACUUUAAAGAAUCUUGAUGUGAAUUUUAGUUUCAUUAUGGAUCUUUGUUGUCGGUUUUUAUUUCAGUUUUUUUAUUCUUUGUACACUGUUUAUUGAUUCAAUAAAGCCAGAUGUCUCUUAAAAAAACUCAUUCUGAUGUUUUGUUUACUGAUCAAUUCUAAAUUUUAGCAGUAAAAAUGAAGUUCUCCCCGGGGAUUAAGUUAAUGAUGCUUUCCUAAUCUCAAGCUAACUCACAAAUAUAAAGGGAUUUGACAGAAAUUUAAAUCAACUAAAAUUAACUAGUCUUUUUGGUAUUUCCGUGGACCUUAGCAAAAACUUGACAAAAACUUAACUGAAUCUACUGAACUAAUUGAAGAAAAGGACACUAACAGAGCAGAUCAAAGCAGUGACAAAGAGAAAGAUUUGGAUAAAGCAAAGGGUUUUUGGUGAAGGUAGAUGAACUAGGAGAUCUAGAGGAAAGUUGACUGCAAGAUUUGGGCAAGGAGAGAAUUGGGAAUUGGGAAGAAUCGCUCAACAGAUCUAAGAGAUAGCAGCAAGGUUUUAGACAAGGAAAGAUUUCUUGAGGAAAAGAACAUCACAUGGAGAACAUGUUUAGAAUAAGCAACAUGACAUGAAAAAUAACAACACACAUGAACAUUAACUUGACAAAAAGUUCAAAUUUAAACAUGAUCAACACCAAAAAUUCAUGAAAAUAGUUUUAAAAAGGGUACUGAUCAUUUACAACCUCCCAAACGGCAGGCGACCACAGGUCCUAUUUACUUUGAACUUUGAGCAUAUACAGUAUACAUGUAGCCUUGGGUCCCAGAGAAAUCUGGAUAUGGUUCAUGAGAAAGUGUGCUAUACCUUCACAGAGGUUCUUGCUCUUUCUCUUCUUCUUUUUUUCUGAGCAUGAUUUUUUCGAUUCCAACAGUUUCUCGUGAGUUAUGUUUUCUUUUCUUCUCCCAUUACAUGAUGGAUACGAAUUGAUCAUUCGUUUUCCUUUUUGUUUGACAAAUCGUGGUUCCUAACAUUACUAAGAGAGAAUCGUGUAGUGGCAAGGACCACUACACCAUUGCCUCCUUGUCUGAAGAGCGAGAUGAAGAGCCAAAGCAGGUAUCUCUUGCUCGGCGCUAUACGACCAACACUCGUCAAUCAACAUAUCAAUCUGCAACCCCACUUGAUGAUCAAACACCACGCUGCAGACGCUACCGUCGGUGGAGACCGAGGACAGGAAUAAAUCCGUGAAUUUCACUAAAUCCCUAGACAAGUCACUCAAUCGCUUGUGAGCACCAACAAUGGCUUACCUCAAAAUGGAAAUAGUGUAAUGUUUUUGGCUAAGGCAGCAACGAAGAGUCAAGAGGGACGUAGACAGCUGAAAUGUCAACUCCGAAACUAUAGCCUACAAUAUUUGCAAAGUCGUCGCAUUAUUGUUGCUUGUAUGACCAAGACUCGCGCGACUACAUUCCCAGACCAUAAUCGCCUUAUCGCGCCCGUAUUGCAAUUCUUCAGGCCUGAUCAAUCCAUCAUGGAAUGGUCAGCUCCCGCCUGCUCCAUCACUGUCCUGAUCCUUGUGUCCUUCCUGCCGUUGCGAGCGUCCGACGACCGCCUCCUCCCCAGCAAGCCGCUCUCCCCUGGCGCCACCAUCGUCUCGGACGGCGGCGACUUCGCCUUGGGCUUCUUCAGCCCCUCCAACUCCAGCACUACUCCAGCGAAGCUGUACCUCGGCAUAUGGUACAACGGCAUUCCCGAGCUCACCGUGGUGUGGGUCGCGAACCGAGAAACCCCGGCCACCAACACCACCAAUUCCUCCUCCGCGCCCACGCUCUCCCUCACCAACACCUCGAGCCUCGUUCUCUCCGACGGCGGCCGUGUCCUUUGGACGACGACGCCUGAGACCGACGUGGCCGCUGCUCCAGCGACGGCGGUGCUUCUGAACAGCGGCAACCUGGUCCUACGCUCGGCGAACGGCACCACGCUGUGGCAGAGCUUCGACCACCCGACGGACACGCUCCUGCCGGACAUGAAGAUGGCGAUCAAGCAGGGCGCGCGCGCCGCCGGGCAGCGCCUGGUGUCCUGGAAGGCGCCGGGCGACCCCUCGCCCGGCCGCUUCUCCUACGGCGGCGACCCGGCCACGUCCCUCCAGAUAUUCCUGUGGGAGGGCACGCGCCCCGUGUACCGCAGCGCGCCAUGGACCGGGUACCGGGUGAAGAGCGAGUACCAGUUCCAAACGAGCAACACCAGCGCCGUCACCAUCUACCUGGCCGUCGUCGACAACAACGGCGGCGGGGAGAGCUACACGACCUUCAGCGUAUCGGACGGCGCGUGGAAAACAAGGUACGUCCUGGCCUACUCGGGCGAGCUCCAGAUCCGGAGCUGGAACGCCAGCUCGUCGGCGUGGGCCGUGCCGGGCCAGUGGCCCACCUGGGCGUGCGACCGCUACGGCUACUGCGGCCCGAACGGGUACUGCGACGAGACGGCGGCGCCCACCACCCCGGCGUGCAAGUGCCUGGACGGCUUCGAGCCGGCGAGAGGGGAGGAAUGGGACAAUGGGAAUUUCUCGGCGGGGUGCCGCCGCAAGGAGGCGCUGCGGGGUUGCGGUGAUGGCUUCGUGGCGUUGCCGGGGAUGAAGCCGCCGGACGGGUUCGCGCUCGUGGAGGAGGAUAAGUCGCUGGCGGAGUGCGCGGCGGAGUGCAGCAGCAACUGCUCCUGCGUGGCGUACGCGUACGCUAACCUGAGCAGCGGCACGUCCAAGGGGGGUAUAGCAAGGUGCUUGGUGUGGGCCGGGGAGUUGGUUGACACCGGGAAGCUAGGCUCAAGCCCCGCCAGCGACACGCUCUACCUCCGGCUCGCAGGCUUGGACGCAGCACACGGUACCAAUCCAAUCUCUUCCCUCCUCAUUCUCUAUGUUAGUCUUUUUUCUUCUGAUGGUGACUAUUUCUAGUUCUUUUCCUGGGCAAUUAGGAGGGGAGAAAUUUUCUACCUAAAAAUAUUACUCACUCCGUUUCAUAAAGGUUUCAAGAACACGAGUUUAAAAAUAGGGGUAAAGGGCAUAGAUAGUCACUUCAUAAUUAAUCCACAAUCCAGCGGCCAGUCUAAAAGCCCAUAGAUAUCACAAAAGUUCCUCCAAAGAGAGUUUAACCAUUACGGACAAAAAUUGUUGGUUCUUUAUACUCCCUCCGUCCCAUAUUAAGUGACGAAAUAUUACAUGUAUCUAGACGCUUUUUAAAUAUAAAUACAUCCAUAUUGGGCAAAGUUGAGUCACUUAAUAUGAGACGGAGGGAGUAGUAAAAAAACAUAUAUAACUAGGCAGUUACACAUUUGUGAAAUAUGGGCAACUUCCCUUUUAGACAUGUGCAAGUGCGCAAGCGAGCAUGUUCAUGUACAUUUCUACACCCAGAGAUGCACAUAUAAUUGUGUGUCUAGAUAUUAUAUUGUGUCACUUGGUUUAGAGAUAUAAACUCCUCCCUACGAUACAUAAAAUGUGUCGUCCACUUAGUACGAAAUUUGUACUAACAUUCAGUACAAAAUGGGCGAUACUUUUUAUGGAUGGGAGGGAGUAGAUUUUCAAUGGCCUGAAAAUUAGCAAACCUGUUAUUUUAUAAGAAAUGCCCACGGUGCAACUCAAACACAUGCUUUAAACUUGUAAACUGGACCGUUCAUAACACUUCGCUUUUAUGCUAUGGUGCAUGGACAGGUACAAGAUCAAAGAACAAUGAAGUGAAGUUUGGAUUGCCAAUUUUAGGAAUUAGUGUUCUGAUACUGGGGUGCAUUUUUCUUGCAUGGCUGAAUUUCAGAGGUACGUUAAAUUUAUAUUCCUCUAGGAACUGCCUAUUCGACCUUUUUGAAAUAUUUGAGUUUGUAUAUUGUACCCUCGUGCCGCAGAAUAUUCUAAACCCCGUGAAUUUGCAAAUUCGCACCAGAGCCUAUUUAAGCAAUGUAGUCAUUGCAAUUAAUAGAUAAGACAAUAAUUCCACAUGUUAGUGAUGUCUGCUUCUUCUUCACACCCCCUCAUCCGGCUCCCCCCUCAUCUUCUACUGGGUAGAUUUCUGUUAACAAUCUAAGACAUGGCUCUCUCGUUGCUUGACCAUGGUAUCCUUGGUGGGGGUCUAGUAUAGUAAACUAGUAACACUAAUAUGCCAUGGUGGUUUUUGGUUAUGUGAAUUUACAACGGGUAUACAGUGGACAAACACUAGCAGUUAAAUCUGUGAAAUAAAAUCUUAAUUUUUUUAUCUUAUUUGUUAUGUGUAUGAUAUACUCAUGGAUGUCGGUUACUGAAGCAGGCAAGAAGAGAAACCAGGGAAAGCACAAGAAGGUAACAGUGGAUGGUUCAAGUGAACUUGAAUUUCCACUUGUAAGAUUUGAGGAAGUUGCCCUAGCAACACAAAAUUUCUCUGAAAAAUGUAUGAUUGGGCAGGGAGGCUUUGGUAAAGUUUAUAAGGUAAUUUGUUCUAUAGUAGUAUCCUCUUAUUCAUUCUAAAUCUGUUUAAGUAACUUAAUUGACUUGUUCAUAUGAAAACCAAAAUGCAUGUUUUUCCUUAACAUUUUGAAGGGAACACUAGGUGGUCAACAGAUUGCCGUCAAGAGGCUAAGUAGGGACUCUCAACAAGGGACAAAUGAGUUUACGAAUGAAGUAAUUCUCAUUGCCAAAUUGCAACACAAAAAUUUGGUUCGACUCCUUGGAUGCUGUGGCGAGGCAGAUGAAAAAUUGUUGAUUUAUGAGUACUUGCCUAAUAAAAGCUUAGAUGCCACCCUUUUCGGUAUAUUCCAUCAACACCACCAGAAUUUCCUAAAAUAACUCAACAUGUUCUCUUACAUAUUUUCUUUUGAUAGAUGAUUCAAGAAAACACUUGCUGGUUGGGUGACUCGGUUAAUAUAAUCAAGGGAGUGGCAAGGGGGUUGCUUUAUCUCCGCCAAGAUUCAAGGUUGACCAUUAUUCACAGAGAUCUCAAAGCUGGAAAUGUUUUGCUAGAUGCAGAGAUGAAACCCAAGAUAACCGAUUUUGGCAUGGCAAGGAUCUUUGGUGAUAACCAGGAAAAUGCAAAUACGCAAUGUGUUGUCGGAACAUAGUGAGUAAUUAUUUGAACCAUUAACUUGUAUUAACUCAUGGUUAAAUUCAAACCCCAUUCCCCUAACUGUUGCAAGUGAAAUAAUCAAGCAGUGGCUACAUGGCUCCCGAGUAUGCAAUGGAAGGUGUCUUCUCUACCAAGUCAGACGUCUAUAGCUUUGGUGUGUUACUAUUAGAGGUUGUAACCGGCAAAAAGAGAAGCUCAGGCAGUCACACCAUGGGCUUUCCUAGCCUCAUAAUCUAUGUGAGUAAAUACUCCCUCCGUCCCAUAUUAAGUGACUUUUUAUUACAUGUAUCUAGACGCUUUUUAGGUAUAGAUACAUCCAUAUUUGAACAAAUUUGAGUCACUUAAUAUGGGACGGAGGGAGUACAUGUUUUAUUUUAAGUGCCAAAUUAAAGAAAGAAAGUAAGCCAUGUUUCUGAAAGAAAAGGGUUAUUUUCUACAACUCAUAGAGGGCGUUUCAUAUUGUUUCAGUCGUGGAAUAUGUGGAAGGAAGGGAAGGCAAAGGAGUUGGUUGACUCAUCUAUCAUGGACACCAGUUUAAUGGAUGAAGUCUUUCUUUGCAUCCAUGUGUGUCCAGGAAAACCCAGAUGAUAGGCCGCAUAUGUCAUCUGUUGUGUUCGUCCUGGAGAACGGAAGCACCACGCUUCCAACCCCCGAUCUUCCCGCCUACUAUGCACAACAACGCAUUGACUUGGAGCAAAUUAGAAACGAUAUUCUGAACUCCGUGAAUACUUUAACUCUUACCAAUAUUGAAGGGCGAUGAAAUAAUUUGUCUAAAGAUGGGCUAGCCCACGUGUAUGAGCUUGUAGUCUAGUGGUGGAGUGAAAUACUGAAAUAUUUCCUUCCUAUCCAGAGUACAAAAGAGUUGUUGUACUGAAUCUUCGACACUUGUUAUGGAUCGUAUGACAUCAGUUCAGAAAUGGUUGUUCAGUCAUCACUUAAGUUUCAGCAGUGACCUGCAUGCAACACAGCAAACUACGUUUAUCAUGUGCCUCUGGAUUUAUUUAUUUAUUUAUUUUUUUUUAUUUUUUUGCAGGGAUGUGCCUCUAGAUGUUCAUGCUUAAUAACAUGGGUAUUAAACUAGCUGAGAGCUCAGAACUAGAACAAUUGAGGGGCUUGAGGAAACAUCGAAGGAGCACGCUAUAAUCAAAGCACAUAAAUUUCUGCACUUUACUUUUUGCCUCUUACACAAUGCCAAGCAAAGAGCACACGCAGGGAGACUGGAGUGGAGAGGCACGAAGGCAGAGUUAAGAUACCUAACUUGGCAUCUGCUUAGUCUAAAUAAGCAUCAGUGCUUAACAAAAACCGGUUAAUUUUUUUAAGCACCCACCUAGGCAUCUUGCAUUGUACAUGCUCUUAGGGGGUUGGACCACCCUGAGAUUUUCUAAUCAUUUAUAUAACACGGUUAAAAAAAUUCAAAACAUCAAAAUAACUAAAUUAUAUGAAUAUUUUCACUGUUAGACCACCGCGGGGCGCGGGCGAGGGAAACAGAAUGAAGGGAAUGUCGAAGAUGGGCGACGUACAUACAGGUCCGAAGAAGAAGAGCAACAUACAUCAAAUAAAUACACGAGCAGAGUAAUCUAUAAACUCAGAGCAAAUGAAUUUUUGUCAAAGAAUUUAAAAACUCACACAAAAAAUUCUAAAUUUGGAUUAGUGAUACAAAUUAGUUCAAAUAUGGUUCAAAGAGGCUCACUUGGGACCGCAGCUUCUAGCUAGGUUUUCUCAUCUUGCAAAAUCACCACCGUGGAUAAAUCUCCUCCUGAUCGAAUCUCCCGAAUUGGUGACGGUGUUGUUUAAUCAAACUAGAGCACGGCGUCGAGACCGCACAUUAAUAUCUAAAUUUCUCAUCGGUCAUCGGUUGACGCACUCAACCAUGUCGGCCGCCGUCAAGACUGCGGGCGAGCAGUGAUCUGAUCGGUGUACCGUUAUCUUCGCGCCGAAGCAACCACCAAAGUUGAGGCCAUGGACGUGAGGCGUUUACUCGAUGUCCAUGUUGAUGUAGAGUUGCUUGACAUUUCCGUCCUAGUUCUAGUUCUAGAGUUAACUGAGGAUGCUUCUCUUGACGUUAGGCAGCGGGCCCUCAUGAACGACGAGGUGGAUAUAGGCCUCGAGGUCGUGGCAGCAUGAGGCAUCGGCAUCCAACCUAAGGUAUGUCGAUGCCAUGUUGUCAGCCUGAGCUCGCGGCCCAUGUUUGCGUAUCACAGCCUGUCGACAUCGGGAAAGAAGCAGCACAGGAAGACAUCAUGCACAUUCACCACAGGAAGGAUCCGCGCGCCUCCGCACGUUAUAUGGUCACCUACCUACCGCACGUUGUUGGCCACCUGCCUGCCAUGCUACUAAGAGCAAGAUUAAUAAUACAAACAUGUAUAAUGCUGGCUAUUAGCCCAUCAAUAGAAAACAUGUAUAAUAGUUAGCUAUAAGUAUGCACUAUUUUAUGAAUACAUUGCCCGCAUCUCACUCUCAUAGGAAGCCUAGGGGCAUGUGUGAUGCCACCGGCUGUUAGCUAGCAGCCCGCUUCUCUCCUCUCUUCCAUUCAACUCAACAAAAAUAUAGUAUUUAAAAGCUUACAACCUGCCCACGUAACCAUAUUGUACUUGCUCUAAGCUCUCGACUUGCUAUGGUUAGGGAAAUUGAGUACGAAAGAGCGUAUGCAUUCGAGUGAUCGUGUCGGAAAGAUGCAAUCAAUAUCAGCGAUCAUACGACUUGCGAAAGGAAACAAACACAUCCCCAUAUGUGGAGGAGGCCAAGGGUCUGUUUGGAUUGAGCCCCAGAUAGCCCUACCAAAAAAUUGGCAAGCUAUACUUGUUUGGUUUGCAGCCCUAGUGGAGCACCAAUUUUUUGGAAAACGAUUAGGCCACUAUUUGGUUUGCUUACAAGUACAGUUUCUGCAACUUUCAGUUCUUGAACGAGCAGAGAAGAACACCUCAAUCAAUUUAGAUCACUGAAGCAUGUAUAACCUGCUCCAAAUUCUCUUGCACUGGAGCAUCUGCACACCACUAGGAGCAGUACGCCUCCAUCGAUUUAGAAAUAUGUUGACCACAUCGUCGGGAUUUUGAGUUCUUCUCCAACUCCGGCCAACGCCCGCCGCAUCGAUUUCUUUGUUUUCCGGCGGGGUAAAGAUGGAUUCCUUGGGCAUCUAAAAUCAAAGACACAUAAUCUUCAUUUCCCAUCGAUCAAUUUUGAGUUUUGGACCCUGUAGCAUCACUCACGGGGAUGUUGCCGCCGGCCGCCACUUUCGCUGGCCGUAGUUUGCACAGCCGGACAUGCUGAUGCCACCAACGUAUUCCUGGAGUUCCUCUGAUUCCGUUUUGUGCUUAUCCGUCAUCCCCGAUUGCCCCAGAAAAAAACGGGAAAACGCAAGACAUGCAAGAUUAGCGAGAGGUUACGACGAGAAAGAGAGGAGAAUGCGGCUGCCAAAUAUUUGGCGGAGGAUUUCUACGCCCUGGACUCGCCCGCGAGUUGGUGAAAAAGCACGGGCGCGCUCGGGCGAGAGUUGGCUCACCAAAUUAUCGGUCACAGUCCAAACAACGGCCAAAUGUCACGGGCGUACCAAUUUUUUGGUAAGGCUUGCGUUGGCCAUAAACCAAACGUACCCCAAGUACACAACAAAAUACUGAAUUGUGGGAGUAUAUGGGCUGGAGUAAUGGGUCGAUUAUUAAAAUUUUGGACUGAAUUGUGGGAGUAUAUGGGCUGGAGUAAUACAUCAGUUACAGAUGUGUGGACGUGUGGUUUUAUGCAUCAAUGGAGAGUUUGAAGAAAAAAAAAAUAUUACAAGUCUGGAGGACUUAGCCACAUGGAAGAAUAAUUGAACCCCAUCAUGUAGUAUCCUGUCCUCUUCACACCAUCACCGAUACUUCGGUCUUCCCUGCAAUACAUACGGUCACCACUGCCCGAUGUCAGCGAGUAGAUCUGGUCGCGCGGCAACUCCUUCUCCUUAUUAGAGAAGGUGGGGCGAGAGUAGUAGAUGUGGUUUCUCUCCAAACCGCGUCGUUGGACGCCCAACGGCACGUGCACCGCCUUAGACCGCAGCAGCCCCCAAAACAAGGCAUAGUUGUCGAAGCUCGUAACCUCUUCCCAUUUGCAGUCGCCGGAGUCAGCAUCGACAAGCUUGAAGACCUUAAAGAAGGCUUCGCGGUUAGGCAGCCACCGGGUCCUCACAGCCAUGGACAGUUUACCCUGUAGCUCGAAGAUGUGGCCGGCGUAUUGCACGGGUUCAUCCCGCCUGGUGGGGCCAUCACGCCUUUGAAUGGCCAGCACGUGUGUGGCUGUGACCACCGGCGAGCCAUCUUCCUCCCAGCCGAUUGUAAACUUGAUGAGCUCCUCAUCCGGUGCAAGAAGUGUUGGAAUUUUGGGUUAGGCCCAAGGUCCAAUCUGAAAUUAAUUCCUGAAAAAUCUCAAAAGCCCAUUCAUGGAGUGGAAUGAGGAAGUGGGAAUAGUCCCACCUAGCUAGUUUAGGAGAGUUGGAUCAAUAUAUAAGAUAUGUUGGUUCUAACCUCUUGAACAAGUGAGCAAGGUAAAUCCCCACGCGCGCUCAUCCUCCUCCUCCUCCGCUCGCCUCGCCCCACGCCACGCCACGAGUUUCGUGGAUCGAUUUGGUCGGUGCGGUGCAGGGUCGUGCUUAUCUUGUUUUCCAUCCAGUCGACUGCGUGCAUAGAUCGUCGGGAGAGCAGGCCUCUGGAACCCCGACCUUCGAGAUCCUGUCCGAGAGACUGUCGAUAAGGUUUUUGGGAAGCGUUCUCAUGCGACUGCUCGCUUCUUCACGUCCCUGUUUCAUCGGCAUCUUCAUCACCAAUGGCCGAUGACCUCGGAGAUCCUGCGGCUCAGACUGCCGCUCUAGCUCAGCAGCAGCAGGCUGCCCAACUCCAAGCCCAGGCAAUUGCUGCUGCACAGGCGCUGGCCGCUGCCCAGGAGGUAGUCAAGACUGCUGCUGCUGCCGGCAUGAACAUCGACGCCGCCGGACUCGUCACCGACCUCAACAAACAAACACAAGAAAAGAGUACAACACUGUACGUCUGCUCUUUCUUGUUGAUUUUGAUUAGUAGUUCUAUUAUUCAUGUCGUGAAAUUAGAUGAGUUUUAUUAAUGUGCGUUGCUAUUUAAUUUGUCUAGUUUGCAUGAUAUAAUAUGCUACAUGUUUUACACAUUGUUUUUCUGGAUUAAAUAUUCAUCGAAAUUACCUAAUUAUUCAACAAUCCAAAAACCUUAUUCGUGUAGCCAAUUUUCGAUGUCUCAAUUUGCUGUCGCAUUGAAACCACCUGUGUUUACUGGACUGCACUUUAAGAGGUGGCAGUAUAAAUGUCAUAUGUGGCUCGUGGCUAUGGGCGCAUGGUGGGCGGUACAACACGGGAAGACUCAAACAAUUGCUCCUCAACAGUUGUAUGUUGAGGCUUGUGUUGUAGUCGUCGGUGUGAUCUGUAGUAUGCUGGGAGAUAAGCUCGUUGAUGCUUAUCUACACUAUCAGGAUGCCAAAGAGUUGUGGGAUGCGCUCGAUGCUAAGUUUGGCGCAUCUGACGCCGGCAGUGAGCUGUACAUCAUGGAGCAGUUCUUUGACUAUAAGAUGGUUGCAAACCGAUCUGUAGUGGAACAAGCUCAUGGGUUACUGACUAUGGCUAAGGAACUUGAGCAAUUCAAGUGUCCACUACCCGACAAGUUUGUCGCCGGGGGCAUCAUGGCCAAGCUUCCUCCCUCGUGGAGGAACUUUGCUACUUCACUAAAACACAAGAGACAAGAAAUCUCUGUGGAGAACCUGAUUGGGACUCUUGAUGUUGAGGAGAAGGCGAGAGCAAAAGAUGCUGGCCCCAAAGGCAACACGCAAGAGGGUACGUCCACUGCCAACAUGGUUCAGAGGAACAACCACAACAACAGUAACAGCAAGGGAAAGGGAAAGGCAUUCAACAAUGCUGGUCCAAAAAACACUACCACUUUCAAGAAGAAGAAGAAAAGAGGCAACAAGGACAAGGAUCCUUACUUUGUGUGCGGAGGACUCGGCCACUGGGCGAGUAACUGCAAGGAGCGCAAAGGAGGACAGAUUCGGCAAAAGUUUGCUAAUUUGACCAUUGGUAACAAUGAAGAUGCAGGUGGGUAUAGUCAUUUAUUUACUGUAUUUUCUGUAUGUCAGUCCACCGAUUGGUGGUCAAUACAGGUGCAACUAUUCAUGUGUGUGCUGAUAUUUUCUUGUUUUCUUCAUAUCAGGCCAUCAGCUCCUCAGUGACGAUGGGGAACGGCGCUCAUGCUUCUGUUCAUGGUGUUGGCACGGUGGAUCUGAAGUUUACUUCGGGAAAGAUCGUGCAGCUGAGGAACGUGCAGCAUGUGCCCUCCAUUCAGAAGAAUCUUGUUAGUGGAUCCCUCCUUUGCAAGGACGGAUUUAAGUUAGUGUUUGAGUCCAAUAAAGUUAUUGUGUCUAUGUAUGGACAAUUUAUUGGUAAAGGUUAUGAGUGUGGAGGCUUGUUCCGCUUAUCCCUUUCGGAUUUUUGUAAUAAGGUCGUGAACCGCGUCAAUUGUAUUAAUAAUGAGUCUAAUGUUUGUCAUUCAUGACUUUGUCACAUUAAUUUUAGUUGCAUGAUGCGAUUAGCAAAUCUGAGUUUAAUCCCUAAAAUCACUGUGGCUAAAGAUUCGAAGUGCCAAACUUGUGUGCAAGCGAAGCAGCCUCGCAAGCCUCACAAGGCUGCUGAGGAGAGGAACCUAGCACCAUUAGAACGCAUACAUUCUAAUCUUUGUGAGAUGAACGGUGUAUUAAUCAAAGAUGGAAAACGUUACUUUAUGACUUUCAUUGAUGAUGCGACUAGAUUCUGUUAUGUGUAUUUAUUAAAAUCAAAGGAUGAAGCAUUGCAUUAUUUCAAGAUCUAUAAAGCUGAAGUCGAGAAUCAACUUGAGAAGAAAAUUAAACGUUUGCGGUCUGACCGCGGUGGAGAAUAUUUCUCCAGUGAGUUUAAUUCAUUUUGUGAGGAACAUGGCAUAGUCCAUGAGAGGACACUUCCCUAUUCGCCCCAGUCAAACGGGGUUGCUGAGAGGAAAAUCCGCACGCUGACUGACUUGGUCAACGCCAUGUUAGACACUGGUGGUUUAUCCAAGGCAUGGUGGGGGGAGGCGCUAUUAACUUCGUGUCAUGUCCUAAAUCGUGUUCACACAAAAGAUAAAGUCACCCCAUACGAGCUAUGGGAAAAGAAGAGACUCACACUUUCUUACUUACGGACUUGGGGUUGUUUGGCGAAAGUCAAUGUGCCAAUUACCAAGAAACGUAAGAUUGGACCAAAAACCGUUGAUUGUGUCUUUCUUGGCUACGCACUUCGGAGUGUUGGCUAUAAAUUCUUGGUUGUAAAUUUUGGAGUACCUGACAUGAGCGUUGGUACAAUUAUGGAGUCCAGGGAUGCUACAUUCUUUGAGAACAUAUUUCCCAUGAGAGAUAUGCAUAGCACAUCUAGAGAGGAUCAUGAUGUACCUGCUGAACCCGUCAGUUCAGAGGAACAUCAGGAUCAUGGUGUAGCUCCUGAACCCGCCAUCCUAGUGAAAAAUCUUGAACAAACACUUGAUGAGAUUCCUGAGGAGUAUGACAAUGAAGCCCCUAUUAGGGGUAAGUGACAAAGGAUUGCUAAAUCCUUUGGUGAUGAUUUCAUUGUUUACCUUGUGGAUGACACCCCUAAAACCAUUAAUGAGACUUUUGCAUCUCCGGAUGCAGACUAUUGGAAGGAAGCCAUUCGUAGUGAGAUGAAUUCUAUCAUGGCUAAUGGUACUUGGGAGGUCGUUGACCGUCCGUACGGGUGCAAACCUGUAGGAUGCAAGUGGAUAUUAAAAAAAACUUAGGCCUGAUGGUACUAUUGAGAAGUACAAGGCGCGGCUUGUGGCCAAGGGUUUUACACAGAAAGAAGGUGAUGAUUUCUUUGAUACUUACUCACCUGUAGCUCAAUUGACCACAAUUAGAGUAUUACUAUCACUGGCUGCCUCAUAUGGUCUGAUCGUCCAUCAAAUGGACGUUAAGACAGCUUUCCUUAACGGAGAGUUGGACGAGGAAAUUUACAUGAAUCAGCCAGAUGGAUUUGUAAUAAAGGGUCAUGAAGGCAAAGUGUGUAAGUUAUUAAAAUCUCUAUAUGGCCUGAAACAAGCUCCUAAGCAAUGGCAUGAGAAGUUUGACAAAAUUUUAACAUCUGCCGGCUUUGUUGUAAACGAAGUUGACAAAUGUGUAUACUACUGCCAUGAGGGGCGGGGGUGAGGGAGUUAUACUUUGUUUGUAUGUCGAUGACAUACUAAUAUUUGGGACUAACCUCAAAGUGAUUGAAGAGGUUAAGACUUUCUUGUCGAAGUGCUUUGACAUGAAAUAUCUUGGUGUAGCUGAUGUUAUUCUGUACAUCAAGCUCGUGAGAGGCGACAAUGGUGAGAUCACUUUGUUACAAUCUCAUUAUGUGGAAAAGAUCUUGAGUCGUUUUGACUAUGCUGAUUGUAAACCUUCUACAACUCCUUAUGAUCCAAGCAUUCUGCUUCGAAAGAAUCACAGAAUUGGAAGAGACCAACUGAUAUAUUCUCAGAUUAUUGGUUCACUCAUGUAUUUGGCUAGCACAACUACACCUGACAUCUCUUUUGCUGUGAGUAAACUGAGUCGGCUCAUUAAGAAUCUGGGAGAUGAUCAUUGGAGUGCACUCGAGAGGGUCAUGCGCUAUUUAAAGGGCACAAUGAGCUAUGGUAUACACUAUACUGGGUACCCCAAGGUACUUGAGGGUUAUAGUGAUUCAAAUUGGAUAUCUGAUGUUGAUGAGCUAAAGGCCACUAGUGCAUAUGUGUUCACACUCGGAGGGGACGCUGUUUCAUGGAAGUCUUGCAAGCAAACGAUCUUAACCAGAUCAACAAUGGAAGCAGAACUUUCAGCAUUAGAUACAUUCACGGCUGAAGCCGACUGGCUUCGUGAGCUCUUGAUGGACUUGCCGAUUGUUGAAAAACCAAUACCAGGGAUUCUUAUGAACUGUGACAAUCAAACUGUGAUAGUGAAAGUGAACAGUUCUAAAGAUAACAUGAAGUCAUCAAGACACUUCAGGAGACGUCUGAAAUCUGUCAGAGCAAUGAGAAAUUCCGGAAUAAUAGCAUUGGGAUAUAUCCCAACGGCUAAAACUCUGGCAGAUCCCUUUACAAAGGGUCUAUCAAGGAAUGUGAUAGAAUCUGCAUCAAGGGAGAUGGGGUUGCGACCCACGUGAGUUACCAUGGCGGUAAACCAACCUAUGUGAUCGGAGAUCCCGUGAAUUGGGACCUGGGAAACAAGUCAUUGGAUAACUGAGGAGAGUGUACAUUCUUUAUCCCACUCCGUUGACGAUGCAUUACUCUCGUGUACUGUAUGGUAGGUUGUUAACUUAAUGUGUUCUAACGCGUUACAUUAAUUUGCAAGGGAGAUACUGUCCUACAGAGUAGUCUCUAAAGAACACACCUAUAUGAACCUGACUGUCGGUCGCAGUCUAUGAGAUUUAGGUGGUCUCUAGUAAGCUCAUGAAAAGGCCUGGAGAAUGACUUAUAUGCUCCACACCGCGGGAUAGCAUUCGGCAGCCUAAUACCAGACAACAAUUUAGUGAAGCUCUAAUACAGAAAACUGACAAUUCAAGAUUUGUCCAUUGUUCAGUUGUGUGUGAGUGAAGCUAUUUGUUUAGGUGGAUAUUCAACCUUAACCAGUCUCCACUGAAACGCUGAUAUAUCAAAAACAGAGUUUUGGAUCAAUGGCAAUUUUAUGUGCUUAUGAGAUAUUGUGGAGGAUUGUUGGAAUUUUGGGUUAGGCCCAAGGCCCAAUCUGAAAUUAAUUCCUGGAAAAUCUCAAAAACCCAUUCAUGGAGUGGGAUGAGUAAGUGGGAAUAGUCCCACCUUGCUAGUUUAGGAGAGUUGGACCAAUAUAUAAGGUAUGUUGGUUCUCAACUCUUGAGCAAGUGAGUAAGGGAAAUCCCCACGCGCGCUCCUCCUCCUCCUCCGCUCGCCUCGCCUUGUCACGACGCGCGCGCGCCGCGUUUCGUGGAUCGAUUUUGAGUCGUGCCGGGCCAGGCCGGGGCAGGGUCAUGCUUAUCUUUUUGGCAAUCGGAAUCCGUUCCGGACGCGUAACAAAUCCCGAUAAUUGCGGAGUCGGUUUUGGUUUUUUAAACCGAACCGAAGUCCGCCUACAUGCCGAUAUAAUAAGACGACCGCGACCGCGGCCUCCGGACGUAUGACGCCACAACCCUAGCCAUCACGGUCACGAUCCAAUCUCGCUGUUCGCCGCCAACUGCUACUCCAUCCCGUCGACUGCGUGCAUAGAUCGUCGGGAGAGCAGACCUCCGGAACCCCGACCUUCGAGAUUCUGCCCGGGAGACGGUCGAUAAGGUUUUUGGUGAGCGUUCUCACGCGACUGCUCGCUUCUUCACGUCCCUGUUUCGUCAGCAUCUUCAUCACCAAUGGCCGACGACCUCGGAGAUCCUACAGCUCAGGCUGCCGUUCUAGCUCAGCAGCAGCAGGCUGCCCAACUCCAAGCCUAGGCAACUGCUGCUGCACAGGCACAAGCGCAGGUGCUGGCCGCUGCCUAGGAGGUAGUCAAGGCUGCUGCUGCUGCCGGCGUGAACAUCGACACCGCCGGACUCGUCACCGACCUCAACAAACAAACACAAGAAAAGAGUAUAACACCGUACCUAAUCUGUUUUUUCUUGUUGAUUUUGAUUAGUAGUUCUAUCAUUCAUGCCGUGAAAUUAGAUGGGUUUUAUUGCUGUGCGUUGCUAUUUAAUUUGUCUAAUUUGCAUGAUAUAAUAUGUUACAUGUUUUACAAAUUGUUUUUCUAGAUUAAAUAUUCAUCAAAAUUAUCUAAUUAUUCAACAAGAAGGUCAAGGCCAUGCGCAAGGGUAAGGCCAUAGAGAUCACCGUUGCAGAAGGCUAUAUCUAUGAAAAUCCUCUUGCGCCAACCAGACUCCUGGGCGGCCCUGGCCCAGCCGCUGUGGGAGCCAACUUUGCACAGCGCGACGUUGAGCCAAUCCUCGGUGAUGGCGGCGAGCAAGCAGCCGUCGGAGGUGGGUGCUUGGGAAAAGAUGAGUUUCGGGAUGGUGUUUUCCCUAGGAUCGCCACCUGGCGCGAUCCAGUAGGGGGAAGGGAACAUGCUCUGCUUCGGGGAGAGAACCCACCUCAACGCCGGAGAAGAGGUUCACGAUCACGAGCUCGCGGUUGUUGAACGCCGGGACCCAGCCGCCGUCGUGGGAGCCAGUCAGGAGCUUCCUGGCCACCUUGCUCGGGACGCGCAAGACACAACAACUGUCCUCGUUGGGGCCGCACAGGUGCUUCGUCUCGCUGCGGCAGCGUUGGGAGAGGAGCAGCAGUGGGGCUGCGGGCUGCGCCGUCGGGAGGAAAGCCUCAAGUGGACCAUGCCGACGAGGUCGUCGCAGAGGUCGGACCACCGCGCUGACGAUUCUGUGCUGCCGUUCCCGGCGGUCAUCCGCAGAGGCGAUUCGAUGAUAGAUCACGUGUACCGUGGUAUUUGGCGAGUGUACCGACCUGUAAGUCCGCUAACGCAAAGCGAGGAGUUGGUACUAGUCUAUCGGCCGAACAUCAAAUCUAUAGCCGAAUAGAUUUGUUCGAGUAUGAUUGAACAAAUCUACAGCCGAAUAGACAAAUCCGACCGUUCGUAGGAUCGACAACUUUUGUUCUCUGAGAUAAACAAUCAAGGUCUCGUACAGGCUAUACAGCCGUCUUGGCGUUGCAGGCGCGGCCGCAAUCCAGCCAGCGCGUGCCGGAGGGGCCUCUCAACGGAGGACGCGGUCGGUCUGCCGGUCCAUCACGUUGGGCGUUGGGCGUUGGCCGUCACGUACUUGACUUGAGCGACAUGAGUUCGAUGGACGAUGCCUCCUCUUCAAGCAAAUACUCCGUACUUGUGAAAUGUGAGCUCUUAUUUCAGAUGAAAUGUUGUGUUGUCAACUUGUCAAGGUGCCGUGUAACGCCUCCUCGCUUCCUUCUUCCUCCUCGGGCUCACCGGGUGAGCCAAGCAACCCGCUCGCUGGAUGUCAGACACACUGAUCGGCUGAGGAAAUGCUGCUUUGCUUGCAGUUUUUGUGUUCUUGUGCAUCUGUGAUCUGCGUAAGUCACAGUGAUCGGCUGAAGCAAUACUCCCUUGCCUGAUUCCCCUCUUUUCCCUCUGUUUCAAUCUCUCUAUCCGUUCCCCUUUUUCUACAGUCUGUUGCGACAUGGAGGAGAAGAGUUUGAUUCGGUCGACACUGGGAAAUUUCAUCCAGAAUAUGAUUGGUAGGCCCAAGAAAAAAAUGGUUUCAGAAGAGACAAGGUGUUCUAUCAAAAUGCCAAUCAAAAAUGUGUUAUUUUGACUUAGUUUGACACUGAUGAAUUGGACUGCAAUGAAAAAGUACAUAUGAAAGAAGAAAAAGGUUGGAUAGUCAAAAAACAAAGUCAGAAUAUGGUUGGAAAAACUUAAUUAUCAUAAUCCACCACAAUGCUGCGAAACCAACCCUUUGUCUAAGACAAAGAAAGAUGUGCACAUUUUGAUUGCUGAUGAUCUUGGCUAAUUUUUUUUAAAUAAUACUAUUUUUUUAAUCAUUUUUAAAAAUAAUACGUGUUUUUUAAAAAUUUCAAAAAUAAUGCGGCCUCGGCCUAGGCGAGGCCGAUUGAGCUCAGUCGGCCUCGGCCAGGCCGACUGCAGGCCGCCUGCUCAGCCCGCGAGGCCCCCACGAGGCAGUCGGCCUGGCCCAAGCCGACUGAAACCUAGGCCAACUGGCCCAGUUGGUUUCGGCCAGGCCGACUGGAUUCAGUCGGUUUGGGCCAGGCCGAUUCGAAGUAAUUCCAUUUUUUGUUUCGGAUCCUUGCGGUCUUUUGAACUAAAAUACUCAACUUGGAUAAAAGUAACACACCGAAUCCGAUCAGAAGUAAUUAGAUUUCGCCGCGAGUUCGUGCAUGAUCAACGCAUACACAGCCGAAGCUCAUUUUUGUCUCGAAUCCUUGCGGUUUUUUGAACUAAAAGACUUAACAACUUGGAUAAAGAGUAACAUACAUCGAUAAUUUGCUGGACAAUUUUUGUGUCGAUUCUUUGCGGUUUGUUUGAACUGGAAGACUUGACAUUUGGAUAAAUUUGGAUAAAUUAACAUACAUCGAUAAUGUGCUGGUUACAGAACCAAGGCAUGACUAAAUUAACAUACAUUGGUAAUACCGCAAUUGGACAUAAUUAAAGAUAGCAAAUACAUUUGAAACACAAGCACUACUGAGUCCACUUAGCCAUUUUCCGCUCGUAUCGCCACGUCCUUCUGCAGCCUUUGCCACGGCGGCCCUUUCUCUUUGCCUCUCCCUUUCUGCCUCACGAGCAUCCUUGCGACUUUGUUCCUCCUCUUGCAUCUCAAGUGCUUUCUCCCUGUUUUUCCUAAGUGCUUCAUCAAUCCAACGACGUUGUUCCUCCCUAUGCUCUUUCAUCUCUCUCUCUUGCUCCUCUUUCUCCUGGUCUGAAGCUUUUUCCACAUGCUUCUCCGCGUGGAAACACUGCCAUGCAUUUCGGGACCUUGUUUUGAUCUCUUCCACCGCCCAAUCCGGCAUCUCCGUGUCAUCCUCCUCGGCCUCUCGCCCUGGUCCGAGCAAGGCAAACUCAUCGGGGUCACUGGAAUAUUGGAAAAAACAGUAGUGGGAAGGAUGCUUGGAUGACUACCGGAGAUGAGGUAUUUAUAGGCUCUCAAACUCAUUCUCCCGGCACCGUUUCCCGCCUCGUUUUCCCGCCAGCGUUUCCCGCCUCCUUUUCCCACCACCGUUUCCUGCCUUUUUCCCGUCACUGUUUCCCGUCUAUUUGUAUCUUCUGUAACUAUAAAAGACCGUCCAUGGUAUUGAAGUGUAGUCUCACCAUUUCAUCUGGGAAGAUGUCGUCCGGCUUCCCAGAUGAUCGUAGAUUUUGGUCAGGUAUGUCCCGAGAGCUAUUGUGGUUAGCAGGUGAUUUCAAGGUAGACAAUAGGAUAGUUUCAUGGGACGAACUCAUUAGUAGUGACACCCUACUAACUGAGCUGAGCCACCAAUUAUAUAGGUGCAAUUUUCCAUUGAGGACUUCUGCAGAGAUACGGCAAGAACUGCUAAGGUUGCACGAAAGGUGGAAGAAGCACAGUGAACGUAAGAGUGAGUCAUACCUACAAUGGGCUAGAAAACAUCCGUGUUAUGGGUUGAAGAGGAGGAAUCCGAUGAAGAUAUCUUCAUGCCAAGCAAAACGGGUAAGAGUUCUUCAUCGUCCAAGGGGAAGAGUACUGCACCAUCGAAGCGAAAGAGCACAUCAUCGUCCAAGGGGAAGAGUACAUCAUCGUCCCAUGAAGAUAUCUUCAUGCCAAGCAAAACGGGUAAGAGUUCUUCAUCGUCCAAGGGAAAGAGUACUGCACCGUCGAAGGGGAAGAGCACAUCAUCGUCUAAGGGCAAGAGCACUUCAUCUUCGUAGAGUUAGAAUUAGGUUAUCUUAUUUUAAGUUGUCGAUUUUAAUUUCAGUCUUUCUAUUGCAUAUAUAUUUCAGUCCUGCCAUUUUUUAUAUGCAAAUGUAACUUGAAUAAGAAUGCGAAAAAUAGUAACAUGUAUCUCUCAUACAUAGGUAGAAAUAUGUCUCAUACAUAGAUAGAAAUAUGUCUCAUACAUAGGUAGAAAUAUGUCUCAUACGUAGGACCUACAUGCAAAUAUCAGGCACGGUGUCUGGGACGGCGUUCCGGGGGUGCCUAUGGCGUGGUCCAGCCAUACCUAUGAGGUGGCACAACGUUGCGCGGAGGAAUCACGGACCCAUCCUCACGAUACUGUGUAUCCUCCUGUGUGGGGUCUGGUCGCGGAGUACUGAACAUCCAGCUGUGUUGGAGAGAAUAGUGCUCUCCUCGAGCGUGAUCCUGCUCACUAUCCCACGAGGGUUCGGACAACGACGACUGAUGCCCGUAGGGUCCUGCAUGUGGGAAAGUACUUAGCAUUAGAAUUGUGUAGCAAUCAUGGUAAUGAACACAAUAGAUAGAAAUAUACAUACCCUGUGGCUGGGUCUGUGGACGAAACUCGAAGUUCAUCCUGCGACUCUGCUGGUGCUGCCACGCCGAACCUCUAGCCUGAAAAGAGGGGGGCUGCUGCUGCCACACCGAACCUCCAGCCUCAAAAGAGGGCUGCAGCUGGUGCCAAUAGUUGAAAGAAGACUGCGGCUGGUGCCACGACGAACCUCCGGCCUGCUCAGGAGGUGGUGGCCUGGGCGUCGACUGCUCUGGUAGACGUGGACGCGGGUGGUGUCGGGGGAGCGGUGCUUCCUGCUGACAUGGCCGCUGCUGGUGCGUGGAGUGACGAGGUGGCCGUACGGAUGCCUGGUGGUGAACGACGUCCGAAGUGCAGGUGCACGUGAUAGCCGCGUAAACAGAGCGUAGCUUCUCCUUCAUUCGUCUAAGCCAGGACUGGUGCGGCUCCCGUGGUAGUAGAAGUGGACCGGUCGAAAGCGAACGUCCAUACGCAGCGAACUCGGCCUGUAAAUUCUGUGUCAACUGAGCCUGCAAUUGGCACGAAGAGUAUUACAUAUAUAUGGCAAAGUACGUAACAAACACAUGCAUUAUGUUAAGAGAAGAUACUUACCGCGUGCUGUCUAGAGCCUGAAGUAGACUGGCUAGGGUACAUAUCUUGCAAACUCGGCUCGGCUAUCUCCUGGGGGUGAGAGUGCUGAAUGAUGCUCAAUCGGGUAGCUGUCAUGUACCUCUGCAAAUAUCCGUUGAAUAGAUCAAGAUCAAAGGCCUCCAAUGGCCAAACCCGUGUCGUCGCAGUCUCCCACUCUGUGACGUACGACUGAACCCUCUGCAGUCACUGAGUCAGGGUCCUGGUACUUCCCUUCCUGGUAAACCUGAGAUCGCAAUAGAAAGUUGAACAAUUAAAUUAUGGAUAAUUCUGGACGACAAUCAUAAAUUGCAGAACUGCACAUACCUGUGGACGAUCUGUGGAAGUGGAUCAUCCGUCGGUGGAGGAACGACCAACCGGCGUGCCCCAAACUACCUCAUGACCCUCUGCUGGGCCAUCUCCUCCAUGCAGACGUCGAAGAUGAUCUUUGAUUUUGUCAUCCAGUAAGCAUAAUCUCUCGUGCAGACCGUGGACAUCCCGCCAGGGUAUCUAUCAUCGAUGGCAUCUUGUGUGUACGGCUCCUAGACAACCGCCUCAGAGUGCAACACGUCGAACUGCUCGUUGAAUGAUGGGUAGCAAUUCCUGACCUGAUCGUGUGCAAAGCGUCUCUGUAAAAAAAAGAAGUUAGCUUCAUUCAUGGUUUAUGUAAACUAAUGUAUGAAUUUCACAUUCGACAUACCUUGCUACGUGUCCAAAUUGUCGCGAAAGUAGGCAGGUCGAUGUGUUCUAAGUCAAACAACUCCUGCUCAGGGUUAGGGUGAUCACCCGUAACGUCUGGUCGGCCGAUAGAAAACCUCUCCCACGACCAGAGCUGCAACAAUAAAGGACAUCCAAGCAGGGCUGACUUGGGCGACGCAAGCUGGCAAGCGUUGCACAUACCUCGGUACGUAGCCGCUAAGACGGCCGAACCCCAACUCCUCUGUGUGAUGUCGUCACCACAAGUUGCAUUCGCGAUCUCCACUGCAAUAGGGAUGUAGCGUGCGCUAAUGGUGGUGACGUGGUUCUCGGUGAACAUCACCUCCCGAGAAGCCACAUUAUAUAUGCCUCAAGGCUCCGAGUGAUCUGAGGCUCAGUCAUUUGGGUCUCUGUAUACCCAAACUUCUGAAUCUGCAUGCAACAAAAACCAAGUGUUAGUAAACCCAUGCAAGUAUAUGAGGUAUGCUCUUAGAUAUAUUAACUUAAAACACAUCGAUCUAACCUGGUAAUUAGGCAACCAAUCUAGCUUAGGUCCGUGAGCCUCCGAGGUAGGGGCUCAGCUCCGGCAAGAAUACCUUGAAAACGUAGGGAACAAAUUAACCCAUAGUUCCACAUAGCGUACAAAUUAAAACACAGGGCACAAAUUAACACAUACCUUGAAAGCGUAGUGCCAUACCCUCCUGCCAAUCAGCUGGUGCCUGCAACGGUCCUAUGGGAUCACCCACCAAUGGUAGUCCCAGCAGCAUCGAGACAUCCUGGAGAGUAGGAGCUAUCUCUCCCCAGUGAAAAUGAAACGUGUGUGUCUCGGGCCUCCAUCUGUCCACUAAGCAGCUCAGCAGCAAGUGGUCAAUUUGUAGCCGUGUAGAGUUGAAACCUCGUCGCUCACCCUCUACCAUUUCCGCACAAGUUGCCCCAACAAGUCGUGCGAAAGGUAAAAGGCCAGCCCACUUCAAACUGCAUAAAUAAAAUGGACAUGCAAGGGAUGAAUAAAUAAAAUGUAAAUGCAAGGGAUGAUUGAAUAAAAUGUACAUGCAAGGGAUGAAUAAAUAAAAUAGACAUGCAAGGAAUGAAUAAAUAAAAUGUAAAUGCAAGUGAUGAUUGAAUAAAAUGUACAUGCAAGGAAUGAAUAAAUAAAAUGGACAUGCAAGGGAUCAUUGAAUAAAUACCGCUGAAUCCAGGCAGGGUGUAUCAUCCAUUUUCCCUUAGGAGUGCGCGUGACAAGGGGCUCGACACUCUCAGGAUGCGCCACCAAUCGAGCAGCCUGAUGCUUACUCUCAAUCUCCGGAGAAAGCAAUGAUACUCUCUCCAUUUUGUGCCUGCAACAUUUAUAAACAAAGUUAGACAUACAAAUUAAAGUUAAGCAUAGUUAAACCGAGAGUACAUAUUAAAACAUAGUUGAACAAAGCGUACAAAUUAACACACAGUUCCACACAGAGUACAAAUUAAAACAAAGGGCACAAAUUAACACUUAGUUUCAGAUAGUACAAAUUAAAGCUUAGUUCCACAUAGAGUACAAAUUAAAACAUAGAGCACAAAUUAACACAUAGUUUCACAUAUAGUACAAAUUAAAACAUAGAGUACAAAUAAAAACAUAGAACACGAAUUAACACAUAGUUUCACAUAUAGUACAAAUUAACACAUAGUUUCACAUAUACAUGAUAAGCCUAGUUUCUUCCUCUCCCUCGUCGUCCACGUCUCCCUCUUCUACGGGCAGUAGCUCCACCAGUACCGAAAGUUGGACAAUAAGUGUCCCUGUGGCCAAAAUGGUUGCAUAGAAAACAUUGUCGUGACGGUCCUCCGGCUUCAGAUUCAUCCAUAUCAUUUCGGGUGCACCUGAACGGGCGUCUGCCUGUGCCUGUACGCAGUAGCCCGGGGUCAGGAAUGUACCGCCUUUCACCAGGGGUUACCUUGUUGAAAUUGCCCAUUGCACAAAACCCUAGCAUCUCACCCGUCCAUGUGCUAGGCACAGACUCUUUCAGGUAAUAGGGAGACACAAAUGAGAUUGCGUCCAUCCCUAGCUGCCCGCAAGCAACAAGUACAUGUGAGCAACGAAGGUGAAGCAACUUUGGUUUGUUGCAGGUGCACUCACACGUUGGCCACGCUUCAUUUCCAAUCUUCACCUCCUGUGUCCUCAAUUCAUUUCCAACGCCGAACUUGUCAGUUGGCAAGCGCACCUCAAACCUAUGUUCUUGAUUACCGAUGGCGACGACAGUAUGAGACGUAGCUUUUCCAUCUUCUCAUCCAUGUACUUCAUAAUCUUUUCACGGUACGGUGUAUUUGGGUUGUUCAUGAUAUGCAUUUCAGCUCUCUGGCGUCUAUCUCUGAAAUACUUCACCGUGCCAUGGAAAAUACCCUCGACGAUGGCUGUAAGUGGUAAAGCCCUAUUUCCCCUCAGGACAAAGUUGUAUGUUUCUGCCAGGUUAGUAGUCAUGACGCCGUACCUAGCGCCAUGUGUGUCAUGCAGCAAAGACCACCACUCCAGAGGCUUGUGCUCUAUCCACUGCUGAAAGUUUUUAAUCUGCCUCCCAACCCUUCUCCUAGUGCCGGGUGGGUCAAACCCUGGCAAGUCACAAAGCCCAACAAGUUCUUCCUCAGAUGGUCCUGUUCCAACUGCUGUCUGUGCAGCCACUGCUGCUACAUGUGCUGCUACCGCUGCGUUUCGUGCCGCUGUCCUCUCCCUAACAUGUUUCUUCUUGAACUCAUCAAGAUAACCACGUAUCCUAGUGUACUUCCAUUGUUGGUUCUGUUUGCAGAGUUUCUUGAAUAGAUUCAUAAGUGACUUGUUCCUGAACUGCGAGAAGAAGUUGGCCCCCAAAUGCCGCAUGCACCAACGACUCUGCAUGUCCUGCCAUGGAGUCUGUUCAUCAGGCUCAGGGUUUGUCAGUGUCCUUAUCACACUAAGUAUGCCUGCAUGUCUGUCAUGAAGGAUGCACACAUUCGGCUUAAUCAUGCACAAUUGCUCUCUUGAGCUGCCUGAAAAACCAUAACCAACUUUAAGUUUUCUCACCCUCCACGAAAGCAAAUGCGAGCGGAACGAUUUGAUAGUUGCCGUCUUGACCAAUGGCGGUCAAGAUCUGCCCCCUGUAUUUGCCAGUGAGAAAAGUACCAUCUAUGCAUAACACCAGUCGACAAUGAUGGAAAGCUUGAACGCAUACACCGAAAGUGAAGAACAGUCGUUGCAGCACCCUCACAGUUGGAUACUCUGAGUGCAGGAAGUGUUGGAUGUCGACAUAGGUGCCUGGAUUACGGGCUUGCAGUGUAUGGAGGAGGCGGACAACAGAGUCGUACGAGUCGAAAAACGAACCAAAUCUUUCCUCAAGAGCCCUCUGCUUAGCCCUCCAAGCCUUGCCAUACGAAAUGUUGUACUUAAACCUUACCCUGACCUUAUGCAUGAUGGCCUUCACUUCCAUUGCUUUGCUCUCCACUAUCUCCGUGUAAAGCAACCGAGCAAGAAGCGUCGACGAGAGGUUACGAUGGUCUUGAGGGAUACUGGGAAUGACACAUGUGUGCAACAUCAAGUCACUCACAACCCAAUCUGUGUCAUACUUAGGAACAUAGCCAUGCACCCUCCCGGGACAAUCUACUUGUUCACACUCCAUUGUAAGAUAUUUUUGUGAAGAGACUGUUGUUUUGAAAACCCUUUGCGUGGACAUUGCCCAAGCAAUUAUCGCAUCCUGCAGAUGUUUCUUGUCAGCAAAUCUGGCACCCUUCGCAAUGUUGUUCUGAUGAUAUUGUCAUGCAGAGUCGUGCCCAUCGUUCACGGUCAUAGCUGAAGAGAAGUGUUGAUUCCAUGAUGCAGGAGUCGGCACCUCCUCUUUGUCCGACUCAUGAGACUCAUCGUCAUAAGAACUACGGCCAUAUGUAUCUUCAUCCUCCAUCUCGUUCUGCAAGUGACCAUCUUCUUCGUCCGCAUCUGCCUCGCCAGUGUACUCAUCCUCUCCUACUGCCCCGGAGCUCUGGCCUGAUUCAUAACCACCACCUCCAGUAUUCGACACAGAGUUUGCAUUGGACAAGUCAUAAUUUGAUUCACCCUCGCCUUCAGCUGGAUUGGUCUCAUGAGCGACAACCUGGAUUAAGGCGACAGGUGUAGUUCCCCUUUUCUCGCAACUUUUUAACCAGCGCACCCACUUUGAUGUCCAGUCUAUCGGCCUCAAAACCAAAAAAAUAUUUGAACUUGACUUGGUCCACAAUGCUUGCACACGGGCGGUGUAUGUUUCAGGAUUGACCGCUAAACAUCCUACCAACCAUUCCUGCAACUGACUAAACGUCCAUGUUUGAGGGGCCGUUAGAUCCAACUCCACAUACUUAAACUGACUCAGGUCAGCUCCGUGCUCGGUUGUUAAGACAGUACCGGAACCGUAGUAAAAAACAAACUUCACUACACCGGACAUCUCUGAUGCCUAAAAAAAUGUUUAGACGCAUCAAAUACUAAGCAAUACGGCAUAUAAAAAAUAUUAUGACACGUCAAAUACUAAGCAGUACGGCAUAUUAAAAAUAUUAUGACGCGUCAAAUACUAAGCAGUACGGCAUAUUAAAAAUAUUAUGACGCGUCAAAUACUAAACAGUACGGCAUAAAUAAAAUCUAGCCUAAUCAAAACAUAUUACUACCGGCCAUACUAUUUGGACGCGUCAAAUACUAAGCAGUACGACAGAUUUAAAAUAUUAAUAGGUGUCAAAUACUAAACAAUACGGCAUAAAAAAAAUCUCGUCUAUCAAAACAUAUUACUACCGGCCAUAAUAUUUAGACGCAUCAAAUACUAAGCAGUACGACAUUACCCGUUGUCCAAAAUAAUGAGCACUACCAAACGCUAAAACAUACUUCUGGCAUCAUCACCAUUGCUCCAAUCAAAACAUAUACAUUGAAGCAGUGCACACGAAUCCUCAUAAACAUCAUGUGUCUAAGCAGUACACACGUAUCCUCAUAAACAUAUACAUUAUAAGAUAAAUACGUGAGAGAUUAGGAUUUACCCUUGAAGCGUGUGAACCCAACCUCGAGCAACCUCACAGUCACCCGAUGAGCACCACCACCUCCAAACUCCUCCAAACCACCACCAUUGCUCCAACUUUGCACCACAAAAUUAGCUCUACAUGGCCAAUGAAAACAGUAGAUCGAGGUGUCUUUGGGUGCCAACUAGGUAGGGGAUGCGAUUUUGUGGUUUAAAUGGGAUCAAAGUGCACUAAUUUGGGCUAGAAAAUGGGGCCAUUUGAGGAGAAAAUGAAGAACACAGAAGAGAAGAAGCUGGCUGGGAGAACGAGCAGAGGAGGAAGAAGCUGGCUGGGCUCACUCGGGCACGCACGGGAGGGAUGGGAAGGCAAAGUGAAAAAGGAAAAGGAAAAAGAUUCCGGCCCCGAACCCACCAUGCCGCUUUCGGCCACGACGAGGCCGACUGGCCAGUCGGCCUGGGCCAGGAUAACUGCCUCGUGGGGGGCCCACAGGCUGAGCAGGCGGCCUGCAGUCGGCCUGGCCAAGGCCGACUGGGCCUAAUCGGCUUGGGCCAGGCCGACUAGGCCCAUUCGGCCUUGCCCAGGCCAAGGCCGUAUUAUUUUUGAUAUUUUUGAAAAACACGUAUUAUUUUUGAAAAUGAUUAAAAAAAUCGUAUUAUUUAAAAAAAAUUAGCAUGAUCUUGCCGGUAGUUUGGUUUAAUGGAAUAGAAGGUAUUUCGUCUCAAAAAAGCAUUUAAAACAAACAUAAAAAUAAUAUAUCAAUGCCAAAUUUCUCAAGAUGGGUGACGUAGAGGGGAUGAGGAAUGUUCCCAAUCCUAAGCAUCCCGGCUAUCCCAGCCGAAAUACAAGCCUGUCCGGAGAGUACUCAUGAGUUCCCCGUUCGGUUGCAACAACCCCUGCAGGGAUUGAGUGGCGUUUAGAGAAAAUUGAACUAAACUGUCAUCGUUACUUCUCAAUCCCCAACGAGAAAGCCGUGCGAAAAACCCUGACAAUGAGGAUACACAGGGCAAAACCGAAGAAACAAGCCGCUACCGCGAAAACGAAACCCCUCCCGCUCCAACGACGCCGAACAGGGAACAUCACCUUGCGCCAGAGCGGGUAGGCAGAACUGGACUUCUUCGACGACCGGAGACAGGAAGAGGUUGCCCUGACAGGAACGGCUCGCGCAACGGCAAGCCUGCGUAGCACGAAGUCGCCCUCCCUGGCCAGCCCCACCGCGGCAAGCAAACUCUGCCGCCAGACGAGGGCUCCAAAGGUAACGCCUCCAAGGAGGACACGGCGUCCGAAGACGCCACCAUUGCCCGAUCCGAAAAACGCAUCUGAGCUUUCGCUCGGAGGCACCUCGCCUGCAAAAGGUGGGAUGUAGUAGGGCUGCACGAUGACGCCUUCAAGAAGGGAGCGGCGUCCAAGGACGCUGUCAUCGCUGGCACCAAAGGCGGUGCAGGGUUUUCACCCGCAGCCCACGCACCCAGCGUGAAUAGGGGCAAAAAACCUUCGCAAUGAAGAACUGACCAGAGGCCAGAGGCCACCAAAGCUCCGUGCGCACCGACGUAGGUCCGUCGACGCCAAUGGCCCAAACUAUCAGCCGCCAGGGCAUCACAACCGCCCCACGCACCGGCUUUGACGCACACUCGGCCCGCAGGCCCAAGCCGGACCCAAAACGGGCCCGCCCGCCACGGGCCAUCGAGCCGGUCGGGAACCUCCACGCACCGGCAAGUGCACGGCAAUGCUGCAACCACAUGCCGCCUAGCAGAACUGGCCGGCUGCCUGGGCCGGGCUCAUAUGUGAGCCCACGCCACCCAUCUGCACCCAGCAGACCAGUGCCGCCAUGCUGCCCAGCACCGCUCUGCGCCGACGGCCCCACGCGCCACCCCACGCCUCCACGCGUUCCCCGCCGUCAUCUCGCGCCACCAGGCGCCGCCUCGUCGUGGGAGAAGAGGAAAACGCUCCGCCGCCACCUUCCUUUGGCGUGCGCAGGCUUCGCCGGCACCCCCUUCGGCGGCAGCAAAGCAGGGGAAAGGGAGGAGGAGGAGGAAGACCGGUGGCGGCUAGGGUUUCAGGCAACACGGGGUAGGAGGAUGAUCCUUUGAUUUUAGUAUUUGCAUCUAGAUGUGGCCAAUGACUACAGAACGUACCCCAAUGCAGCAACUCAAUCCAUCAAAAAUAAAAAUAAAUCAAAGAGGCCGAAUAGAACAUGAAAUCCGAUAGAUCGAAUACGUUCAUAGGAUCGACACUUUGUGUUCUUUGAGAUAAAGAAUCGGAUUCCUAACAAUAUAUAGAAAGGGAUUUUGUUUUGUUUGUAGCCUUGUAUUAGGCAACUAGCCGCUGCUACUCGUAAUCGAUGGAAACAGAAAUGGGGAUGUCGACGGCGCCGUGGUCCUCCCUCCCCGACGACCUCCUCGGCCUGAUCCGCCACAGGAUCGCCUCCCCGCGUGACCGCGCGCGCCUCGCCGCCGUCUGCUGCUCUCGGCCACAGACCGGUGCCCGCAACGCACAAUCCGGCAGCGACGGCGCGACCUCUCCCGACUCCCACUCCCAGCUCGUCGCCUCUUCAAUCUUCUCGCGCUUGGCGCCUGCAACUCCGGCCAGCUCGACGGUGGAGAGGCCAAUCUGCACGGCAGCCGCAACUAAAGGACGGCACCAACUACCGAAUCAGGGGUAGGCGCAAGUUAGUUUCAGGUUGAGUUGUUGUUCAGAUCCGAGUUGUUGUCACGCUGUUCAGAUUUUGUUGUCGAGUUAGUGUUGCUGCUACUUCGAUUCAUGUUCGUGUGUAGCUUCUACUUGAAGUUUCUGUGUGACCGUGUGUACAGCGACAGCGUGUGUGAUUAUGUAUGUGAGGCUCAAUUGUACGUCAGAUUGCAGGUACGUGUGAUGCUAGUCUGUAUGAUUUGUCGAAUUCUGAAAUGAGAUGGUGCCGAAAUUUCGGAAAUUCCGGGUUACCCGAUACCCGAACCCGAAUUCCGGGUUAUUAAUUUUUUGCUCUAAUUUGGAGUGUUAAAUUUGGAAAUCCGAUUUUUUACUUACCCAAAUUACCCGACCCGAAUUUUCGGGUAAACCCGAACGCCCAGUCUGAUCCUAGUCCUUGUUAUUUGAAACAAAUAAAAAUAAUCAUAGCAGGGGUGUGGCCGGCCGGUACGUGGAUAUAUUUUGUAUCGUGUUUAAAGUUCCAACCGCACAUGUAUGCAUGUUACAUAUCGGAUUCCUUCUUUACUCCAAAAGGGAGAACAUAUCGGAUUCCUAGCUACUUAGUACUGCAGUAUAUAAGAUAAGGGAUUUGUUUGUACGGCGAUUAGCCAGUACUCGCAAUCGAUCGAAAGUUCGAAACACGUAGAGAGAUGUCAACGGCGCCGUGGUCAGAGCUCCCCUACGACCUCCUCGGCAUGCUCCGCCUCAGGAUCGCCUCCCCUCGUGACCGUGUGCGCUUCGCAGCCGUCUGCAAGCCGUGGCGUGCCGCCGCGCUGCUGCUCCCGGCGCCGCCUGCCGCCCCACUGCUGCUCCUCUCGCCGCGCGGCCGCAGCGGGAUGAAGCACUUGUGCGGCCCCAACGACAGCUGGGUCUUGCGCGUCCCGAAGAAGGCUCUCUACAAGCAGUUCCUCGGCUCCCACGACGGCGGAUGGGUAGCUGCGGUGAAUUACGACGGGCUAAUGAUCGUCAACCUCUUCUCCGGCGCCGAGGUUGUGCUCUCCGCAGACCAAACCACCAAGCUCGCCUCGAUCUGCUCUCCCAAGCCGUUGCCGUUCCACUGCGUGGGACACAGCAUCUGGAAGAUUGUCUUCUCCGGAGACCCCGCCUCCUCGGACGGCUGCACCCUCGCCGUCCUCAUGGGCGACCAGGCCCACGUCGCGGUGUGCAGAGUCGGCUGCCCGAACGGCGAAUGGGCCGUGCAGGCUUGGCACGGGGAGUCUAUCCAGGACAUCGCCUUCUGCAACGGCGAUCUCUACGGCCUCACGCUUGGCAGCGAGUCACUGAUCAAGUUUGAGAUCAGCAUGAAGCUGCAGGAACAAGAAGACGGCGGCAUGGCGCCGGUGCUCACGACCAUGGCUCACAAGCUGGCCAUCCAAAGGCGUGACGUUCCCACCUGGGAGCACGAUUUCAGGGCCUACUUCGCCUACAUUUUCGAGCUGCACGGCGAGCCGGCGAUGGCGGUGCGGACCCGGUGGCCGGCCAACCGUGAGCCUAUCUUCAGGGUGUUUAAGCUCUCCGCUGCUGCCGACGGCGUGUCUGAGCACAGGUGGGCAGAGGUGACGAGCUUGGGCGACUAUGCCUUGUUCUUGGGGGUGGCAUGGUCCAAGGCAGUGCAUCUGCCGAUGGAUGCCGGCCGGUGCGUUGCUCGUGAAGGCCUGGAGAGAAACCACAUCUACUACUCCACGCCUACCCGCUCCGAGGAAGACAAGUUGCCCGGCGACCAAGUGUACUCUGUGACAUCAGAAGACGGGCACCGUAUGUAUUGCAGGAAAGACCAGAGCGUGGGCGAUAGCGUUGGGAGAACAGGAUACCACAUGAUGGGUUGGCAUUAUUCUGCCAUGUGGCUACUCCCUCCAGACUUCUAGGUCAUAUAGUACUUCUUUUAGCUGAUAGGAGUCUUCUUUUAGCUGAUAGGGAGAUGACUCCGUCGAUCUUCGUACCAUAUUAUCAGCAUGAAUCUACGUGUGACUGAUUUCGGCCUGAAAGAGUAUCAUCAACCGUCCAGUGCAGUGAGCCGGCUUUCUUCUUGCAGAACACGUCGGAGCGAGAGAGAAAAAACUGUUUACCAGAUGACGAACAAACUGUGACAACCAUAUCAUAACACUGAAUAUAAUCUAUACAGAUGGUCCCCCCCUGAGGUUUGUACACACCGGAGUUUGUCGAAUUUCUGAUGACUGCGACUUAAUUACCGCUGUUGAUAAUACCCUCUACACACUUCUGCAAUCUGCAUGCUAUCCUAACUCCUAAGUAACUAAGCAAUUACACGACAGACUUGAAUCACAACGAUGACACCAGAUCACGGCACGGCAGAGCACCAGCAACUCGAAAAAGACCGACAAGAAAGCAGAAAGAUUCAGCUAAGUCCUUGCUCGGCGCCUACGAUACCCGUCACUGGAAUCAUGCGUCCAAAUGUUGAAUUACUCAUGAUGACAUUGGGCAUCUGCCCAAUCUGGUCAAUCAGCCGUAUGUGUUUGCAUGUGGCUCGUAACCAGCUGUGCUGUAGGUGCAAACAUGUUUGAUCCUGAAAAGGAAAUUUGGUAUUGGUUAGCAAUAGCCAACUUUAACUGGAAGAUACAAGAUGAGACGAACUCCUGUGAUUAUCAGUGUAGGUUAGCACCUGGAACAGCAUUAAAACCAUUCACAGUUUGGUGCAUGGCGGCCCGUGCAUGAACAUUAUGGCUGCUCUUCGUCUCAACAGCAUGUUCACCUCGGUCUAUUGAAACCUGUGGUAAUGAUCCACAUUGCUGGCUUGGUAAUGCUUGAGAAUCAAUCCUCUGAGCGGUGUCGGUAGAAGCACAUGACGCAGUGUGUGGAGGCCCUGCUGAAUGGCUUCUGCUGGCAGGAUCAUCAACAGUUUGCUGUUCACUCGACGCUGCUGUGCUGCUUGGUGGCAUCAUUGCUGUCGAAGAUGAAGUUGGUACAGGUGGCCGAAAUGUGUUUGAUGUUUCAAAAUCUCCUACCCACCCGCGACCAAACGUUAUUCCAGGAGGAAUGACCUGUUCAAUUCGCUUCGAUGCAACUUCCCAAGCGGCAGAACCAAGCUGUGCAGCAAAACGUGCCAGACUGCGGGAAUAGGACUGCUGCCACUGAACCCCAACCUGAAACAAGAAAAUACUGUGUUUAAGUGAGAAUGAUACUAUUUACCAUUCCCCAAAGUUACUGGGAAUCUGAAAGACUGAAACUAUAUUGAUAUAUCAUCGAUCUCUUAGGGAACAUGGCUUGUAUUGGACACUCAACUGGUACAAGAAUCUUCCUUGUUCCGUUGUAUGAUGUUGCCACUGGCAGCUCAUAUAUUGAACUGGAUGGUUGAUGAUGAUAAUAUGUGCUCCGGCGACUUUCUUCUACUAAAAGCGGCUUCUUCGCCAUUUUUCCUGACCAUUUACUCCCGGACCCUGGGACAUACGGAACAUUAAAUGAUGUCAGGGGGAAAUGGGUUGGUUGAAUCGGAAAGAUGUCCUUUAUUCAUCAGCAUCCCAUUGAAUACCCACUCAUUCAAAAUACAGAACUUUGGGGUGAUUUAAAAUAAUCAAAACCUGAGUAAUCUUCAAUGCUUUCCAUUUUGCGCUCGCUAGACCAAUUGUGCUCAUUGUUUCUAUUGGCAAAAGAAGCUUUCAGUACAUCUGCAAUUCUUCUUUGUAGAUCGAAUCCUGAGUGUGCAUGAUGUCCACUAUUUCCACCAGUAGCGAGUGCCGCACCAGGAAAUUCAGGAGGAGCACGUUCUGCUGGUGGUCUCCCAAUGUUUGGUUUGGCGGAGUUCUUUGGAGGCCUGCCUCUGCGACGUUGUGGCUUUGGUUCUUGCUCUGGUAGUGGUUCUGGCUCCGGCUUUGCUUUUGGUUUUGGUUUUGGUUCUGGCUCUGGUUCACUGGCAUCGCUAUCUUGCCUAAGAUUCUCAAAGUCCUUCUUAGCAACCUCUUGAAUUGCUCGUGCCUAUAAUACAUGAUACAUGAAUAUUACAUUUGCGCCAUAGCUUCCACAGAAACAUUGUAAUUCAUGAAAACAAGAAGACACAAUGCUUGACCUGUCGAUAGUAUAUUGUGUCUGGUGAGUUGUAGCACAUCGCAUUUGAGGUUAUCAAAAACACAUCAUCCUGUAAAUAGAAAGUUUGGGUUAGAGGUUACAAAAUGAAUGAGCAUAUAAAUAGCAUGCUGAAUAUGUGAAUCAUUAUGAGGAAUAACUUUGUACUAGCAUAAUAGUAAGAGUAUCACAACACAUUAACAUUACAAUAAGCUUUACGAACAAAAAGAUUGUGACAUCCUCCUAGCACGAGUAAGAAUAAUUCAUUCGAUAGAUAAUAAAAGUACACACCCAGCACGGCCUGUAAUGUUGAUUGUAGUUUAGAUACUAACAUACCGACUAUUUAACAGUGAGUCAAACUGCCAUUUCUUCUCGAGGUGUGGGUUGCAUCCCAGACCAUGGUUUAGCAUGAAGCAUGGAAUAAAACUUGAUGAACACAACAAUGUUAUUGAUAUAGAGGUAAGACUAAAUUGAAUGCGCACUGAAGAUGUAAGUAUACGAUGCCGGUUACAGCAUAUUUAGAUAUAGGUCCAACAGUUUCAAGUGGUACCAGAGAGGGUAGGAGAUAAGUAGCUACAGCAAGUAAAUUGGUAACAGUAAGCAUGCAUACCAAUCCCAAAAGUAAAAGUUCAGAUCUUCCCAUCUCAGUAAAUGCAUAUCUCAUAUUUCAAACUGACAACUUCGACCUCAGGUCCAACAAUACUUCGUUCGUGAGUACCACCACUACAUGAUUCAUUCGUGAGUACUACUACAAAAAGUGUUUAUAUAUUGGAAGUUGAACGUUCUGUUUACCCCAAAAGUAAGCUGCCUUAUUAUAUUCCUUUGGCCACAGGUAACAUGCAGUUUGCAGAGCAUGUAUAUCGCUUUUACAAAUGUAAUAGAACUAGGAAAUCCUGGAAAUGAGUAAUAAAUAUUGUCCAAGCGUUCACACAGCUGGUUUGUGUCUCUUCCUUCUUUUUUAUAAAGAAAGCAUCAUUUCGUAUUUCCUUAAAUAAUAGUUGAAGACAUUUUUACUUCACAGCAGGUGCUUUCAUUAGAUCAUAUUUUCCAUUAGAAAAAAAAUGGUCCAUUUACAGCUUUUCUUUUCUAAAACACACUUCUUCAGAAGAGUUAAUCAUUUAUUUACAUACAAACACUAUUUGUUAUGGAACUGUUUAUAGUAUCAGAUACUAUAGCCAAAUGACUUAAACAUCCUAGUAAUAAUUGGAUAUACAGAACAUAUGAAGACAGCAGCACCUGAUAUGUAACUAAAUAUAAACACAGCCCUGCUCAUAAUUUUAUACAAUUAAAUUUCUGCAAAUGGAAUCAAUAGCAGUAACUCCUGGUGGUGCAAGUGUUUCUCUUCACUUAUUACUAUAACAGAUACCUUGAUUCAGAUUUCAUUUUGCCUUUAAAGAAACUUGUUAAAUGAAAAUGUUGUGCUCCUGUCUUUCAUUAAGAAAAAAAAUCAGGUGUUCGGUACUUCAGUUUACAAGAUAUUUAUCAAAUGAAACAUUGACAGAAAAAACACCUAGCAGCAAAACUCACAGGUUUGUAUUAAAAUAUUUGCACCGCAUGUUUCGACUCUAAGAGAGUGAAUAUAUGUUCCUAAAAGGCAUGGUGCAAUGCUGCAGCAGUACAGAAUAUUUGCCCCGCAUGUUUCGACUCCAAAGACAGCAGUGGACAAGGUAUUUUUUACCAAGCCAGAAAAUGCCAUGGUUUUACUAUUUCUACUGGACUAUAAGAAUAAAGAACAUGUCUGUAAGGUACAAAAGGAGAAGAAACGUCAGCAGGGAAAAACACACGAGUGUGACAGAGAUGACGACUAAUCUAGCUGAUCAAGCAAACCGACAUAACCAAAUUACUGUAACAGCUGAUUUCCUACGAAACACUCUCAAUCUUCUGCCUGUUAAAGGAAAAUCCAAAUAAAAUAGAAAAAGGUGAAACAACAAAAAAACCAAAAGAUUCUACACUGACCUCAAAUUGCUCCAAGAUGGUAUAAGCCCCCUUAUCAAGCUUCUUGCGAACCGUCUGAAAAUCCAUUGGGUCCUUGACAAUAUCAUGGUAAUCGGGCAGCUGACAAUAAAUGCACAAUUAAAGGCAAAUCAGUCAGCUUCUGAAAAACGAACCAAGAAAAACAAGCUUUCAUCUUCAGACACAAACCUCUUCUGGAUCAACUGGCUCUGAGAAUACACCAUAUGUGUCUUUCCUGCAAGAAAGCAAGAAACAGACCUCAGAUAAGAUGUCCCGGAACUGUGAAUGAACUGGAAGGAAGAACAAGCAGAGAGCAUAGCAACUCACUUCUGUAGCCUAUCAAGGAUGAAGACCAAUAACUUUUUGUCCGGCAGAGGUGUCGUGGGACCGGAAUCUGACGGCUCUGUCGAAUGAACAAAUCCAUCCACCCACGAGCACAGAAACAAUCAGAGGCACGGGCAUUAAUUAAACAAGAACAAACUGGAAUGUAUCCACCACUACAAGAAUAAUUAAAAAUGACAUCCUUGUGCACAUUCGUCCAGGUAUUUUUUGCUUCUGAAAUCUGAAGAAUAAAUGCAUCAGAGAGCUAGGGAAAACCAACCUUCACGCCCAUCCGUCGCUAUCCUCGUCUUUUCUCCCUGCGGCAACAGCAGCAACAGAGGAUAAAGAGAAAUUUAAAAACAACAGGACAAAAAUAUCUUCACAGAAAAUCGAGAUGAGCGGAGAAAAGGCGCCAGAAAAAGUGGGGGCUUUCGUUUACCAGCACCAGUUACCAAGUACAGAUCCUAACGACGCCGGCGUCGCGAGAUGUAUAGCAAAAUUUGGCGCGAAAGGCAGAGGAAACCAGCCCAAAAAAAGGUACGCCUUUAAAAGCUUGGAAGCGAUCCACUUACAAAAAAAAUGCGCCAAUUAUUGCGACGCGAGAGAUGCGAUGGGUUUUUGGUUUAUCCGCCAAAUGAUUGGGAGAGGGCUCUCAGGUUGAACUGCGCAGCGUUGACUGCUGCACGACGGCAGAGAGAGAGGGAGAGGGGGGAUAAAUAAAUAGAGGCGCGCGGGCGGGCUUUUCAUGCCUAAAAUAGCAAAGAGAAUUCCUCGGGCGGCGCGCGGCGGCGCAGAUCCGUACGUUCCCGGGGGCAGAGCACUCCGAAUUUGGCGAAUUCCGCGCGAAACCGGCCGGAUUCGAGCGGGGAGUGCGCAGAUCGGGAUUGGGGAUGCGAGGGAAGCCCACCUUGGCUGAUCCGCCGUGGAGGCCGACGACGAGGCGGACCUUCUUCUCGCGGCGGUCGUCGUCGCCGGAGUCUUCGUCGGCGGCGGGGUUCCGGCGCGUGGAGGGGCGGCGCUGCUGGGGCGGGGGCGGGGCCGGUGGCUCCUCCUGCAGCUUCUGGAGGCGGAGGCUGCGCUUCUGGAGGUCGAGGAGCGAGGGGCGGCCCUUCUUCUUCCGCUUCCGGCGGCCCGGGGGAGGCGCCGACAUCACCGCGGCCGGCGGCGGCUGCUGCUGCUUGCCCAUUGCCCGCCCGGCGAGUACACUGCCCUUUUUUUUAUUUCGACGGGGCUUUACUUUUUUUUCUCCCUCCGUUGUGUCGCAGGGGGGUAUCGCGUGUGUUGGGGUGCGGGACGGGGCGGGGGUGGGUAGACUUUUUGGUGCGGCGGGGGCCGCUUCUGUGUUGGCUUUUCUUUUUUCUCGCUUUGCAGAGCACGUGAGCUGCGUGUGUUUCUGGGCCUUCUGAGUUCUGGCAGGGCGGAGCUGGGAGUCGUAUACUCGUAUACCGUCUACUCGCUGCUGUCAACUGUAUACUGAUGCAUGUAUGACGUACCCGGGCUGCCAGUCGGUGGCACCGUGGCACUCACCAGGAACGCGACGAUAUGGCACGUCCGUAUGGUUCCACACGGGACAAAUAUUCACUGCCCUGUAAAUUCACUUUCAAUUGUUGUGAAUAUUUUUGAAAAAUAGUUCCAAGGAUGUUCAUAUUGAUGUAAUAUUCAAGUUGCAAAUUUUGGCGAAUCAACAAGAUUCCAUCAACUGAUGGUUCAUGACGACAUUUGUGUAACUACUUGACAUCAUUAUCGCAAACUCAACAAGAGACCAAAUGUGAUGUAUUGAAAGGCAAACAACCAUUGCACCUCGUCUUCCAACAAAAUCGAUAGGUCCCAAUUAACAAGGAGUAACAAAUCCUUGGGCGGAGCGUGAGUCUGGUUGGGCGGCUCUUUUUUUCGGGGAAGUUGAGUUUUAUUGCUCAUGACCAAGAUUACACAACCAGUAGCCACGCAUAUUAGAUGGUAUAGUGGAUUGUUCCUUUCUAACGGAAUAUGGUUUUGCAGGUACCGACAUGAUCCUUAGGGAUGAGUUAGCUAGGAGCAGGAGCUGCCAUGUUACAACAUCGAGGAGUUUAUCUCAAUGUUUCGGAGACAAAUGUGUUUACAAACUAAAAAUGUGAGAUCUCUUAAAUAAGUCGUAUAUCUGAAAAAAGAGGAGUAUCAUUAUGCAAACAGAUUGUUGGAACGUUGCUAAAUGUAGUGGCAUGCAUGUAAUACAAAGUCCAUCGAGACAAGGCCACUUCAAAGAAAUCCACAGGCUGACGGGACUUGACGAAGAUUGGUCAAGGACAAAACAGAGUCGCAUUGCAUAUUAACAGAGUCGAUUUCAGGUAGAUCUGUUCGCCGCAGAUUGGUUGAACCACGUCCUGGUUACCAGAGUCACAAGGAUCCCGCUUUUCCUCGAAAGAAAAAAAAAUCACUGACUGCAAUACUUUUUUCUAAGCUUGCUUGACCCCUAAUCUACUGCUCUUUGUCUGCUUUUCCACCUGGGAUUAGCGCUGAUGUUGCUGGGAUAGUAGUAUUGAUGUGGAGGAAGUCCUUUCAGUUUCUGUUUCGGACAUUCAGUAAUCAAUUUCAGCAAAGUUCUCAACUUGCCGGUGUUUGGUUUCAGUAGUUCUCUGAUGCAGAGCAGUGAAGUUUCAGCAAAGUUUAGUACCCCCAGGUGUUUGAUUAUUAUUUUUUUAUAAGAAAGGUGUUUGAUUUGAUCGUACUAUUUGUAAUUGGUAGUUAAAGAUUUCAGGUGUUUAGAUUUACAUGCAUUAAAGAUUUAGCAAAGUGGAGUUCGAUUUCCUUCCACGGUUGUCUGUACUCUGUACACGACCUAAUUCUUAUGAUUAUUGUUUGCAUAUAUAUCCCUUCAAUUCACUCUACGAGAUACACUAGCCAGCAAUCGCACAUCCCAUCACACGGUGAUUCAAAGAAGAAUGACCUCUGGGAUGAUUCGCUACUCAUCGAGUUCAUAUCUCCUCGCUUUGCUUAUGUUCUUUUCUUCAAAAAAAAGAAGAUUUUAUCGACUUAUCGUAGUACUAACCCUACAACGUAACUUUCGCCCUCUGCAUCCAAAACGGCACAGCCACACUUACUGUUCUGAAGAUUGGCAUGAUACAAAGAGAAAUCCUAACACCAAUUUGGGAAUCUGUAGUUCCAAGUGGACAAUUAGUAUACUAAUAGAGGAAAGGUGCCAAACACACAAUUGGCGGAUAGAAGUUGAAACUACCGAUGGCCGUGCACUAAUAUAUCCCAAUAUACAAGUACAUCAGAUCAUCGGGGCGAGUAAAUUUCACAAAACCACACUUCGAGAAUAGGGUUUCAAUGAGCCACAAUUAUGACUAAUAGUCUCACAAAACCACACUUUUUCGGACAGAUCUUCACACAGAACCCAAAUCAGGUAAUUAAGAGCGUUUGAUGGUGUUUCUGACAAGUAGGACCCACAUGUCGGAUGCCAGGAUCGAAUCGGGAUUGUCCGGGUAGAUAGAGGAGCUUAACGGGUGUCGGGCAAAUGCUGACGUGGAUAAAAAAAGGGUUUGACCCGUCCGACCUGGCAUCCGACAUGUGGGUCCCACUUGUCAGAAACACCAUCAAACGCUCUUAAUUACAUGAUUUGGGUUCUGUGAGAAGAUCUGUCCGAAAAAGUGUGGUUUUGUGAGACUAUUAGUCAUAACUGUGGUCCGUUGAAAACCUAGUCUCAAGAAGUGUGGUUUUGUGAAAUUUACUCUAAGGGAGCUAUAAGACUUCUUCAUCAUGUAUUCGGCAAGGCUUAAGGGGCCGAGACGUCGUUUCUCAACAUUGUCGGAGAAGUCUGUGGUGGCAAUCUCCACUCUGCCGUCCUCAAGGUGAUGUAUGCGAAUCCCGCGCUUCUUCGACCCGCCGCCAACGUAGUAGAGGCAGUUGCCUUCAAUGGCGGGGAGAUUGUCGGCGUCGACAGACAGAGAGCGAUGCUUGCCAAGGAAGAUCGCACGGUUUCCGAUGCGCUUGACCGGCUGAUCCAGAUAAGUUUUACGGUCAGGACCAACCCUGAAGACCUGCACGGCGCCCAGCUGGUGAUCGGACAAAGACGGAGCGUUGUCGACGAGGAACGUGGGCAGCUGGUCCUUCUGAUCCGAGGUUCCGGCGACGACGACGGUGGUAAGCUUGGUCUGCAGCAUGUUACCGGAUGAGCACACGUCCACGGCCGCUACAGUUCCCUUCAUGUCGGCGGCGUAUGCCCGGCCUUGGAAGGCCACCGGGAAGGCCACCGUGCCCGCGAGCGAGAGUGACUCGAGGGUCGGCUUGGCGCGGCGGCCGGUGAAGGGGUUGAGGAGGAAUAUACGGAGGCGGCCCUUCGCCUCCAGGAGUAGGAGGCCGUCUGCUGUGGAGCAUGGGCAGGUGCAUCCAGAGGAACCGGCCCGUGUCGACGUGCAAGAAGAGGAGCCGGCCGUAGCGUUCCCGGCCAGCGGAUGAUCGGGCGUGAGUCGUCGGCUGUAGUUUGUGUCAUUGACGAUGCACGGGUCGUCGCCCGCGAGCUUGUCGAGCAUGACCCAUCGGUGCGGGCGGAACCGCGGGUCGUCGUCCUCGUCCGGGCCGCGCGGGUCGGCGGUGGCGGCGCGCCAGCCGCGGCACACGGCGCGGAGGCCGAUGUAGUAGUCGAUGUCGCUGGUGGCGAGGAAGACGUCCGCGACGCGGCUGACGAGGUCGGGCAACAGCUACGACCAGUCCGCCGCGGGCUCCAUUGUCGCCGUGUGCGUGCGCCUGUGGCUGCAAGAGUUUAUGGAUGGGCCUUGGCACUCGGACGGAGGAAGAAGCCAGAGCCGCCGUCACCUUCCGAGCGAUGGCAAACCCUGAAAACGGCCCCGCUGGCGUGGAGAUGAAGUAUGAAGGGGAGAACCGUCUUAUCCAGCUGAUUCCCCGCCGCGUGCGCCGUGGAAUCCGCCUGGAUCGCUGGGGGCGUUUCCAACUGAUCCCCCGCGGCCUUCCGUCGAAUCCGCCUGGAUCGGCCGCCACUUGGCAGGCCGCGAAGGAUCUCAGCCCAGGAAAAGCCCACGGCUCCAAGGCGCAAAUGAAAGAGGAGAAGAGAAAAUCGUGAGAAAACUCACUGGAGGAGAAAAAUGGCUAUAGUAAAAUUAGUGAAAUACCCAAUCCGGAAAAAACGUCUAGUGCUUCGCCUACUUCCUCAAACAAAAGAGACGCGCGAAGGGCAGAGCCUCAGCCACCCAGCAGUAAUAGCAGCCGUGGUGCCCGUUGAGAUUCCCCGCGCCGUUCCGUCGAAUCGAUCAGCCGCGCGCCCGGCGCCCCUGCACAUAUAUUAUACCCAAUGCCCACACCUCACAACCACUUGCUAACGCGCGCGGCGGUGACCAUGGCUGCGGUGGACUGGUCAUCGCUCCCCGCCGACGUGUUCCUAGCCACCACCGGUCUCGACUACUACAUGAGCCUCCGCGCCGCGUGCCGCCCCUGGCGCGCCGCCACCGCGGACCCGCGCGGUCCGGACCGGCGCUUCCAUCCCCGCCGGUGGAUCAUGCUCGAACUGAAUAUCCAUGUUUCAAGAGAUAUUGUUAACUCCAAAGCUUUCAAACUGAAUAUCCAUGUUUCAUCGAAAUAGGGUACAAAACUUUCGAGUUUGUGGAUGUUCAACCCAAAAUCCAUAACAUACAACGGUUCAGCCUAUUUCUUGAGUUGACAGUUCGCAAUUCCUAGUGGCAAUGAAUACAUGCUAGCUACUCCCCUUUAACUAAUGAAUACUUGGCUCGAAACCUCUCGACCAUUGAGCUUAAUGAGUCCAGCCGAGUUUGAUUUUGAACUGGUCAACGAAACAUUUGAGUCAAGCCGAGCAUAAUUCUGAGUUCGUUAAUAAAACAACUUUAACCACUCAAGCAACGAGCUACUCGUUUAACACCAUCCCCUCUUCUCCCCUUGGUCCAUGGUCCAUCCCUCUUUUUGACCUAACUCAAUAUCCACCCACAUUCCUUGACACACAAGCAAAACCACUCUUGACUCGCGUCCUCCUCUCAUAUGGCAUAUAUGUUAAUUUAUUAACGAUCGAGUUAAACAAACCAAUUUUGUAGUUAAAUUGAGUCGAGCCCAUGUCGCUUUUGAACAUGAUAUACUAUUAACGAGUCGAGCUAACUGUUGUAACUAGUGUGUUAUCUUAAUUGGUUCUACCAAUUCGAGCCAAGCUAACUACUCCCUCCGUUACAUAAAGAUUGGCACGGAUAUCCGGCUCUACUCACACGGACAUGUGGUCAUAAUGCAAAAGAUGCAAAUGAACAAUUCUGAACAGGAGAUUUGAAUUCAGAACCUUUGGUUAUGUGGCAUGUGCCUUUAACCGUGUGGAGCUAACAAUUUAACUUAAUCCGUAUUAUAAUCUCACGCACACUGUGCUUGAUUCUUCUUGCUUUGCUUCCCUUGGUGCGGGUGCACAUCUCAGAGCAUACGGACGGUAUAGAAAGAAGGUGCAGUGCGUCCCAGACUAACCAAACUUUUUUUUUGGCUAUACAAAAUGCACGGUUGUUUGUUGCACGCAACGACGAUUGUUCCUUUUGCCAAAGUAAAUAAAUAAGCAUCUCUCGUCGAAGAUCAUUAUUUUUCUAAUUCUCUACCUCGUGAAAGCUGGAAGUGGCCACGUCACCGGCAAAACUAACCAACGGUAAUAUCUCCCGGAAAAAUCCACCGAGCCAGCCCUUCGCUAGCGCCAAAGAAGUUCACCGCGCGCACGGCCAAAAUCCACGCAAGACCAGCGAAAUCUCGUGGUCUCCACUCUCUGCUCGCCCGGCGCGGCGAGAAGAUAAUCUCAUGGCCACCGCACGGCCACAUCAGCGAGCCACCGCAGCAUCCCCGUGAGGACAUUGACCCCACCCCAUCGCCCUCGGCUCAGACUCAAACCCAUCAAAAAUCCGGGCGCGCCCACGGUGCCAGCCACUCCGUGGCCAGAGCGCGGCCACCUCGGCAACCCCCAUCCGCCUUCCCGGCACCUCACAGCGCGCGCGCCAAUGGCGACUCGGCUUAAGAUUCCCCGUGGAUAAGGACUCGAUCGCGCGCGUUCGGGCCUCCUAUUUAAACGCCUCUCGCUCCCGCUUUACUCCACAGCAACAACCGCUCCAACACUUCAGUUCUCACUCCACAGCUCAGAGUCAGAGCUACUAGCAAUGGCAGCGGCGACCAUGGCGCUCUCCUCCCCCGCGAUGGCCGGCACCCCGGUGAAGGUCUCCAGGGCCACCCCCUUCGGCGAGGGCCGCAUCACCAUGCGCAAGACGGCCGCCAAGCCCAAGGUGUCCGCGUCCGGCAGCCCGUGGUACGGCUCCGACCGCGUGCUCUACCUCGGCCCACUCUCCGGCGAGCCCCCGAGCUACCUCACCGGCGAGUUCCCGGGCGACUACGGCUGGGACACCGCCGGGCUCUCCGCCGACCCCGAGACCUUCGCCAAGAACCGCGAGCUCGAGGUCAUCCACUGCCGCUGGGCUAUGCUUGGUGCCCUCGGCUGCGUCUUCCCCGAGCUGCUCGCCCGCAACGGCGUCAAGUUCGGCGAGGCCGUCUGGUUCAAGGCCGGCUCCCAGAUCUUCAGCGAGGGAGGCCUUGACUACCUCGGCAACCCCAGCCUUGUCCACGCCCAGAGCAUCCUUGCCAUCUGGGCCUGCCAGGUUGUACUCAUGGGCGCCGUCGAGGGGUACCGUGUUGCCGGUGGCCCGCUCGGUGAGAUUGUUGACCCACUCUACCCAGGCGGCAGCUUCGACCCCCUUGGCUUGGCUGACGACCCAGAGGCAUUCGCUGAGCUCAAGGUGAAGGAGAUCAAGAACGGCCGCCUCGCCAUGUUCUCCAUGUUUGGGUUCUUCGUCCAGGCCAUUGUCACCGGCAAGGGUCCCCUCGAGAACCUGGCCGACCACCUGUCCGACCCAGUGAACAACAACGCCUGGGCCUUCGCCACCAACUUCGUCCCCGGCAAGUGAGCUUAGUUAGCAAGCUCCAGCGCCUGCUCUAUGCUGAGGCGCUUGGCCGACGACGUCAUUGUUGAUGAUGGAUGCUGCUGCAUGUGUCGAGAUUGAGUCAGGAGUCAGGACUGAUAGAUGUUGCAUGUGAAAGUCAGAGAUGAGGAGUUGGUGUUGUACACUAAAGAUGGUGUUUGUGUAAUAUCCCUCGGUUAUUUGUGAGAUGAAUCCGGGCAUCUUUGUUCUUCUGCUCACUUGUUCAUUUCUCUCUCCUCUUGAAUGCGUGCUGUUUGCAUUAGAAGGAGAACGCCGAGAAAGCGCACCUCACUCGUUGCAUUGGUUCUACUUCCUCUGAAUCUGAAUGUGUCUGAAAGUUGUCUGAAUUUUCUGAAAGUCCAAGCCGGUAAGUUGUCUGAAUUUUCUGAAGUCAAAUUUCUAUUUAAAUGUUGUACAAAUCUUGGGUUCCUCCUAGUAAAAACAAACUAUGGAACACUGCCAACUAGUGCAGCUUCCUUGUGAAGAUGCUGCUGUACUACCGUCCCUGAAGAACGGUCAUGGUUAUGCUGUUCCUGGUGUUCUCAAGAUCGUCUCUCUUUGCUUCCAUCAGCGCGAGAUAGGCAGGCUGGUUUGGUUUCGGCAGCGACAAUGUCGACGACGAGGACCCGCUUCCAUUCUCCAGGAUGGACACGACGGCCGACAUGAGCGGCCUCCUGCUCGGGUCGCCCUCGACGCAGAGGAGCCCGACGUGGAUGCAGAGCAAAGCCUCCUCCUGCGAGCAGCUUCCUGCGAUGGAUGGAUCCACCAGGCCGCCUGCCUUUCCUUCCCUCCACAGGUUCCAUGCCUGCAUGAAACAAUCAAAUCAACCAUUCUGUGUUUUUUCUCUUAAAAUUCUGGUGUCAGUGGCUGUUCUAAUUCAGAUGCUCACAUAGACUAUGAGGCUUGGAAACUCCAUGAUGUCAUCAGGAGAGCUUAUCCUGACACCGCUCACGAUCUCCAGGAGCAGCACGCCGAAGCUGUAGACAUCGGACUUGACAGAGAAAACGCCCUCCGUAGAGUAUUCAGGAGCAAUGUAACCACUGUCCAGUGUCCCCACAAAGUUUUCAGAAGACGUGCCAGAAUUUUGUCAAAUGCUAAAAGCUAACUACAGCUUAAAAAGCAAAAUCUAUUUUUUUGUUUGUAAAUCUAGCUUCAGUAUUCAGAGUACUAACAAUGUUCCGACGACUCGCUUGGUGUUGGCAUUCUGCUGGUUGUCGCAGAAGAUCUUGGCCAUGCCGAAAUCCGCUAUCUUGGGCCGCAUCUCAGCAUCCAGCAGCACGUUGCUUGCCUUGAGAUCUCGGUGUAUCACUGUCAACCUCGAGUCCUGGUGGAGGUAGAGGAGCCCCCUCGCGACGCCCUUGAUUAUCUCCAGCCGCGUCGGCCAAUCCAGCACCGAUUUCCUUUCACUAUCUGAAGCAAAAAGAUCACAUGAGACCGUCAGGAAUCGUAUCAUCAUUUUCUGUUCUUUCUUUCUUCAGUAACUUGCUUGAGUUCUGAACAUAUAUACAUACCGAAGAGGAUGGCGUCCAGGCCUUUGUUGGGCAAGUACUCGUAGAUGAGCAACUUCUCUGCUCCUUCCGUGCAGCAGCCGAGGAGACGGACCAAGUUUCUGUGUUGCAGUUUGGCGAUCAGGAUGGCUUCGUUCUUGAACUCUUCUGUUCCUUGGUCAGAAUCCUUGCUCAGUCUCUUGACAGCAACCUCUCGACCGCUCUCUAAUGUCCCCUUCCGAAUGAUACAUGAAACAGGCGAGAUCAUGAGUAUAAUUCAGUAUUUCAGUGCAUCGAUCAAUGCUUCCGAGUUGAAAUUUAUUUAUUUUGGUAAACUGGAAGAAGAGAAAAAUUCUCAGAUAACUGAAAAAGUGAAAAUCAACAGGCCAGAUGAAAAAUCAUACUACCUUGUAAACCUUGCCGAACCCUCCACGCCCGAUCAUGAAUGCUUUGGAGAAGUUUCCCGUGGCGGCCACGAUGUCGACGAACCGUACGGAUGGGAACUCAAGAUCUUCAGCGUGUUCUCCUUCUCCGAUCUCAGUCGACGUAUUCGCGCUCCCGGGCACCAGCUUCUUCUGGCUCUCGGUUUUUCUCCCCUUUUCUGUAAAUUUUGAUGUCCCAAGCAUUUCAUCUCCGAUGAGCAUGGCAUGUUUAGAGAUACUAAUAAAAAGAGAGGAAGAUAAUAUAAUUGUAUGUAGCACCUCUGAACCUACAGAACCACACAAACAAAAUGCAUGCGAGCAACAAGACGCCGGCUAACACCGGCAGUGCUAUUUUCAAGGCAUUUUUGCUUGCCAUUGUACCUGCACGUGCAAAAAGUCAAAACAAUGGCAAAGUUUGGUGACACAAUCGAUUUCGGCCAAAGGGGCAAACUUCUUCUUUGAAUUCUGUUGAAAUCCAAUAAAAUUCUGGAAAAAAGUCCGGUAGUACUACUAAGAGCUGAUUUCUAUUUCAAUCUGGGUGAAAUUCAGGUACUGCUGGUUUUUGAAGUUGUAACUACCUGCGGAACCAGCAGGAGGAAGGGGGACGCGAAGGUAUAGCGUGUCGGCUAGGGAGGCCCAGAGGGGCCCAAUCAUCUGCGUGUCGACGAGGUCCCCGGCCCACAAGAGGCACCGCCUGACGUCCCCCUUGGCGCUGCUGCUCUGCAGCUUGGCGUACGCGUACGCCAUGCAGGAGCAGUUCCCGGCGCACCUCGCCGCGCACUCCUCGGCGCUCCUGUUCCCGCCGUCCAGCACGAACUUGUCCGGCACCUUCACCCCCGCCAUGGCCAAGAACCCACUCCCAUGCCCGCACGGCGGCAGCGGCUCCUUCCGCCGGCACCCCUUGGAGAAGUCACCGCCGGUGGCCCACGCCGGCUCGAAGCCGUCCAGGCACCUGCAAGCCGCCGCGGCGACGUCGCAGUACCCGUAGGGCCCGCAGUAGCCGUACCGGCUGCACCCGCUGGACGGCCAUGACCCCACCGUGGCCCACGCCGAGGCGCUGCCGUUCCAGCCGAGGAGCUGGAACUGGCCGGAGCUGGUGAGGACGAACCGCGUGGGGGCCGCGCCGGGGGAGACGGUGAAGGUGUUGGAUAUCUCGUCCUCGGUGUCGACGAUGGCGGUGUACACCACGGUGCCGGUGCCGCUGACGUAGCUGGCCUGGACGGUGUAGCCGUUCCACACGGGGCUGCGCCAGUGAGGGCGCGUCCCGUCCCAGACGAGCAGCUGGAGGGCGGUGUCCGGGUCCAUGCCGUAGGAGAAGCGCCCCGGGGACGGGUCCUCGGGGGAGCUCCAUGACACGAGGCGCCCGCCCUCGUGGGUCCGGUGGUUCAGCCAGACCUUCAUGCCCGGGAGGAACGUGUCGGCCGGGUGGUCGAAGCUCUGCCACAGCGCGGUCCCGUUGGCGGACCGGAGGACCAGGUUGCCGGCGUUCGUGAGCACGGCCAGCGCCGCGGGCGGCGAGCCGCUCGCCAUGCCGGUCGUCCAGACCGCGCGCCCGUCGGCGUCGGACAGGACGAGGUUGGAGGAGUCGUUGUCCAGCGCGAGCCUCGGCGCAGAAGUGCCGUUGGUGAUGGGGGUUUCCCGGUUGGCGACCCACACGACGGUGUUGACGGGGAUGCUGUUGUACCAUAUGCCGAGGUACUGUCUGUCCGGAGUGGAGAUGGACGGGGAGAAGAAGCCCAGAGCGAAGGCGCCGCCGUCCGACACUAGGGGCUUCCCGGGCGCGAGCAGCUCGCCUGCGACCAGCUCGUCGCCGGCCCCCGCGCACGGGCGCGGCGAAAGGAAGAAGAAGCAGACGACGGCCAGGGCCGCGACGACGACGACGCGGCCGGCAGCACGCGCCAUGUCCGUCGAUCGAUCGCGAUCGAUCAACAGCGUUGAUUGAGACGGGAGAAAGAACUCAAGCUUGGCAUUGGCAUGCAGCUAGUAGUAUCAUUUUGCGCUGGAUUGUGAUGUCUGUUGAGUCAGGUCGCGCGCCUUGGCCUGCAAGAAGUCUCUCAACUCCAUUGGAUCCUUCCUGUUGGUUGGAGUUGGAGAUGGACGUUUAUUCAGCGCUUGGACUGGACAGUCUUUCUCUGUGACGCGAUCAAGGCCAACAACUGCACAGUUGAUUUUUUUUAGGGAUGCACAGUUGAUAUCUUAUGCUUUUGGAACGAUGGUGCGACCCGAUUAACGCGCUCAAGUCGCAGGUAAAACCUACGGGUACCUAGACUCAGAACAUAUGAAAGAAAAUCUGAAAUUGUUCCGAACGUUUUAUUCAGUCAUUUGUUACACAAUAUGGAUUUAUUUCUGAAUUUGUUCAUAGUUUGGACCGGACUAGGUGCGACCUUGCGGAGUACGUUGCUCCGCAUGAUUGGAUGGAAAUCUACAAACCAUGAUGCCAUGGUCAAUCUCAUGAGUUACAGUUUAGACUUCAGAGCUGUGCGUGCGUGCAUAUGAACGCGUGCGCGGCGUGCCCUUCACCUCAGUCAACGCGCGCUUUGUCUUCUCACACAGCUUGUUCCUCACACUCUAACUUUGCCCCGACCGUGUUGUUCUACCAUUCUGUUUUAAAAGCAAGCAAACAAAAUUUGCCUUUGUAACAACACGUCAGAGAAGAAGAACAACAACACCUAAUCGCUGACGUAGAAUCACUUCUGUCGAGUUGGGUUUUGUCAUGUCCUGAAUUAUUUUACAGGUAUUUUGAUAAAAGAUGUGGCAGAGUAGGUAAUACAGACACAUUCUCUGUCACACAAAGGUACACCUCGAUGAAUUUUGGUUGGCCGCAAGAUAUAGACUACUCCAGUAUCUGGUCUUGUAAGAUUUAUGCUUGACUUCUUAUCAAGCAAGGGAUUAAGGUAAGAUAUGUGUUGCUGAAGCAAAAAAAAAAAUUGUGGAGGAUGAUAAGUGCACAUUCGGCUGUUCCUUCCUGAGCUAGUAUCUGUAAAGUUAAUACCUACUAAAUGCAUUUAACGUUUGCAAGUUACAAAUGCAAAGUGUCCAUAUCAUCGUUCACAUUACCAUCCACCCCAUGUAUUCUAGCCCACAAGCAAUCCAUUUUGGUGACUCCUACGACUCAACCUUUUAUCUCCUAAGAAUCUUUACCCACGUUGUAUAUAAAUAUUUCACCAAGUAUAAUAUCUAUGAAGUUGAUCCUCACUAAAAUGCAUUUUGUUUGCAAGCUCCAUGUGCAAAGUGUUCACAUCACCAUACACGUCAUGUGUUGUAGCUCGCAAGCAAUUCAUUGUGGUGGCUCCCUACGAUUCAACAUUUUAUCUCGUAAGACUUUUCACCUUGAUGUUGUAUGUAAAUAUUUCACGAACUAUCCUUUUUUUUAUGUGUGCGUUGUUUUUUCUAAGAAAUGCGAAUACUUCCUGAAGCUUUUUUUCGAUUUUCCAAAAUUUACUGUUCAUGUACAUCAAAAUUGCUCCUAUUCUUUGGAUGAUGAAGUAGUUUGGCCAUACAGUAUUCAUAUUUGUUUUGUAUUUGAUCAUAUUAUUAUCAUUUAUUCUUACGUCAUGUCUAGAUGUGCAAACAUAAUUUUUCGUGGCAGCGCGGGGAAUCAACCAGUUGCAUGUGUGGAUCCUUGAUCUACAAGCAAAACAGAUUGCAGAAGAAAAUCCUUUUUUCCCCGAAAAAAAGAUUGCAGAAGAAAAUGAAUAAAUGCUUUGACGAAUGGCUUGUUGUAGCAUCCCCGUAAGUUCCAGACGAUUGAAUAAUGCAAAGUUUUCGGAAUUCUCGUAGAUUUUGGUUUGGCAGUUGACAUUUUAGCUGUCCACGUCGGAGUUUUUUUAAGAACAGUCCACGUCGGAGUUGGGAUGCCACGCCACCGUCAGUGCGACUAGUCAACUAUACUGACUGAAACAUUAGCUAUACUGGUCCGGCCCAGUUUUUGUUUUUGAACACGGGCCGGCCCAGCUGGUCCAGCUCUGGCGCGGCUGAAUCGGAGGGUCAAAACGACGAGGCCCAAGGCCGACAAGACCACGACCCAGCCGCCACGCAUAGUGUGUGUGUUAUGAAGCCCACGCCCACUUAGCAAAGUAAUUGGGCCCAUCGGCAGACGGUCUUCUUUCUUUCAAGAAACAGAACCAUGCCAAGGAAUUAGGCCGGCCUCUGCUGAGCAACACAAGGUUUCGAUUUUCCUGUGGCGUGAUGGUCGAGCGAACGACCGAACGUGGCUCCAGAGCUUCGGACGCGGACCUCAAGGCCUUUUGCGUAAAAGAUGGAGGCAGGUAGAGGUGCAACACCGUGACCUUUAAGGUAUCUUUUAAUUCUCUUUAGUUCAAAUAAAUGAACUAGUUUUUAAAAAAUUGUGUCAUUUUAAAAUUUUAAUCCAUUUAGUUGAACUAAGGAUGGUCAAAGGGUAUCCUGAUGGUCGCAUUUUGCAGCUCUAGAGGUAGGGAGUUUAUAUAAAAAAACAGCUCGACCUGUCAUCCCACGAGUUUGAUAAGUGAUUGUGUCAGAAUGCGAGGUCAUAGGGUAUAAAGAUUGUAUAUGGACGUAUAAUGCAACUUUGAGGACCCAUGAGAGCAGAUUGCAAUAAAGAGAACUAAAUCAGACCGCACCAUCAAAUUUAUGGGUCACGUAUGCAUUCCAUCGUUCUUCCAAUGAUAUGAUAGAAUGAGUGGAAUCAAGUAGUGACCGUGUGCCAUCUAUAAGUGUGCUUUGCGGCUUAUAGUCUGGUCCAUGCUUGCAUAGAGCCAAAAGUCGCUGACAUGAUCAAGUUCCAUGUAAUCUGAACUUUAAAAAUAUAUUUUUUCGAACGGCUGGUGGCCGAACUUUAUUAAAAAAUCAGAGGAGUACAAGGCGGGUGCUUUUCAGAACAAAAGCAGGCGCCCGUGCGUUUAGCAAAAUGGAACUAUUAAUCUGGUCCAAAAUCUGUUUUCACCUUUCAGUUUCUAAGAAACAUGGGUUAGCAAAAUCUUUUCCUAAAGAGAAGGACGAUAUCUAGGAAGAUUGCAGUGGAAACAUGGCUUAACAAUGGGCAAUCAAUGUGCCAACACCAACACAGGUUGCUGAGUGUUUGAACGGACAACGUACGUCCAGCUCCAGCCUCCAGGACGUGCACCCACUAAGAUGUCAGAAACGAAAAAUUCCACACUAAACUGGAAUACGGAGUACUUUAUUCUGCUAUACAGGAAUAUUAAACCUAACAAGGAAUGAUGAAUAGAGAAAUAGCAAGAUAAUAUAUAAUAUACAUUGUACAAUAAGCAAAAUUGUGACAAUUUGGGAAUAGAGAAAUCAAAACAUCGACGACUUUUCUCGGCAAGAAAAACAUCGACGACUGGAAGCUGCAUGAUGACUUCGUCAGGCUAUUUCAGACUUGGCUCGAGUUGACAUUAAUUUGUUCCUCUUCCCACUUCGUUGGUACUUCCUUCGAUCCAUAUUAAUUGUCAAAAUCUUACAUGUAUCCAGACGAUUUUUAAGCAUAGAUACAUCCAUAUUUGGACAAAUUUAAAACAAUUAAUAUGAAUCGGAGGUAGUAGGAUAAUAUUGGUAUUCCGAGCCACGCGGGAGCUGUGGCUGAUUAAGUAGCAUUAGAGGGUUCAAACCUUGAAAGAAAGACUGCUAUAAAAAAUCCUCACGGCUGAUGUCUUGCCGGCGAGGGGCUAGCACAUGUGUGUUACCAGCAAAAAAAAGUGGGCAUGUGUAAUGAUUAGUGGCUAUCCUUUGAUGAUCACGUGUAACUUGGUCAAAAUUCGUUAUCGAGUUUACACUCGCCUGGGUGGAUAAUUGGUUUGUGAGAGGAUCUUACGGGCUUACGGCAUAUCCCGGAAACAAUCGACCCAGCACAUGCUAUAUGUCCUCGGGAGUGUUUGAAAGGAGGGACCGUAAUAGUUGCCAAAUCUUCGACGCGGCAAAGAUGAAUUGUGAUGAAAUAUAUUUCAAGGUUGUUUAUUGUUAUUUGUUUCGUAUCAUAGGUUGAUAGUUUUUUCUUAUAAAUUUGGUCAAACUUUUAAAAGUUUGACUUAAGACAAAAAUCAUAUGCUUUAUAAUAUGGAAAGAAGGGAAUAGCAUGCAUGACAAUUUUGUCGAGUGCGUCUUUUUUUGGACCGAUACUGUUCUGCAUAUCUUUUCUGAUAAAUAUAUACAACUAUAUAAUUGUAUGAUUAUUAUUUCAUCGCCCUUGUAUCUCAGUAAGAGUAAAAUUGUUCACAGAGUUCUGAAUAUCAACUCCGAUUUGCUCCAUUUCAGCGCUCCGCCGCGCAAAGUAUGCAGGGCGAUUAGGCACCGGCAAUGUUGUGCUUCCGUUCUCCAAGACAAACACUACGGCUGACAUGGCCGGCCUAUCAUCUGGAUUUUCCUGGACACAUAAGAGAGCUACGUGGAUGCAAAGCAACACUUCAUCCGAUGAAGAAGUGUCCAUGAUAGAUGAGUCCAGCAAUUCCUUCGUCUUUCCUUCCUUCCACAUACUCCAAGACUGCAAAAAAAAACAUUGCAUAUUUUUUCGUUUUGGUUGUUAAACAUUUUUCAACAACUAUGUUUGUAUUUAUACAACUUUAGAGUUCUUUCCAUAUAUACUCACAUAGAUUAUGAGGUUAGGGUAGUCCAUGGUAGCGGAGCUUCUCCGUUUGCCGGUUACAACCUCCAAUAGUAACACACCGAAGCUAUAGAUGUCGGACUUGGUAGAGAAUAUGCCUUCCAUUGCAUACUCAGGAGUCAUGUAGCCAUUGUUUGAUCAUUUCAUUUGCAAGAGUUAUAUGUUGAACGAGAUUAAUUUGGAUUUAUUUACAAGUUACAAUGAAAAUUCUACUCACUAUGUUCCAACAACGCGUUGAGUAUUUGCAUUUUGCUGGUUGUCACCGAAGAUUCUCGCCAUACCAAAAUCCGCUAUCUUGGGUUUCAUAUCUGCAUCUAACAAAACAUUUCCAGCUUUUAGAUCUCUGUGAAUUAUGGUCAAUCUUGAAUCUUGGUGGAGGUAAAGAAGUCCCCUUGCAACCCCUUUGAUUAUAUUAAACCGCGUCGCCCAAUCCAACAACAAUUUUCUUGAAUCAUCUGUGGCCAGAAACAAAUGUAAGAAAAUGUGUUUUAGAUUCGUCUUAGGAAAUCAUGACGUGUGUUGCAAGAGUAUGUACCAAAAAUGGUAGCAUCUAAGCUCUUGUUAGGCAGAUACUCGUAAAUCAACAACUUUUCAUCUCCCUCCCCACAACAUCCAAGAAGCCGAACCAAGUUUCUGUGUUGCAAUUUGGCAAUUAGAAUUACUUCAUUCUUGAAUUCCUUUAUCCCUUGCUGUGAAUCCUUGCUUAGCCUCUUGACAGCAACUUCUUGGCCACCUAACAUUCCCUACGGAGUUGUGUGGAAAUUUAUAUCCGGAUUUGUCUUGUGAGCAACUCAAUUUUACCGAUUUAAGAACAGAGGAUAGGAAACUACUAUCGAACUACUUACCUUGUAUACUUUUCCAAAGCCUCCUUGUCCAAUUACACACGUUUCAGAGAAGUUGUGCGUUGCUAUGGCAAUUUCCUCAAAUCUUACAAAUGGGAAUUCAUGAUCGCGUGGAGGGUUUCCUUUCCCAAGUUCAUAAGAGAUACUCAUACUAUCCAAUGUCUAUCAUCUUCUGCUUUCUCUUUUUCCUGUUCUUCCCUGCUCCCACAAUUUCAUAAACAUUUCAAUUCAGGAAAUAUACCUUGCAAUUUAAUCCACAAGAGAUGGUCAAAUGGACUUUAUCAUCAGGAAAUAACCCUAUACGUACUAAGGUACCUUGCAAUUUUAGCCAUGCCAGGAAAAUGCACAUGAGGAUCACAAUAGUACCGCCCAAAACUGGCAGAGAAAUCUUAACCGUGGUGCUGUGUUUACCUGUGCAAAACGUACACACACAUAGCACAUCGCACGAAAUAAAUGGAAAUACAUCUGUGAAAACAAGAAAUUCAGAUCAAGAAUUGGUACCAUCCGUUGCGUCCAGGCCUGCAAUGCGGAGAUAGAGCGUGUAGCUGCCGAGCGCCUCGGCGCCGACCUUCCCGUCGUCAAUCAGCCCGCCGGCCCACACGAGGCACCUCGUCAAGUUUCGCCGCGGCGACUUCCCGGCGUCGCUGCUGCCCAGGUUGGCGUACGCGUACGCCACGCACGAGCAGUUGCGGCCGCACUCCGCCGCGCACUCCUCCAGCGUGCCGCCCCGGUCCCCGCCGACCACCGCGAACCCGUCGGGUGACUUCAUCCCCGGCAACGCCAAGAAGCCGCCGUCGUUGCCGCACCCAAGCAGCGGUUCCUUCCGCCGGCACCCCUCCGAGAACUUCCCCUGGCCCCACUCCCCUGCGCUCGCCGGCUCGAAGCCUUCGAGGCACGCGCACGUCGGGGACGAUGGCGCCGCCGCCGUCUCGUCGCAGUACCCGUACGGGCCGCAGUGGCCGUAGCGGCUGCAUUCCGUGGACGGCCAGUGCGCGAGGACGGCCCACGAUGACGAGGCGGCGCUCCAGCUCUGGAGCUGGUAAGUGCCGGAGUGCGUCACCACGUACCUGGUGCGCCCGGCGCCGUCGGAGAGCGUGUAGGUGAGGUAGAUCUCGUCGUCUCCGUCGACGAUUGCCAGGUAGACGACGAUGGCCGCGGCGCUGCUGGCGUUGUCCUUGGCCGCGCCCGCCGGUGGCGGCUGGUACCGGCGCUCGCUCUUCACCAGGUACCCGUUCCACGGCGCGCUGCGGGCGACCGGGCGCGCGCCAUCCCAGAGGAACACCUGGAGGGACGUGGCCGGGUCGCCGCCGUAGGAGAAGCGCCCCGGCGAAGGGUCGCCGGGCGCGUUCCAGGACACCAGGCGGUCGCCGGCGCGCGUCCUGUACCUCAUCCGGAUCUUCAUGCCCGGCAGGAACGUGUCCGUCGGGUGGUCGAAGCUCUGCCACAGCGUGGUGCCGUUUGCCGAGCGGAGGACCAGGUUGCCGCUGUUCAGGAGCACCGCCGUCGCCGCCGGAGCUGCGGCCACGUCGGUCUCAGGCGUCGUCGUCCAAAGGACGCGGCCGCCGUCGGAGAGGACGAGGCUGGAGGUGUCGGUGAGGGAGAGCGUGGGCGCGGAGGAGGAGUUAGUAGUGUUUGUGGCCGGGGUUUCUCGGUUGGCGACCCACACCACGGUGAGCUCGGGGAUGCCGUUGUACCAUAUGCCGACGUACAGCCUUGCCGGAGUAGUGGAGUUGGAGGGGCUGAAGAAACCCAGGGCGAAGGCGCCGUCGUCGGAGACGAUGGUAGCGCCAGGGGAGAGCGGCUUGCCGGGGACGAGGCGGUCGUCGGCCGCACGCAACGGCAGGAAGAUCACAAGGAUCAGGAUAGUGAUGGAGCACGCGAGAGCCCACCGGUCCAUUGGUCGAUCGGACAGGCCCAAAAAACUUCUGUUGUACUGUACGUACGAGCAUGUGGAAAGGAAUGUAAUCCGCUAGUCGUACACAGUGACUCGUACUACUAUUUCGUUGUUGAUGCUGACAUGCUGUUGUUUACAAGCCUUGAUCGGACCCGUUCCAGCAUUCGAUCGCGUGGAUUACGAAAGCAGAUGGCUGAAAAAUGCAUAGUUCUUGAAUCCUGCGGUAGGAGCUCAGAGUGUUUUGGAUUUGACAUCUCAGCUGUCCACGUCGGAGCAGAGCGCGAUACGGCGAUAGUCAUCGUGCUCGUGUGAACCCAGCUGGUCAAACCGCGGCACGGUUGAAUCCAAACAAACUUUACCCUAUUUUUCUAGGGAAACAAACCUUUUAGCUUUGUAAUUGAGGCCCACGGGCCACGGGAAUUAAUGGCCCAGCGAGAGCUCUACCCAGUCACCCACCCACGUCCGGCCUAGUCGCGGGGUGCGGCCUCGCUGGUCGGUCGUCGCUUCGUGUAAUAUACUCCGAUUAGGCAAAUUAGGCAAAUCCGAACUGAUCUCCAAUAAGAAAGCCAAUCCGAACGCAUCACGUAAUUCCGGCAGCAGCUAUAUUUAGUGACUCCUGUAUGCAGCUCGAUCGAUGCCUUGGAUCUCUUGAUGCUCCCCAGACCGAUUGAAUCGCCUGCCUCGAUCGAAGAUACAACACUUGGUUAAGUUUGAUACUACUACCAAAUUAACGAAUUUGAUUUAGAUCGGAGAGAGAAGAUGGGAUCGUCGUCAAGAACAGGGAAUAACCGAGUGGAGGAUCGUCCGGAGGAGGAGGAGGACGAGUUGUUCGUGGCCCGUGUCGGCUUGUCCGUGACCUUUGUCGUCAUCUUCAUCCUCUUUCUUCUCGUCGACACGGGCGUGAUCAAUCCCGGCGCCCCCAAGUUUCUCAAGAUCUUCUAUGGGGUGACGGGGCUCAUCUGCCUGCUCGGUGCUGCCAUCCUCGUAGUCGACUGCCUGCGUGAACGGGAACACUGGCCGGCGCCCUUUCGCCGUACGCGCAUUGCCGGGCCCGCCGAUCUGCCGGCCUGCGACGCGUGUUAGUCUGCUAGCUAUAUUGCCUGCCCUUUUUUUCACCAAGAAGCUGGAGUACCUUUUUUUUUAGGUGUUCACCAAGUAGCUACCUUGCCUGCCUUGGUUCGGCUCAUCGAUCUUACCGUUAUAAUAGGGUUUUUUUUCGUGCUUUGCCACAGCCUUUAAAAUACACCGGUUACCAAAUAAUGUAAUGUUUGUGUGUUGCAACGGACAAACAAAUUUGAUCUAUGUACUUGUUUCCUGAUGUUUUUUAUUUUAUUUGAUCUAUGUACUUGUUUAUUGGUUAAGAUACAUGCGAAGUACGAUAUGAUGUACUCGUCUCAUAAUGAUCUAUGUAUUGUUUAUUCAUGAUUUUGAUUUUUUUUAUCUACGUACUUGUUUCUUGGUUAAGGUACAUAUGAUGUACGAUAUGAUGUACUCGUCUCAUAAGAGGUAUGGUACCAAAUUAUCACAGAUGUUCAUGCUAUGAUUUUUUUUAAUAGCUGUGAUGUACCAUACGAUGUACUCGUCUCCUAAGUGCAUAUACUCGAGGUACUCAAAAUCUGAUAAAAUACAUGCCAUGCACCAUAAUGUAUUUAUCCAUGUACCAUAAUGUACUUAUAAGGUAUAGUUCAUAUACUUACAAAAGGAAAAAAGUCCGAGUGCCUAACAAAAAAAAAAGAGAGAAGAGCAAAAGUUGUUAGGUUUUUUAAUUUAAAGCAAAAGACAUUAACCAAGAGGAAGAUGGAGAAGGCCAAACAUGUAGCCAGCACCGUGGGCGCAAAUGCCACCAGUGGCACCAUUUCUGAAGGGGCGCGUAGAGAUAAACAAAAACUUUUUCUACACGAACUCCCAAGAUCUAGCCGAGGUAGAAGGCCACGAGGAUUACCACUAGACGCGCAGUUGCGGAUUAUCGAUGCAGCGCCUUGAUGCAGUGCAGUCCCUCGAUCCGAUCCAGCCGAUCCAAUCCCGCGAUCGUCGAAGUGCUGAACGUACAGCACCUCUGCCGGUAUCCACACAUGCGAGGAGGAGCUCCGGCGGCGGACUGCUAGGUCCGGUGCGAUGGUUGGACUGAAUGGGGCUAGGGUUCUCAACGCAUGAGAGUGGCGAACCGUGCCCCUUAGGCAUCCCACGCCCCUGCUUAUAUACCGAGUGGAAGUGGGCUUCAGCACUUGUGGCCCAUCCACUCUGCGAGUCGAACUCGCAUUGUCAGUCCAUUUCCGGUUUGGGUCCAACCCGACCAAAUACUUGCUUCCGCUCUUAAGUGUGUGACCCCGCAGGCUCAUGGCGACUUGGACACGAUUGGAGUCCGACUCUCAAUCGAUCAACCUGUAGCGGCUCCUAGCAGAACGUGCCGACUCCCAAGUACCAUCGAGUCAUGACGACGUACCUUCCAAUGUGACAUACGUCUUAGUCCCUUUUGCCUCACGAUAUACCUUGUCGAACUAUAGGCGAUUAAUCGUCAUCCCUUUAAUAGUUCAACUCUCUUCUCGAUCUGUGAUAUGCGAUUCAUCCGACUAACUCUUAGUCGAUCGACCCAGUUAACAGUUAACCGAGUCGCGCAUGGCCAUGCUUCCCGAAUCAUAUCACUCGAGAGGGCCCAGAGAAUAUCUCUCCAGUCGGAGGGGCAAAAUCCCAUCUUGGUUAUCCACAUCACAUAGCUUGAUUCUCAGUCAACUCGAACUCUGCCUUUAUAACUGCCCUGUUACGGAACAACGUUUAACAGAACCUAAGUUGGUGAUCCACAACUCGGAUUGUGCGAUAACCUCAGGUCUAAGGAUUACAUUGAUUGAGACAUGCAAAUGACGACCUACUCGUUGCAUCUCAAUAUGGGUCAGUCCGACUCGCUAAACUCUUUAGCCGAGUCCGUGUAAGCUGGAAUGACAUCACCAUGCCCAUGACAAGUGGAACCGAGUCAUCAGCCAACUUUCACAUUAGUUUAGGUUAUGUGUUCAGCACAACCUAAAUGACUAAGGACAAUUUAGUAUGAACAACAUGAAUACAUAGUUCCACAAUCAAAUCACAUAUUCAAUGAUACAUAUCAGAUGUUCAAACAAGGACAACUUAAUAAUCUUUAUGAAUACAUUGGGAAUUACAUCAUACAUGAUUGCCUCUAGGGCAUAUUCCCAACAAUUUCCGCUUUACUUUGAUCGUCAGCGCUCUGGGCUGACGUCACGGCCUUGACGUGCGCGGUGUUUCAUGCACGUCGAUGCGUGUUAGGGUGGUCGCUGCACUGGUUCUUCGGAGGGUUCCAAAGUCCAUGAGUUGGCGUAUGGGAGGCGGUAACCAUCUUUCUGGUGGCUUCUCAUGGCGCCUAUAUAUGUAGAGCUGUUGUCGGCAUUGCUCUGGGCACUUGCGUAUUGCGCUAUGGGUUCUGAACUUCUGAUGGGUUGCUUGGCGCUGCAGAUGUGGAUCCGGCACGAUCGGCAGCAUUGGAGCGUCGGUGUCCUCCCUCUGCCCUAACCACGACGUCCUCCCUCUGCCCUAACCACGGCGCCCCCCCCCCCCUCUUCCCCAACCACGGUGUCCCCCGGUGGCCCCGUUGCUAGAGGUGAAGCUCCGCAGCUAAGGAGGUGCAGUCCGGCGACAUCCAGGCUGAGACUACAGGGAGGUGUGGGGCCAGUGAGGCCAGAACGAUCCACCGGCCGCCAUGUGCCUCCUCACGCCUUUUUUUUUUGAAAAAGAGGGACCCCCUCCUGUUUCCAUUAAAGAAACGAUAGUCUUCUACACAAAUAGACAAAAGUAAGAAAAAGAAGAAAAACAUUCAGCGCGAAGUUCAGAUCACCAGCAGGUCUAGAAAUGAUACUAGCAACAGCAGAGAAAGAGAAAACAUACUACAAUUCAUAGAGCUCCUAGUCAGUAGAUUCAGAUAAAUGUUCUUGCUGCAGCAAUAGUUCCUUCACUUCAUGUAACCUGAACUUCUCCUCCUCCACUACCUCCCUAGCGAAGGCAGAGACCAGACAAAGCAGAAAAGCAGAGACGGCGAAACUUCAGCCCGCCAUGAUGCGACGACAAAGAGGAUGCCAUCCUUUCGCUGUUUCAAAAAUUUCCUUGGCGACAACUUCAACCAGUCUUACCCCCCACCGCAGAAGAUUUCUGCUUGCUUCCUUUCUCUGCAGAACAGACCAAAGAUUGAGCCAAUAACAGAAUCUCUUAAUGAUACCAAAAGGAGAAUAUCUUAAUGAUAUUUGGUCAAAAAAAUAAUAUCUUAAUGAUACCAAAAGGAGAAGUCAAACCAGCAGAUCUACAACAGGCAUCAUUUCUAGUGUUCCAGAGUACCCACAGUAAUCCUGCAACCCCUACCAUAACCAAUUUCCUAACAUUGCCAGAAAAAGCCUGCAUCCAUCCAGUCCAAAUUUGAUCAACAGUAUCCGGCUAAGAAUUUAAAUUGAAAGAACAAUUUAGAAUAUUUCAUAAGAAUCAAGCUAAAGUACACUGGAGGAAAAGAUGAUCAAUUGAUUCAUCCAUCCCACAGAACUGACAUUUGGAAUCCCUUUUCCACCCUCUAUGCUGCAAAACAUCUUUAGUCAAAUCAAAUAUCUCAGCCUCCUCACGUCUGGCGCUGCUCAUUUUUUAGAUUCUGUUCCAUCUUGAUUGAUUCCUUAGUUCACAAAUCAAAGAUCUCAGCCUCUCUUGAUUGCAAUUGGUACGGCGACGGAGAUUUUUCCUCUUUUUUUAGAGCUCUUUUACGGUACCCCACAUUUAAUAUGAUCCAUCCAUUAGUCACGAUCUAAUGGCUAAUAUUGUCCGGUACUCCACUACAAGUUGUCUGGAGUACUACCUCAAGAAUAGACGGAGUACCACGAUAUGAGGGGCAAAAUCGUAAUCAUAAGAAGUUUUUUUUCUCUCGCGGAGUUAUUUUGAUAAUCCAACACUAAAUAUUGUGCCAAAACUCAGGCGUGAAUGUUUUGAUUUACGCCAUCUAAAAAAGUCAUGAACCGGAGAUGAACCCUAAUCCUGAGGAGGUGUGGCGCCAGGCUUUGAUCCAUCACCGGCCGGCGCAAGUAUGCAAGGGACGAGGACGCUCCCCCCGCCGGCGCAAGUAUGCUCGUCGAGCCGCCGCCUUCUCCGUUUCUGAAGACACGAGCAUCGCCGUCAGGGCGCGGACCAGAGCUAGGUUUGGUCAAAAGGUAAACUGGGCCAAACAGUAGAGAUCAGGACGGCGGCGGAGAGCGGGAGACACGACAGAGUGCGGCCUGCACACAGUGCCGAAGGCCAAGGGUCAGCACUGACGCUUGCUCCCACGGCCAACGGCUUGGGCACGCAGGAGACUUGACGAUCCACGAGACCUUGGGCUUGGUUGAUUGAAAGGAGUACGUGAAAGUCCAAGAUGACCUGCGGGUUGCGGAAAUGCCCAGACUGCCCUUGCAGAUGAACGGACAGAUUUGUAUGGUACUCCAUCUUGUGUUUUGGGAGUACCAAUACUGUAAAAACUCUUUUUUUUUAAUUCUUUUCUUACUGCCCUAAACCCAUGGCAAUGUUUCUACUUUCCAGUGUCUUAGUUUGUUGUGGCAGGUAAUACAAUCGUUCCACGUAUAGGCUCCUCAGUUAGCGGCUUAAGCCUCGGUAGACUCCGGCCGCCACAUGCCUACGCUGACGGCUGCAGCUUCUUGCGUUUUGGCGAUGCUAUAAUCCCUUCUGGUGCGGUAAACUCUUUUCUAGCGGUGCCGGUUUCUACCGGCGUGGGAUGGACCAAUCGUUCACUGCCAGCAUGCACCACGUAUCCGGACGCUAUGUAUAUCCUUCAGUAUUCAUUUGUUCCCUCAUUUAUUCAACGUGGUAAUCUCAGUCUGGGUCCCACCAUGUGCUAAAAGAAAAGGGAGCACCAAAGAAGAGCGACGCGGGGCUCUGGACCUCUGUUCGAGGCGUGACGAGCGGGGCCCAAGCAAGGUGCGGGGCCAGGCGGGCAGCGAGCCAGCGACGGGCGCUGGCGCUAGUGUGUGUGAGCAAAUUUGAGGAGGUCUGUACAAAUUUGAUGAAACUUUUCUAAUCCUGUACUAACACAUUUUGAGGUUUGUACAAAUUAUGUAAGGGUUCAAACCAACUCAGAUUUUGAUGAAACUUUGGGGGUUGGCUUAAGAUGGGAACAUCCACCUUCAGUAAACGUUUCAAAAAUUUUGUAGCAAAUUUGAAACUCUGAGAUUUAAAUAUGGUUUAAGUUAAAAGGGCUAGUAAACUAAUUUUGAUUGACGCGAAAUUUUGCAUGUGCUCAUCUUGCAUAUAUGUGAGUUUGUACAAAAAGUUACAUGUCAAAAAGACGAAGUAGAAAAGUGGGUUAUUUCACAUAGGUUUGAAAAGGGGUUUAGUCCGCGCGAGUUCUAAAUUGAUGCAACAAUAAUUAAUACAUGAGAUGAUUACAUGAUGCAUGCUUAAUCUUAAAAUGAUCCUAUAUUAAUCAUCACACUGUAGUUCUCCACCAGCUCGGUCACCUACCGAUGGCGCGCAUGCCGCGCUAGCCACGCACCGCCUUGUGUUGCCCAACAUACCAUUUGUAUAUCAAUUUUUGGGUCAUUACACUAUAGUUCUCAAAUUUGUCGAAAUAUACCAUUUGUAUAUCAUAUACCACAUACCAAUGAAAUAUAUCAUUCAAAUACCACAUACCAAAUAAAUAUACCAUGUACCAAUAAAAUAUACUAGUGAGAUACCGUUGCAAUAUCAUAUACCAUACGAAUGUAGUGUACCAUUUGUAUAUCAUAUAACACCGUAAUAUCAUAUACCACAUUACCAAUGAAAUAUACCAUUCAUAUACCACAAAGCAGAGAAAUAUACUAUUCAUACACCAUGUACCAAUAAAAUAUACCAAUGAGAUACCGUUGUAAUAUCAUAUACCAUACGAAUGUAGCAUACCAUUUGUAUAUCAUAUAACACCGUAAUAUCAAAUACCACAUACCAAUGAAAUAUACCAUUCAUAUACCACAUAACAAAUAAAUAUACCAUUCAUAUACCAUGUAAAAAUAAGAUAUACCAGUGAGAUACCGUUGUAAUAUCAUAUACCAUACGAAUGUAGUAUAUCAUUUGUAUAUCAUAUAACACCGUAAUAUCAUAUACCACAUGCUAAUGAAAUAUACCAUUCAUAUACCAUAUAACAAAUAAAUAUACCAUUCAUAUACCAAGUACCAAUGAAAUAUACUAGCGAGAUACCACCUAAUUUCAUAUACCACAUACCAAUAAAAAUAAUAAUAAUCUAAAAUAUUGCAUCAUGUCAUCAUUACUUAUAUUGGUUGUGCAUCGAUUUAAAACUUUGCGGUCAUCAUUCUUAAACACCUUUUCAAACCUUUGUGAAAUAAAACAUCUUCAACCUUGUCCCGUCGACCUAAAACUUUUUGUACAAGCUCACAUAAAUAUAGUUCGAGCCUCUACAAAAUUUCAAGUUAAGCGGAAUUACUUUAAUACCCUUUUUGAAUUAAACGAUUUUCGAAGUCACAUAAAUCCCUGAAUUUCAAACUUGCUCCAAAAUAAUUGAGAAUUUUACUGGAGGUGGAUAACACCAUCCUAAACCAACCCUCAAAAUUUCAUUGGAUUCGGACUUCAUUUGAACUUUCAAAUUAUUUGCAGAAACCACCAAACGUCUAAGUUCAAAGUUGGAAACGAAAUCAAUCAGGUGACCCCACAUGUCAUACUCUCACGUGUAACUUAUUCUCUUUCUCAGUUCUCUUCUUCUCUUCACAGCACGGUAGAAGAUAUCCAGUGCUCCCACCCCUUAGGAUGCGAGCGUGCUCAGUUUUCGAAUUUUUUGAUAUAAAUUGAGUAGCUUUGUAAGAUAUGUGUCUAUCAUGUCACAAAGUUUCAAAUCCAAAUUCAUCAUAUGCAUAGAAAAACAAAAAGGACAAAUCCAGAUGCGAGUAGGUCGCAAAAAGAUAAAAACACAAAAAGACAAAAUUUCUAACACUAUUCAUGUUUGCAUUUGUCUUUUUUUUUUCUCUCUGUGUAUAAUGAAUUUGGAGUUGAAACUUUGUGACAUGGUAGACACAUAUCAUAUGAACCCAUUCAAUUUAUUUUGAAAAUUUUGAAAACUUUUUAGAGGUGCUGCCGUGCAUUGGGAGCACGGUAACACCCUAAGGGGUGGGAGCACUGGAUAUCUUCUUCACAGCACGGCACGCACAGGAACUCAAACCGCAUCGCCACUUCCUGACAUCGCUCGCCAUAGCCCUGCACUGUGUGCCAAGGCCUGCCCAUCUACUCGCAUCACGCACUCUAGCGGACGUGUCAGCCGCGGAUCCCGCCGGAUCUAGAGAACAACGCGGCGGCGGCGCACUCCAGCUGCUCGUGAUCUUGGGAAGAACGGCACAACGGCGCACUCCGGGAAAGAAAUUGGGGCAGCCAUGGAUCCGAGGAAGAAUUGCGUGGCAGCUCGGUCCAGUGGCUCGCGACCAUUGGGAAGAACGGCACGACAGCGCACUGCGGGAAAGAAAUUGGGGCGGAAAUGGAUCCGGGGAAGAACAGCAUGUCGGCGCGUCGAUGAAGCUCCCUGCGGCAGUGGCACAGGUGGCGACGAUGCUAGACACCUCCGGCGAUAGGAGGGAGGGAACAACGCGAUGGCAGAGGGAGACUGGGAGAGAGAUGACAGUACGAUGGAAACCAGCCAAAAUAUCUGCUCCGUGAAGGACAGUGACAAACUCAAGUGGGCUGGGUAGCAACAAGUACAAUACAUCUUGCGACCGAACCGAUGUAUAAAUUUCCAUAAUUGAAAUACCGACUCGGGCGUGCGUUGAUCUCAUAGCGCGAAUGGACGGUUCGUAGGAUACCGGCACCGCUACAAUCGCCGCUUUGCUUCUGGUGCAGCUAUUUAUGUUUAUGAUUCAACUUGUAUUCUAUCAACUAUGCCUUCUCGCGAGUUUGGCCAUGCAAUGACAAUGUUGUUAUUAUAUACUGUCUUGGUGAUUUAUCCUAUUUGCCUUUUUCUCCAGAUAGAUUCGCAGAUUAUUGAGAAUGCGACAAAGUUAUAAAAAAAUGGCUGAAGUUGGAAUCUCAGUUGAAGAGCAUGAAGGACAACUCCAAGAUUUUCCAUCAUCCAUCCCAUUUUUGCCUCCCCUGGCUAGUAUUAAGCAAGGACGUUACUUGGUAAUACUUUGCAUGCAACGGUAUGGUGUGUCGAAUUUGAAACUCAUAAGCAGUUGGUUACUAUAUUUCUAGUUUUCUAUAAAAGAAUGCAGCUAAUCUGAAGGUCUACUAUGCUACUCUUCUCAUUGCUGCGUAAUGGUCUUGUGGAUUUCUUGCACCAAUUAUCCUUUUUUUAAAAGGUCCAGCAAACGUUGGCUUUCCAAUGCAUUAGCAGGCAGAGAUAAUUACAGGGUUUGCCCUAGGCCAAAGAGAAAAAAGGAGCGGAAACAAAAGAAAGAAACGAAGGUGGCCAGGGGAGACUGAGGAGGAUUUCAGGGGGGUUCCAGAGAAGUUUCCUGAGAGCCUUUGCGCCGACGAAAGCCCGGUCUUGCGCUUGAAAGUAGCGAUCUGACACAUGCCGGUGGCCUUGUCAUGGAAAACUCUUGAAUUGCGCUCGCGCCAAAUCGAGUGGCACACCAGGAUGAACAAGGACCCAAGCCCUUUGCUUAGGUUUGCACUGUAUGAUUUCAUGAGGCGGUCGUGGAAGUCCUGGAUCGACGUGGCCCCAUGGAUGGCCGUAGCAAGGGCACGACAGUUAGGCCAGAGUGCAAUCUCGCACCAGAGCAUGCUGGAGAACGAGCACUCGACGAAGAGGGGGAAGGGCGUCUCCAGGUUCCGACGACGGAGAGGACAGAAGUAGCAGUUGGGCCAGCCGCGCCGUUGCAGACGAUCCGCACACAAAAGACGGUUCUGAAACAGAAGCCAAGCGAAACAUUUGUGCUUCGGCGGCGCCCAGACGUGCUAGACGGUCUAGGGAAGCGAUGAGAGCGUGACGCCGAUAAAGUGGAGCUUGUAGGCGGAGCUAGAAGAGUAAGAGCCGUCUGCGGUCAGGGUCCAACGAAUGGCAUCCGGAGUCUCAGGCUGGAGGGAGAUCGCGUGCAGAUCACGCCAGGCAGAGAUGAACUCGUGGAGGGCGUCGGUAGGCAGGUCGCGACGCAAGUCGCGGACCCAACGAUGAUCGGUGACAGCUUGGACGAUCGAGAGAUUCUUGCAUCGGGAGAGGGCAUGCAGUUGCGGGAAAGCCAGCUGGAGCGGCCGUCCACCAAACCAGGUGGAAUACCAGAAACUGGCGGUAGAGCCGUUGCCGAUGGUGACACGGGUAGCAUCUGCGAAAGGUCGCGGUCAACCUCGUCGCAGGGAGUAGGCGUGCCGACCCAAGGCCGAUCCGACGCUCGCCACUCGAGCCAGAGCUAUAGUAGACGAAUGGCCCUACCAAAAGCAUCCAAAUUCAUGACUCCCAUCCCGCCGUGCGCAAGAGGAGAGCAAACCCUAGACCAACUAACCUUGCACUUGCCCCAAGCGAGCUCAUUAUCAUCAACACCCCAAAGGAAACGUCGGCGGAUCUUAUUGAGGGUGCUAAUGAAAUUUCGGGGAAGCUUGAGCGCGUUCAUGGCAAACACCGGGAGGGCGCUAAGCACAGAGUUGGUGAGAGCAUACGGCACCCACUGGUGCUAAUCCAUCUUCCCCGCCAACAAGCCAGGCGAGCACGGGCAUGAUCCAGGAUGUGUUGAAGGUGAGCGCUCUUGAUCCGUUUGAGGGACAUGGGGAGGCCUAGGUAGCGAAUGGGGAAAUCGACAUGUAUCCCAUGGAAAUGCAGAAGGACAUCGUCGAGGUUGGUAUCGUCGCAUCGGAUUGCGGCCACCUCACACUUGCCAGGAUUAAUGCGCAGGCCCGUGGCGAGACCGAAUUCAUGCAGCAGAUGGAGAACGAAGAGCACGUCGGUGCGCACAGGGUUAAGGAAGAUGAUGGCGUCAUCUGCGUAGAGGCCGCCGCGCGGAGCUGCUUCUUCAGGGGUAGCGGGGAGAGACCGCUGAGCUCUGUGCCGCGUUGAAAGAGGCGCUACAGCGGGUCGAUGGCGAGGAUGAAGAGAAGCAGAGAGAGCUGGUCUCCCGGGCGCAGGCCGCGACGGUGAGGGAUCGAGGCGCCGAUGGUGCCAUUGAGAAGCACCGAGGAUGAGGCGGUGGAGAGGAGGAGCGCAAUCCAGUCACGCCAUCGAGCCGGGAAGCCGAGUCGUUGGAGGAGUUCUAGAAGAUAUUCCCAAGACACGGAGUCGAAAGGUUUGGCGAAAUCGAGCUUCAUAAGCAGGGCUGGCUUUUUCCCGCGGUGGAGAGUGCACGCCGCGUUUCGAACGAAAAGGAAGUUGUCGUGGAUGCAGUGGGUCGUGAGGAAGGCGCUCUAAGAGGGAGAGAUGAGCCCCUCCAUGAAGGGGGACAGGCAGUAGGCGGGUACUUUGGAGAAGAGCUUGGCGAACGAGUGAAUAAGGCUAAUAUGGCGCAGGUCGUGGACACUGUUAAUUUGGGCUAUCUUGGGCAGCGAGAAAAUGAAGGCUGAGCUGAGAGUAGAGAAAUUUCCACUAGCGAGACAAUGGAGGUGGUUGAAAGCAGCAAGGAGGUUGAGCUUGAUAAUCUGCCAACAGGAGCGGUAGAACACGCGUUGUGAAGCCGUCUAGCCCGGGCGCGUUUCAGCAGGCGAGUCCCGGAUGGCGACCCAAAUCUCGUCCAUCGAGAAAGGGAGGUCGAUGCCGACCGGGGGAAGGGUCGGCAGGUUGAGCUCGGACCACGCAAAAGAAUGGGAGCGCGGGGAAGUCGAACCAAGAACGGCAGUGAAAUGCUGGAGCAGGGCCUGAGCUUUGUCGUCAUGCGCCACGUGCACACCGGAAUCGUUGGCAAUCUGGUGAAGGAAAUUUCUUCGGUGCCUAAAGUUUACCUUGAUGUGGAAGAAUCUGGAGUUGGCGUCGCUUUCUUUGAGCCAGACCCGGCGACGGCGGGAGCGCUCGAUCGCGGCGAGCCCAGGGAUCCUAGCUUUGAGGGCGCGGCGGAGGUGAAAUUCUAGGGCCGAGAGGAUGCAGCCUUCCUGAGCGACGUCGAGCCAUAGCACGAGUUCCAGAGCAAGGUGAAGCUGGAAGCGGGAAUCACUAAAGAUUCCUUUGCUCCUUUGACGUGAAUACGACGAAGAGGAUUGGCGGAGUCCACCUCCUGGCUCCAGGCCUCAAUCGUAGCAUCGAAGAAGCCCGGGUGAUGCGGCCAAAAAUUCUCGAAACGAAAGCGUGCUUUCCUCGGCAGCAAGCUGAAGCCGGCAAGAAGAAGAGGACAGUGAUCCGAGCGCGAGAUGGAAAGGGCGUGAACGGCAUAGGAGGAGAAGAGCGCGUCCCAAGCGGAGUUACAGAAGAAUCGAUCAAGCUUGACGAGGGUGGGGUGCUGCUGCUCGUUAGUCCAGGAGAAGUUUCGGUUGACGCAUCUCAAUUCGAAAAGCUCAGCCUGAUCAAUGUCCGCGCGGAAUUAGCCCAUGAGGCGACGACUAAGGUUGAGGUUGCUCUUGUCUCUUGCUUCGUAGAUUAGGUUGAAAUCGGCGAAAAUCAACCAGCAGGGUUCCCCAGGGCGCGGAGAGAUGACGGCCAUCUCUUGGAGGAAGGCGGGCUUGCGGGCAUCUUCGGCUGGACCGUAGACGGUGGAUAGAAGAAACGCUAGGCCGGAAACAUUGAUGGUGACGACGACCGUAAUGGAGAAAGAGAGGAUCUGGGGGUUGGAGAUGGCGACCACGUCGGGGUUCCAAAAAAGGGCCACGCCGCCCCACGUGCCGUCGGCGGGCAGGCACACGAAGGGCUGGCGGGAGGGGCCUGCAAUCUCACAGGCUAGGGAAGCGUCGAUCGCGGACAACUUUGUUUCCUGAAUGCAAGGGAUGCCGGCUUUGGCGUUGGAGGCCAACUCACAGACGGCCGCGCGGCGAGCCGCGUUAUUGAGGCCGCGGACGUUCCAGCAAACAAUCGGACAGAUGGCGUCAAUUUGGGGCGGAGCAUUGACGAAACGCGACAGAAACUAAUACUAGCACGAGUACACCCGAAUAUUACUUGUAGGUCCCUCGGGAUCCUUGGGGGACUCAAUCCCUUGCGUUGUUUUUGCCAUCGGUCUGCCCCGGUGGAUUUGUACCUUUAGUAUUCUAUCCUGGCCUCUAUGUAUGCAACCCGUAUUUCUGUCGCAACGGUCAUCUGAUCCAUCACAUUUAUGCAAAACAACUUUUUUGGUCCAGCUAACUCACGCUGCCACCGAUUUUGGCCCAGCUUCACAGGUAAACCAGAGGUCAAAUUUUGAAGCAUUAUGCAUAAUCUCCAUUCAAUUUUUUGGCACACAUGCAUCAAUUUUAAGCCGAACCAGUUCAUCAACAAAAUAUUAAUUAAACAUAAUUAGGAACUUGAAUCUGAACCAAUUUUGGAUAGAACUUGGAUCUGCGCCAAAUUUUUGUCAAUCAACAAAUUCAACAACAAUCCCCAAAAAUAAAUGUGAACAACAGAAGCAAACUGCAAAAGCUAAACUCAAACAAAAUCAAGAAAAUUUGCCGCAUGGCCACAGACAGUUAGGAGUUAAACUCAUAGAAAUCGCAUCAACAAAUCUUCCCGCAUGCCCACGGAAAAAAACCGAAACCAAAAAAAGUCUUGCAACAAUCUUGAAGCAGCAAAUCUUCAUCAGGGAAUCACGCAUGUGUGAAAACUUGCACAAAUAAACGCAGGGAAGAAAUCUUGCACAAAAAAAGAUCUUGCACCAUGGCCACGCAUGUGUGAAAACGCAGGGACCUAGCCGAGAACUCCGUGUCCAUGGCCACGAAGGGGCCGUCCGAACCUGGUCAGUUCACCGCCGGGAGCCGCUGGCGAGGGAGGAUGAGCAGGGGGAGAGGAUAGUAAAGGGGAUUUUUUGGGGAAGGUGGGGCCCAGUAUUUCGGAAUGGUCCAGCUUGCCAUCAUAAAUGGCCCAGGUCUCAUCGCAAAUGGCCCAGGUACACAUAGGAAAUGGCCCAGUAUUUACACUAUUCAGUACCGCAUCCUGGACCAAAUUUCAGAUCAUGAUGGGCCAAACGGGUGGACUGGAUAGAGUCCACCAAGGGUCCUGAGACCUGAAAAUUCAUUCAAAACAUACAUGGGGUGGAGACGAUCGACAGCCAAUAGCCCCAAACAGAUCGUUCUCCAAUAGCAAGCCGUCGAACCCUAACAUAACUACCAAAGGACCGGCAUGGGGCCGGCCGCCACCUAAACAACUAAGAUAGCAUAACAUGGGGAAACUACAAAUUAGUUCGCCGGCGAGGCGACGCUGGUGGCGGAGGCCUGAGCUGCGGCACGGUGGAGAGCGUUGCGGUCGAUCCUGGUAAGAACGGCGAGGCCGUCCACAUCAACUUCAGAGAGAGGCUCCUUGAAUCGCUGGAUCAGCGCAGCAGCGGCAGUGUCGGGGCGCUGGCGGACAGUGGAGGAGGGCUUCCCCGCCUGACGAGCGCUGCGGCGCGGGGUGAUCGCGGGCAGCUCCUUGGGCGGCCGCGGAAGCGGCGGCGGCGAGGCUCCGAGCACGCAGGAGGGAGGCACGGCGAACAGGGAGCGGAUGACCUCAUCAGUAGUCGUGUGGUCGUCGGGCGCGGGGGAGUCUGGGACGAGCAUGUCAAUGACGUCGGUGGUGGUGGCGGCGCGCCCAUCACCGACCGGCGAAGGGAGCCUGAGGGCCCAGACCGUGAUUCCCCGGCACCGCCGCCACGUCGGAGCUCGCCGGGAAAGAGAGUGGCGAGGCCACCACCUUGGCGCAGUACGAGUCGAACUUCGAGACCAUCGGGUCCGCGCCGCGCAGAGGCCCUCGAACUGCUCGGACGCCAUCAGGGAUCCUCGCUGGAGACGGACGAGGCGCUGGUCGGUGAAGCGGGGGCAGCCUCGGGCGCCGGCGGCGAGGGCGGUGACACAACCACUGCAGGCGUCGGCGCAGCCACCGCGGGAGGAGAAACCACGAACAGGCGCUGGGUAGGGGGGCCAUGAGCUAGGAGGGGCGGCGGAGGCGGCAGGAAUUCCAGAGGCUCAACCAAUAUACUACUGCCCCCUGUUUUCUUUUCCUCCCGUCUUAUUCACGAUUUCUCCUUCUCCGUCUUACAACCGACGCCACCAUGCCCGCAUGUCGAUCUCGACGGCGUCAUGAGCUGCCUACACAGAAAAAAAAUAGUUUGUGAUUUGUUGACCCGUAGCAACGCGCGGACACACCUGCUAGUAUAUGAUAAAAGUUGUACCCAUCUAAUUAAUCUCGUUCCUCUCUAUACGUACUCUCUCUUCCCUCUCAGGUCCAGCAUGCAUGUGGAAUUGAGAACGGUGCCUCUGACUCUGGAGACUGGAGAACGUCCUCAAGACUCCAACAAGUUUUGAUUUUGAUUUUGAUUUAGUAAAAGAAUAAAAAAUAUAUGAAUUGAAUUAGUUAUGAGUUUUUCAAGUUUCAACAAUCUUUGGGGUCGUCAAUAGCUGGUUCGAUUGAGUGGCCAGUGCAUUCCGCGCCUGUCUCUUCUCUGCAGGUUUGAUUGAGUAGCCAGUGCAUUCCGCAUUUCCGCGCUAGUUGCCAUGCAAACAUCUUCACUUUAGGAGGACAAUGGCACUUCCAGAGUAACGCCCAGUCAGGUCUCUCACACGAGGCACCAUCCCCCUGCUCAAUCAUCAUAAGGGGACGGAGUGAGCACCUACAACUGGAAAAGUACCGUAUGCUGAAAUUAAUUAGAAUAAAACUACUUCCUCCGUCCAAAAUAUUCCAAAACAAGUGACCGUGGAUUUUAUAUAAAAAUCUAUAUAUUCAAAUCAAAAUUACUUAUUUUGGGAGGGAGGGAGUACAUGAUUCCAAGGUAGCAUGGGUUGAUGUUGAUCUAAAAAAAAAAUCCUAGGGUGGUUGUCAGAUUCUAGUGUACAUUGUUCAAAAAUCUUGUCUGGUUUUUGCUUUCGUAUGAUUCAGUACUACUUCCGUACUAUGCAAAUACGGAUUAUAAAUCAUGAUGAUUGAACAUAACUAAUUUAGAGUCAUAGAUUUUACUAAAAAAACUUAGAACAAAGCUAACACGAUGAGUUAAAAGACUCGAGCUAAUGCAAAAACUGUUAUAAGCUCCCGUAUGAUUCAGUACUACUUCCGUACUAUGCAAAUACGGAUUAUAAAUCAUGAUGAUUGAACAUAACUAAUUUAGAGUCAUAGAUUUUACUAAAAAAACUUAGAACAAAGCUAACACGAUGAGUUAAAAGACUCGAGCUAAUGCAAAAACUGUUAUAAGCUCCCGGCGAGGAUCGAACUCACGACCUUUCGCUUACGAAGCGAACGCAAUACCACUAUGCUACGGAAGCUAUCAGUAAUAUGUUUUAAAGAAAAUUAAUUUGUAUUUUAUUUGUCAAGACCUUUUUCCCGUUCCCGUUCUUGCACUUGCAGCCAAAGGAUCAGCGGUUGCGGCAUGACAAGAUUUUUUUUAAUUGUAUUUUUAAUUGCUAACCACAUUUGCCAUGUGGUUAGUGGCAUGACAAGAUAGUUGUGAGUUUGACUAUAUAGGAGUAUAUCGCUCUGACGAUGCGUCACGCCGGUGACACGCAGUAGUAGCAGUCUAGCAGAGCACCCGACUGAAACGUGCCCGACAGUAGAGCACCGGCCGACCAAAUCCAGAUGAGUUUUCAUGCAGUUAUUAAAAAGGUACCACAUGGGGCACAUGGCAGCUUCCAGAUCCAACAAAGUCCAAAAUCAGUUAAACAAAAGGCAAGCAUACACAUACACAGAUUAGAACUUGGCGAGCACAUCGCAGAUUCUCCCGAUAGCUGCAGCCAGAAUGAGUAUAGGGAGAAAGGGAACGGACAUGUUUCCAACUCUCCAUCUUGCUGAAACCUCGGGUACUUCGGAGUCUUUUCAGAAGAAUACAAGAUACAGCUGUGCAUCGCAGGUAAACGAAUUACAGGUUCUAAAAGGAUUAACAGAAGAACUGUAAUAGUCUACUCUAUGUUUGCCAAAUAGUAAAAAAGGACCGGAAUGCUGUAGCCUGCUGACAUCGGCAGCUAUUGAAGACAGACAAAGGAUAAUAACUGAUAAAUGGAAUGUUUUGUACAACAGAAUUUCAGACUAGUCUCGCUAGAAACAAAUCAGAAACUUCCCCGACAGAAUGCCAGGGCAAAUCCACAAGCGCAAUCAAAAGAACAGAUACGGGCGCGGGGUAAACACAAACAAGCAAAUCUUUUGAGUAAUUACUAUUUUUGCUUCAGAAAUGAACAGUUUAACACCAUCUAUUGAGAUCUGAGACUUCAAACAAACAGCCACGGGUACUUUUGUAGGUACAGACAUAACAGAGUGAAAUAACAAUGGAUGACCAAGCGCCCAACCCUAUAAACUUGACUAGAACUUCCCCACUCCGAUCCAGGAAGGCGACAGUGACAUGAGCCAGACUAAAGCUACGAUUCAUUGUCCAUCCUAACAGCAACCUGAAAGAAAGGGAGGGACUAUGCUAAACUAAAGGCAACCAUCCAUCAGAGACACUAGCCAGGAACAGCAACAGCAAAGCUCCAGAGGUUUCCAUCCAGUACUGUGGCAGCUUGGUGAAAUCCGAUCCGCAUCACUCGUCAGCCUGCAUACAGGAUGUUUCAGACAUUCUCGUCAGUGAGGUGAGGUUGACUGAAAUUGUCGGAAAGGGAUUAUGGGGUGGGUGUCUCUAUCUCACCUCGCUCCCGUCAGCCUCGUCGUUAACCUCGGACUUGGACUUGUCCGAGUCACCAGACGCUUCCUGGCCUCCUGCCUGCAAGGGUAAAAGCACAAACCGCACAUAUGAGAACAAUGUGAUCAUCUCGAUUCUGACGACGGUGUUCGAUGAGGAGCUGAGAGCGCGCAUCGGUACCUGAGGGUUGUUGUAGGCGACCAUCUUCUUGUUGUACUCAGCCUUGAGCUUCUCGGCCUUGGCAACAAAAGGAGCUUUCUCCUGCGUUACAAACGAGAUAUGUUAGUCGGGCGAAGCUAGCACAAGGCAAUGGAAACACUGAACUGAACAGCUGUGAAAAGACGAGCAAAAGGGAAACGAAUUGUGCGGAACGGUAUCGAAAAUUUGAACGGGCGAACAAGAUGUUGCAAGUACUAAAAGUUUAUCACCAAUUAGAAUCGAAAAGGAGAUGGGUAAAUUUUAAACGAAAUGACACAUUUUAACAAAUUCACCAUAAAUUUGAACCACACGACCAGAACUACACAUCCAGUGGAUCCCCAAUUUGAACCUAACCCUCCUGGAACAAGUAAACCCGAGAUAUGAACGACAAAAAACGUAAACUGAACAAAAUUACAAAAUUACAAGUGACAUCAAAUCAGCAGACAAUGGAAUCAGAUCGAAAUCGCAUGACAUCAAAUGAGAAAACAAUGAAACCAGACCGAAAGAGCCAGCGGACCCUGCAGUUUGAGGAAACAACUUACAGCAUCGGACAGGGACUUCCACUCCGCACCACCGGCUUUACCAACCUGCGUCCCACCAAAACCAGCCGGUAUCAGAACGUAGAAUUUAAAUCGUCACAACGGUUCGAACGAGGGGAUGAACUCAGGCGGAGAAAACGAUCCUUACCACGGAGACUUGCUUGACGUCAGGGUGCUUCUCCUUGUAGUCCUUCCUGAACCCCUCCCUGCGGAAACGAAUGCAUAGCAAAAAUGUCGAUCAGAACGCGACACCACAGAGUGACAAACAACACGAAAACCAGAACGGAUCUGAGCUUACAUGAAGACGAAGAACGCGCUCGGGGGCCUCUUUGGCUGGUUCGGGUCCUUCUCGGCCUUUGUCUUCCUCACCGAGAGCCUAUGCCACCAACAAGUGCAAGACACCAAGAGCAAAUCGAAUCAAAACCGACGCGAAAUAGAGGCGAAACACUCGAACAGAACCACGGAAAUCGAACAGGUAGAGGGGAGAUCUGAUCAAUCAGACACUAACCUGGAGUCGCCGCCGCUGGACCUCACCCUCGCCUUCAUCUCGCAGCCUGCAACACCAAACCAACCCAGAUCUAAACCAUCAGAAACAGCACAACCGAAAUCACAACAGCAUGAAAUCGGAUGUUCUAAGAAACAGAUAUAGAUUGAUCUCGAACUCACGGUACCUUCGGAUCGGAGCGCGUUAGUGCUAGGUUGGGGAGAUGGGUGCUGCGUGCUUUCGACUACGAUGCGAUUUGGAGGGCUGGAGGACAGGAGGAGGGAGGCGAUUGGGGGCGGGCUUUAAAGGCGGGUGAGAGGCGGGAGUUUGCGCGGGGUUCCCCGAAAAAUUUCGCCACGUCAACGAUCCGCGCGCUCUUCUCUCAUUGGCCGUGCGGGCGAACUGCAGUCGGCUAGAGCUUCCGCUACACUGUUUGCGCUUACCCGCGGGGCUCCUGUCCAGCUGUCAGUCUUAUGGCCCACCUGUCAUUGGAGUUUGUAGGUUCUUUACGGAGUAUUUACGGUGUGUUUUCUCUGCCUGUGCUUCUCGGAUGGGGGGCAGUCUGGGCAGUUUCGAAGAGUUUACGGACGUGGUAGAAGUUUCCUGGCGCACGACUCAUUGAACCCGCAUUUAUUUAUUUCUCGACAGAACAAGGCCGUAUCUUUUGGUAUUCCUCGAUCGAGUGAUCGAGUCGGAUAUUGUACUAGGGAGUAUAUCGGAGUUAUUUUUAGAGGCUUACUCAUCCCGUUACUUAAAGAACGGCAUAUUAGUUUUCAUUAAGACAAGUCUUUGAACACAAAUUAUUAUGUUAAAGUGUUGUUUAUAUGACAUGAAGUACUUUCGAUAACGAAUUUAGCGAUACUAAUUUCAUGUCAUAUAAACCACACCUUGCCAUAGUAAUUUGUGAUCAAAUCCUUGUCUUAAUGAAAGCUAAUAUGCCAAUUUUUAAGGAACGGAGUGAGUACAAUGAAAAUACUCGUCACGUUGUCCGUAAAAUGUCCCAUGUAUCCUGCACAAACAUUGUUUUUGAUCUAUUUUACUCGUGCGAGAACAUAUGCUAUAUGAUCGACUCUCGUUCUUCUGCAAGGUGGUGUUUAGUACUACCUCCGUUCCAUAAUAUGAGACACGCAUGCAUCGCUAAAUUCUCAAUUUGAUUAAUUAAAUAUGUAUGUUUUUAACAAAAAUUACAUCAUUAGACUCGUUAUCGAAAAAAUUUCUAAUAAUAUAAUUUUUUAGUUUUUUAAUUAAUAUUUAGUUAGCUAAAUUGACGAUGUAGGAAAAUGCGAGCGUGCCUCCUUCCGUCCCAAAUUGACUGACGUAUUUUUAUACAAAUCCACGUCAGUUAAUUCGGGACGGAGUGAGUACAUUAGAAUGCCGGAACUUAGAGGAUGCUCUACGAUGCCAUUAAUUGUCUCUAUUUAAACACUGACGUAUAAAGUAAGUAGUAUCUUAUACUGUAAGUUAGUGUUUGGUGCAGAGCAAAUAGUCCAUACAUUUUCCUAAGGAAGUAUUGUAUUCUCUUUUGAGGAAUCAAAUAGAUUCAUGUAUUAUAGGAACUAAACAUGAGAAUGCAUGAUGCUCAAAUGUGGAACUAUUUUAUUACAUUUCACCAUUUUUUUAGCAGCCAAAAAGUACUACCUAAACAUCAAACGUGGUGCACCCGAUACAAACGAUAACAGUCUUGGUCCCUAUGAUGUGUUGUUGUGAUCUCUCGACCAUGACUUGGAUAUAGGUCUAUCGUGACAGUCCUCGUUGGCCUACAUUUCCUACUCCGUCAUCGAUGAUGCAUGUUUGUAUCGGGUGGAUUACACACAAUAUUAGAUUUCCCUUUAAGCAAUUCAUUACAAGCAAUUCUAGAAACUCAAGUCUUCAUGUGGUUGAUUCAUAAGAGAAGUUCUGACAAGCCACAAAUAAAUAUGUGGAAAUUUAUGAUUUUCGGUUGAAAACUCACCAAUAUAGCGAGAACCUUCCAUUUUUCUGGUUCAAGGCAUCAUAAACAUGGUGGCUGAGAUACUAUCAAAAAGGUCGAAACGUACUUGCUUUUCUAUUUCCAUACACAAGCUCUUCUUUCACGGUUAAGGCUUCAUUGACAUUGGUACUAGCCUAAGAUGAUGAUCAUGUCGUUUUUGGGUUUUAUAGCGUGGCAAUUGCAUGUGGAUGUAGUCAUAAUGGUUUCGUGUACCGGUGAUUCCACUUUAAUCGGCGUAAUGCUUACAGCUAUGAUGCGGUACAAUACGGCGCCCACUCAUUUAUAUAUUUUAAGCAACGGCCUCCUGACUUGCUUCCACAUACCCCGGAAUUCGGUCGAAACCGCUUCCUUUUUCCUUAUCUGCAUGCAUAACAAGACAGGGCAAUCAAUGUUCUCCAAACACUAUAUUCAUUCAAAAAAUUGGAACGAUUUAUCUCUUCAAUGGUGGAUUUGGUCCUCUAUUUGUCUUCACCGUUAACGAUGUGUCGAACUAUUAAGCACCCAAUUGUAUCUCUAUAUGAGGAUUCAUUGAAUCUCCUAGGGGGGCAACCAUGUCUAGGAGGUUUUUUAUACGGAGUAUAAGAACAUUACUCUACCCAUGGUGGAAUCGACGCUAUCUUUGUGCGUCCUCCUUAUGCGAGGCAGUAUAUCUCAAUUUGCUCAGAGAAGGAAGCUCCAACGCUCUCUGCAACUAUUCCGGAGUUGGUGCUGGCGCGCUCGAGCCAUCUUGCAGAGCGAGCUAAUGUCCUGGUCCCGGUGGCAGCUAUCGGGAUGCAACAGAGCUGUGCGGCCGAAGCAAGAAGGACGAUGGCCUUAAGGAUUUGGUUUGUAAUUUUAUACUCUAUCCUUAUUAUGAGGUGUUGAUGCAAGGUGCUCUCUCUCUGUAUUGUAUUCUUUCCUAUGCUAUGAUGAAUGAACAGUUUUUAUAAUUCGGGUGCAAAAUAGACACAUAAUUACUGAGAGCGGGUUUUUUGCUCCGGGUGGCAAUCACACCCGAAAUCUGAGCCGCCCACCUUGUUUUUGGGAUCUGUGCCCCUGAUUUUCGGUUUUCAAAAUACAUUUGCAAUACAUGGCAGUGGUGUACGUGGGGACCACGCACGUGGAUUCCAACCCCCCUUUCUUCUUUCUUCUGUCUGCCCUCUCCACAGCAAUGUCGCCUCCCUCUCCCCCCCCUUCUCUCUCUCACCCAACAGCCCAUGGCGGUCGGAACAGGGACCUCGACCGAUGCGGGACGGCGGCGUAGCCGGAGAUGGAGGCGGCCAUGGGCGUGUCCAGUUCAACAUCAAACGCGCCCUGGCUGGGUAUUCUCUCCCCCCCCCCCCCGGCCCCCGGCCAUCAUGUUCGAGCAAGAACUCAAGGGCGGCGGGACGAGGCAAUAAAUGAAGCUGCAAAUCGUCGGAGGAGGGGGAGGGCCGCCGGAGUUCAGAGCUCGGCCACGGUGUGGCCAUGAUCCGUUGCCGCAGUUCGGAGCUCGUCCACGGUGUGGCCACGGUCAGCAGGACGCGGACGCGUGGUGCUGCCGGCCCCUGCACGGGCACGAAAAAGCCGCCGGGGUACUGCCACCCCCACGCCCGAGCACAACUGCACCACGCCGCCACCGCCAGCCAGCACCCCCCCCCCUCUCUCUUAUGGCGGAGCUCGUCCAUGGCGCCGCCGACAUCUUCACCGAGUUCAUCUUCACGGGGUCCGGCUCCAACAACCUCCAACUGCAGCGUCUUCCCCAACUCCGGCAUCCAGCCGCUAGAAUCUCGAGAACGGUGGCUCGUUCUGGAGCCGGCCGAACCCCGACAACAUCCAUGGCGCAGGAGGAGCAGGCGGACGGGUUCUUCUAGUCGAAAUGGACAAGGUCGGAGUGGACAAGGGCAGAGCUGGCAGCGAACGAGAGCAGCAAUUGGCGGUCGCCACUGUCGGACGGGAGCAGGGGAGAGAAAAGUGAGAGAGAAAGGCGGAGGAGGAAGAUAGCGUGGGGGGAUGUGGGGGCAGAGAAACGCACAUGGUGGGCCCAGCACUGUUGAAGAAUACCAAAUUAAAAUGGGCAUACGGAUCCAAAUACAUGUAGGAGGAAGAUAGCGUUUACGAAUCUCAAUGUGCUUUGUAAGGUGCAGAUUCAGGGUGCGAUCGCACCCAGGUGCAAGAGGACAUUUCCCCAUAAUUACUGGCAUAUCGAAUAAUCAGCACAGCAGGUAGCACAAGUUCUUGUCAGGUAAUGUGAAUCACAUCUGAAAAAGUCAAACUGAAGCACAAGUUUAGGUAGAGCUUACCAUCUCAAGCAGAAAUUGAUAUUCAUGAGGCAAUUCAUUACUGUGGUUACAUCUGCCACUAACAAUUUCCAAGAGCAAAAUAGCGAAACUAUAAAUAUUUGACUUCUUUGUCACUUGUCCUCUGACUGCAUAUUCAGGGAGGAGCCUGGUAUCCUCUGAUAGAAGAAACGAAGGCAUUGAGAGAUGGGAAUGAACUAUGUUCCAUGUCCCAAACAAACUCAUAUACAAGGCUAUAUACUUAGAUUGUUCCUGCAACACGGGUGCUCACAUAGUCACAUGAGUUGCAUUUGGAGGAAGGAGCCUUGCUAACCAAAAAUCAUUCUAGAGGUGGGAUCCUUGUCGAAAAGAAUAUUGCUUCCCUUUAUGUCCCGCUGAAUUAUAGGAGGACGGAUUUCCUCAGGAAGAAAUGCAAGCGCUGAAGCCCAUGGGCAACAUCUAGAGCAAUUUUAACAAGAACUCUCCAACUGACGGCGCGGCGGGGGAUGGCUCGCGACGGGGGACGGCUCGCGACGGGGGAGGCUUCGCGAGCAGCGGCAGACGGCAGUGACCCACGCUUCGCGGGCAGCGGACGAUGGCGCCAUGGCGGCCUCUCAAGCGCACGGCACGGUGACUUUGCUCGGGGGCAUCCUAUUCUAAAUUUUUUCUUCCACCGAAAUUCAGGCCGAGCGUGUGGAGGAGUUCAACAUCUUCCUGUCAUGCUCUCAGCGGGUGCCGUGCUUAUGAUCUCCGGCCUUUUAUUCCACCGAAAUUCGCUGCCCAAAUGGUUCCAGAUAGUGUGCUGGCAGGCUGCGACCGUCUCCUUUUUUGCGGCCUGGCUCGCCGUCUGGGAUCACAUAAGACUUCGGCUCAGCCAAACUCCCUCUUCGAAAAGACCCAAACUGAAAACACAAAAGUUUACCUUUGUUUUUCCACAGUUCUUUUUCUUUUCUUUUCUUUUCUUUUGACAGCACAAAAGUGUACCUUCCACUUUCAACUAGUACUCCAACUCUUGUAGCUUCCCUCAAAAAAGUAUUAACUCUUGUAGCUUUCGGUUUUUUAAUAUCAAAACUGUUGAAGUUGUUGUGAUUUCAACCUCGACGUAUCCGCCACGGCCAUCAUUGAGCUCGCCUCUUCGCUGCUACUGGUACUACCUAGUGAGGCGGCAAAGCAGGCCAUGGAGGCGGUGAGUGAUGAUGCUGCCUGCAACUCAGUUUUGAGCAUUCAUCAGGGGUCAUACACAUCAAAACUAUCAAUCUCCAUUGAGAAAAAGGGAGGAUAUCCAUCCUUAAUAGAUAGGAAAAAAAAUUGUGUACGUAUCAUUUUUUUUACAAGAACACCAAUAAGAAUUGAAUUGAGCAUCUUUGCACUGGCAGAAUGCAAGCGUUACAAGUUUAGUUCCCCUUCCUAAGAUUUACAGCUCCAACACACACGACACAAGGCAAAUUAGCCAUUGUCCUGUAGCUGUCUUUUUUAUUUAUUUACAUCAUGCAUCUGACUCCCGUCAAAAUUCUCAUCUCACUCCAACUCGGCUAGCCCUCAGUGAGUUAGCAUCUCCUUUUGGCAUGCGAUGUGUCGGUGCUACUGCUACGGAACAGGCCUUCCCAGUGCUUCAGAGUUCAGAGCAAAGAGCAGGAGCCAAAUUCCAUCCUAUGAAUCCUCCAAGUUAUGCACCUCUUCUGGUCUUGUGGGUUUGUUCGUGCUAGGUAACCUAAGCUGCUCACAUAAGGCCCCAAAAAAUAUAAGUUGGAAAUUGUAUCUAUGAGUACGAUUAUUCGGCUACCAAUGAACCAACUUCAGGGAGUUGAUAACUUUUUGUACUACACAGAAGCAAGAUGAAAACUAUGCUGAACAUGACUACAUUUGGAAUACUGGGGAAAAUGAGUAUAAGCAAAAUGCAAUAGACACGGCAACUAGUGAGUGACCUUAGACCUCCUCGUGUUCAGUGGCACAGGAUCCUUCUUCAGUGGUUUAUAUGCAAAAGUCUCCAGAUCGAUCACCGGUGGGGGUGGCAUGGGGUUACCAGCACCUUUCUGAUUACUUGUAACCUUGACAUGAAAAUGGAUAACAUAUUAAUUUGUUAGUUUUCUAUAUAUACUUCAUUAGCCUAGGAUGUCAGUGAUAUAGGCAUAUGACUGAGGGAUACAGGUCUGGAAAGGGAAGCUACAUACCUGUUCAUUCGAUGAUUCAUGCUUGAUAUCCAAACGAUCAGCGAACAAGAGCACCUUCGUUUGAAGAGGACAGUUAGAUUGAUGUGGGAAUAGUACUAAAUCACAAGAUGCAUCAAAAUGUGCAAAUUACCCUGUCCAAUGAAUGUAGAUUUGAAGCAUCGGUUGCAAGAACUCGCACUCCGAGUGGCAUGGCACAAGCAUUUUCACAAGGGCAGAAAGGGCAUGUUACUGGCUUGUACACACAUCCAUCCUUCUCAGACCAAACGCCAGAAUGGUGAGCAGAACCUUGGCCACGGAAUUUGGUAAGGGUCUCUUGGUUGAGUGAGGAUGCGUCACACACAAUAACAUUUACCAUAGCUGGUGGCGAUGCCAUAAGAUCAUCUUGUGCGAAGCCAACACUUGAUAGUCCAUGUCUCAAAAGAUAUGUCAAGUAAAAAUUCGAGGGUGAUGACAAUGAGCAUGAAACAAGAAAGCCAUCCUUCUGUAAUCCGAGUGGUGUUUUACAUCUGCUGCAAUAAAUAAGAAGCUUGUUCCGUGCGGAUUCUUUUGGUGAAAACUCAACUGGCUUGUGGCAUCUUUCAAGCUUAAAAUUUUCACAUCUGGACAUGUUCAUACUUUUACAACAUAGGCCACCAGUUCUCUUCAGAUCUUCAGGCACUGUGAUGCCAGCACAAUCAGAAUCGCCGAAAGAUUUCGUUGAAGGAUUGGAAUGCUCUGUGUCCAUGCAAUAGCUUAUUGGAGGGCUGAACCUUCUCUUUUUCUGGUACUGUGAGUUUACGCUUCUGUUCACUGAAGAAUAUUCAUGCUCCAAAGGAUAAUCUCUAUUAGAAGUUCUUUCAGGAGUACCCACUGAUGUGGACACACAAGAAUGGUUUCUGUUUGCUGUUGUUAGCGAAGUGGACACAUUUACAUUUACAGCCUGAUCUUCAUCAUUGUUCAUCACUGCUGAGAUAUUUACCUCAGAAUGAUUGCUGGGACUAGCAACAGGAGCCUCUGUAAAAGUUUCUUCCACAAGAGCAGGCUGUUGCAACCUGUGUUCUGAUGGAUUAAAGAUAGUUAAUGUUGAGCACCUGCAAACAAUAGCAAGGCUAAAUAAAAUGGAAACUGAAUUACAUUAGAAUACUCAAGAACAAACAUGCCUGAAUGCAGAUAGAUUACCAAGACUUAGAAUCAAACUUCUCCAAGUCAAUAACAUCUGUAUUGACUUCAUAAUCCCCCCCAAUGUCUGCUUCACCUUCCAAGUUAUACUGAAUUUUGUAAGAGGGAGGGAGUUGGCAUGCUGUUGAAAGACUUCUGGGUAUGGGAGAGCUUAACUUCUUUGCUAGAUCAGAAGAUUUAGAAGAGAUCUCCCAUGCUUCUGAUGAUGGUGACGCAUAAGACAUACCAAUUUUAUUAUGGUAUACUCCUGCCAAACCAUCUAUUUUUGGAACCUUCAAACUUCCACGUUCAGUCUUUACCUUCUGAUUACUUUGCAGUAUUGAUUGGUUUAAGAAAUUUGGUUCUGGCCAAGGCAGUUUUCUUUUAUCGUCGUGCUUUGGAAGUAUAUCAGCCUCCAACUUGACAUUAGGGGACAUCUCUCGACCUCUUAUCUUUAUAUGCUCCUGAAGAGACCAUCAUUUAUAUCAGAUAGUCCAUCCACAUUCAGAAAAUCAAAUGCAUAAUAAUAUCAGUACCUCAGCCUUUUGAAAAAACUUCUCCAAUCCAUCCAUCGUAUCCUGGAAGCUACCAUAAUGCUUAAUCGAGUUCUUAAGCCAUUUUGAAAUGUGUACAAGGUUUCUCUCUUCCUGAUACCGCUCAUCUGUACAAAUAACAUAGUGGUUAUAAGUAAUCCUAUAUCAAGAACAGCUUAUUGCAUCCAUUAGAAUACACAUCACACAAAUAUGAAAACUACAAGGACCAACUUUCUGGCUAAUCAUACCAAUCAAAAUUAUGCCUCCGUAGUCAAGCUUAUGCCGAAUACAUCGACCUAGAAAACGACAAUAGUAAUUAGCCAUUUUCAACCUUAAUCACAACAAAUGAUCUACAAGUAAAUCAACAGCUAAAGUAUCAUACCAGCAGCUUGAUUCAGAGCACGAAAUGCUUGAUGACAGUACCAGUCACUCCCACUUAACAGAUGCUUUGAUGAUUUGUAGGAAUCAUUAUAUCUUUUUUUCAGCUUUACUUGGACAUCAUUUCUGAUUCAUGAAUAAAACAUCAGAAUAAACAUGGCAAAAGAAAUUGGACUUAUGUCUAGAAGAAAAAGGGUACUUACAUAUUUGGAAAUGGAAUGCCAACAAUGACCUUAAAUCUUGGUCAAGGAAACUGAUGCGUAUCAAAAUCAUUAACUCUCAUGUUCUAAUAGAAUAGGUGUAGAUGUGUAGUGAAUAAACACUAAUACCAAUCAUGCUACAGGUUACUAGGGCAAAAGUUUGGCAAUAAAUUGUCUAUGUCAUAACAGCAUGCAAUGAUAAGGAGAAAAGUAAGGAUACAACAACUCUAGCGUUGUCAUCAGAGAAGUCAAUUCCUUCAGAUACCUGAAACAAAAAAUCAGCAACUGCAAAGCAUAAGCUAAUGACAGCUAGUAUAUGCACACAACACCAGAAUAAAUGUAUAGAAUUAGCACCUUCCCACGACAAACUGCAAGAAAAGCAGCUCCUCCUUUAGCAGAUUCCUGUGAUGAAUUCUUUCUCACUCGAUUCUUCACGAUUUGUUUUGCACCACCUCUGCCUUUCUUGAGGGGAGCCUUGCCAAGGAUUGCAUCAUAGUAUCCUUUCAGGAUGGGCUCAAGUUCCUCGGUACUUCCUCUGGGCUCUGAGACAAAAAAUAUCUUAAAUAAGAAACCUGCAGGAAAUUGAAAAUUUAAACAGUGGGCCUUUUAGAAUUCCGAAGCAAUGAUAAACUUACCAACAAACACGGGCUUAUUAGCAUGCAAUCGUGCCCAUUGGCCUGUCUGAGCCCAACGAACUUUCAUUUUAUCCAGCAACUUAUAGCUAGGAAAAAACACUAGAGCGCCACCUGGAACUAUUCUGCAUAUUUCUUCUAUUGAAGCUCCAAGCUCGUCCUAUAAAAAUGAGAACAUUUUAUUUUUGGAGAAAAUUAUUUAUGUCAGAAUAUGACAACAAAAUAAUGACAAGUUACCUGGAAAGAAUACACAUCUGCAGUUUUAUAGCUGGCAUUCAACGGAUAUUUUGUUGGCCCAGAUGAUAUUACACUUGCAAAAACCUGCAUCAGAGUGCCACAUAGGCUGAGAAAAACUGCAAACAAAGUGGUUAUUUGGCAUAAUUUGGUGAUAUUUCUAUGCAUGCAAGCUCCAUAUCAUAUCCAGGUCAUAAUUUAAUUAAGGUCAGAGGCUUAGAGCUCAUCAGGCCAAAGCUUUUGUAUGCUGUCUGGAUGGAUAGCAGGGCAGCUGUAUUUCAAGUAGUGAGAAAUGAAAAUCAGUUCAAAAACUUUAUAUACACUAUAGGAUUAACAAAAAGCUGGACACCUGACAGGACUAGCUUAACUAGAAUUCAAAUAGGUUGGAUAAGAGGCUGAGGAAUGCACAGUAAGUUCAAGCCAUAUCAGUUAACUAAAAAAAGUGCUUAGCUUUCAAAUAGUUUGAAUCGGUCAACUCUUUUUAAUCACAUAUUGUCUUGCCAUUUAUCAGUAUGCACACUUUUUAAGGAUUACCAAUAUGUAUCAAAGUAAAACAAUCCAUUGCCAGUCUCUAUCAGACAAAGCUUGGGAAUCUAUGGUAACAAUUUGAACUAGAAUUUUCUGUUCUACUAUUACGACCGAAAAUCUAUUUGCAGGAAAAGGGAACCACAUUCCACAUUUUUAUCAGCUUACGUUAUGUGGAACAAAAUUAGUCUUAAAGUAGGGAUAGGAGAGACUAGAAAUGGUUACACUUUACUCAACUUCAUACCCAAUAGUUGGUAAAAAUCCAUCACCAUUUGGCUAUGCAGUACUUUUUAGCACAGCCGACUUGCAAAACACACACCUGAGAAUCAGCAUCAAUUACGUGAGGAGCUUCCAUGCAAGCGUCAAACUGGACACCGAGUUCAGAUGCAAAGGAGCCCAUUGGAGAGAGUGUGCUGCAGAGAUACAAAGUUAAGAGAGAACUGUAUAUUAUCUGUUAAUCUGUUAUUCUAGAGAAACUUUGAUGGGCUAUUUUAGAAAACUUCAGAAGUGGAUAACCUAAUUAUUUUAGCUUGGAACAAUUAUGCGACAGUUGGUCAUGUGCCUACAAGGUGAUGAAAACCCUGUUAAAUAGAGCAUGUCUAUAAGGCUGAAAACCCUGUCCUCAGCGAAAUUCCAGUUGGCACAAAUCUAAAAUAUAUUCACUAUUUCCAUGAAGUCACUCUUCUACAUAUACUUAGUUUCUCUUCUAUGUUCUUUUUUUUUUCAAAUUAAUACAUUCCAUCUUAUCAGAUGUCAUAUGUGGAUCAUCAAAGCGAUAUGCUGUUACAGUAAAUAAAACCACUUUCCUAAAAUUUCGAGGGGAAGUAUGAACUUGGAAACUUACCCAGAUGUCAAAAUUACUGAAAGGGUUAGAUCUGAAAUGCCUUGAAAAACAACAGCAGGACUGAGGCACCACAAACUCAUCACAGAUCUCGAUCCUAUGACAGAACUGCCUGCAAAUGGUGUGAUUCAAAAGUUAUGCAAUCAAACUACAUGUUACAUGUUGGAAAAAGGGAAAAGGAUUGGAUCAGACUAUCCAGUAUCCACGACUUUAUAGUUAAUCAAGCAACCGGAUUCGUAAUUUGAAGAACAUCUUAAUCUUAUGUAUACUGUGCAAGAGCCAAUUGACUUCAAUGACAUCAAGAAAACGUUUUAGGGAGUAAGCAUUACUACCUUCUCUUUGAACAAAAUGCUGGAAAGCAAGUUGGUAAUCAUAAAAAUGGCACCCAUUCCCAGCAAAAAAAUGGCUCAAUGAGGAGAAUAGACCUGCAAAAAUUGUGCAGUGUCAUUAGGUUAUUACAUAUGCUGGGGAUUAAAGGGGAAAAUGUGUGGCUUACUGUCCAGUGUCAUAACACCACGACCAGUUAAGUAUUCUCCAUCUGACUCGGUAUCCGAAGCAGCCUUAACUGCCUAAUACAAGAAGGUGAUAGAAUCAAGGUCUAAGUGGAUAAUUUUGUCAGUCACAGGCCAAAGAAGAGAAAGAUUACAGACAAACUGUUACACAGCUACAUUAACUAGGUGAUAUACUCUAGCGUAACUGCCUAGUAAAACUUGAAGAAAGAAGCACCUUCGUCGCACACUCUUGCAAUAUUGGGAAGUAUGCAGGAGUAAUACCGGCCUUCUGGAGUUCCUUCAUAGCAUUUUCACCAGUCCAACUGAGGAUUACAAAAGGUUAAAUAAACUGAAUGCAAGACAAAUGUUUAUUCUCAUGCUUUGUUGCAAGCAUGUAGUUAUUCUGGUGAAUUUUACAACUGGAAGUUCAACAUGGAACUCAAUCUUAUUAUGGAUCGGAGGGAAUAAUAUAUUUAAAAAUACUCGCACAAGGUAGCAGGUCAAUGCACUGAAAAUAAAUAGAAAUAGACAUGUACUGCACAAUUUUAUGCAACCUUACGUUAUAUAUUUCAUAAGAGAUUCUGUGGUCCUUGAAAACAUUCUACACAGUCUAAUGACAGGCAACAAAUGUCUGAGAUGCAGUAGUACGUAAUGUUAUUCCACGUGCACAUGAAGUACGUAUUAUUUGUACUAACACUGAAACAUGGUACACAAAUUUCAGAGUAUGGGUAGCUUACUGGUGCAUAUUUAUUCCUAAAUGACUGAAACAUGAUAUACAGAAAUCCUAAAUGACACUGCUUGGCGUGUUCGAGAAAAAAAAGUUUGGUUUGAACAUGGAGAUGGAGAGGAGAAAGAUUAUAACAAUGACAGUGGGAUUAUUUGCAACUUAUUCAAUUUGGGGAUGCUAAAGCUGGGGCCGAUUCAGAGAAAAUAAAAAGAAUCACGAUGCCAAUCUCCCCCCUAAUAAAUUGUGGUACCAGUACCUCAUGAUACUUCUCCCCAUAAAACCGCUCAUAUUUCAAUGAGCUAUGCAGAUCUUUCAGGGGUACGAAGAUGAGAUGGCAAAAACUAGGUAGAUAAAGAUAAAAACAGGUAAGAAACAAUACAGGAUUCCAUAGUACAUACAAUGAAGCAGGAUGUUCAAACUCGUUAUCUCGUAGAUUGCCCACCUGAUCAGUAAUCCAAUUGAUAAGCCCCUGCAUAAUUACUAACAGCUUAAUCCCUGAGACCAAUAUUGCUACCAAAUGUGUAUUCUUCCCUUAUUAAGGAGGAACAGUAGGAUUACAAACUCUUCUCAUUAAAGUACCUCAAUGACCUCAUGCAAGGGUUGGUAUAUCUUUGCAACAGCCUCGUUAGUGGCCAAGUUUGCUAGUUCUCCCGCCAAAGCUUGACCACAGAAAUAAAUAAAUUUAGCUCAGCACAAUUUAACAGAACAAUGCGUUAAGCUCUAAUGGAACAGUGACGAUUGCCUUACUGGUAAGUGAUUCUUCAUCAACAUCAACACUUCCAGCAUCACGUGCUAUAUCUUCUAUGUUGCUGCAAGACAAGUAUUUGAAUAAACACAGGCUGGAAUUCACCGCUUUGUUACUACAACUGCUCUAAAGAGAAAAUAUCAGAUUUGAUAAUUGGUUGAAAAGGUACCACAAGAAACUAGUUUAACAAAGGAAACCAUGGAAGUACAUCAAUCAUGUCAAGAAGGAAAUGAUUGACUGAAAAAGAAACACAAGUCUGGACUUACUGUGCUUCAUCAAGAAUAACAAUUGAGCCACUGAUAUCAAUGUCCAUUGCUCUUCUGACAAUUGGACUAAUUAGGUAGUUGUAUGGACAGAAAACCAGUUGAGCUGUUUCUGCCAUGGUUUGUGCAGCAAAAUAUGGACACCCUGCAGAUAGCAAAAAAGGGGGUAGUUGAACAGAUGUCAAACAUUCAGCGGUGACAUCAUGCACUCCUCAGGAUUCAGAAUUAAAUCCUUUUAACCAAAGAGAUGAACAGACCCUUGACUUGUCGUCCAACUCUAAGAAGAUCCUCAAUAUCGUGAACUUCGUAGCAGCCACCCUUCUGAAGGGAUGGAUGACGACUUAGUUUCUGUGCAUUCCUGCCAAUACAGUUUUCUCAUUGCGUUACUGUCUGUGUGGGGAAGGGGGCGGAGAGGUUCUCCAGGUUAAAUACGUUUUGCCAUGAAAGAAACUAGAAAAUCUCACUUGAAUUCUGGGCAUCCUUGAACCUUGUCAUCCAAGAGCAACUUGCUGAUGAAGGAUAGCACGAUUCAUUAAAUGAUUAGAAAAUGAAUAAUGCAAAAGAUUGGAAAAGUAAUGUCUCUUAUAUGUUACCAUUGCUCAUCAAUGUUGUCACUCAUGCAUACAUUCUUAUUGACACAAUAGUGCUUCCUCGAAGCCUGCAUUGCAUGAUUACUGUACUUGUCAAACAAAAUGCAGUUUAACUUCAGAAUGUGAGAACAAGUUGACCCUAGGAGUGGAACUACAACAACAACCAGUGAUGCAUGAUGAUUGAAUAGCUGUCUUGGCGUCAUUUGUGCCACUGCUACUUAACUUUGGUUGGAUAAUGUAGUUCUUUUAAAGAUGGCAAGAAGUAUACUGAGAUGGAAACACUAGUUACCAAGACGGCCAUGCGCACUCGGUACGAUGUCUUGCGGAGCUCCCGGACCACCUGGGUGAUCUGCGAGUGCGUCCUCCUGCAGAAAAGCAACCGACCAAGAAAUCAAUCAAGAUUCUCAACGGCUCAAGUCAGAGGAGCACAAAUCUUACGUCGCGUAAUAGAUGGUCGGAGCAUUCUUCUUCUUGGCCGCCUUUUCUGGGACGCCUAAACAUCAAGAAUGGCAACUGGGAAAUGAGCGAUAAAGAAGAGCAGAUCGUUCUUGAUCCAAGAAUUGAUGGCAAGAGAAAGAAAGGGGGAAGGUGCGAGCGUAGCGUACCCGGAGUCGCCUGCUGCUGCUGGGUGUCGUCGGGGACGAAUCCGCCGCCGUGGAGGAAGGGGUCGGCAGCGGGCGGGGCCGGGGGCGCACGGAGCGGGUAGUGGCGCUGCCAAGCGAGCGCAGAGCAGAGGAGGGAGAGCGACUUUCCGGUGCCGGUGGGCGACUCGAGGAGCGCGUGCGAGCGGCCCUGCCGCCGGGCGCGGUCCAGCGUAGCGAUAACCCGGCCCAUGAAGGCCAGCUGCGUCCCGUACGGCUUGUAGGGGAACUCCACCGGCACGCCACCGACCUGGUACACGCCGCCUCCGAGACGCGCGGGUGCGGGCGAGGGCGCCGGGGUGGCGAAGUCGUCGGCGGCGGCGGCCAUCGCGUCGGCUCCCAUUGGUAGCGGGCGCACGACUCGUGUUUGUGGUUUUGCCCGUGAAGGGGAGAAAGGGAAAUGUUUUUUUUAGACAGAGAGAGAGAAAGGGGGGAAAGUCCGAAAGGGGUUUGGGCGCGAGGAUUUUGGACGCCGCGCGCCAUCCUAAAUAUUUCGACUCGCGACAGAGGUCCGCUUCCUGGGCGGACCAUUGUUUGGGCCCAUCAGCCCAUCUUGAGUUGGAAGGCUGAGGUUUUACGUUUGCUUUAUGCCGUACAAUUUUAAACUGAUUUAUCAAAAUACUCUUCGAGGUAAACUAAAUCAAGCGUGCCGUCGUCUCACAUAGGCACUAGCAAAAUAGCUUUCGAGCAAUGCCAAGAAGAAGAAAAUGUCAAAUGAAAUGAAAUCAGGUCAACCUAAAGGUUUCAAUCAACCGCAACACCAAACAUAUCCGAUAUCCCUGCUAAGGCUUAGUUGGCGGUUGCUACAACCCUCGGUGCAAAACAUGAACACAAACCAUCUAAAAAAAUGAAUACAAAAGAUAAACUUAUUUUAUAAUCCUCUGGAAAAAUAAACACGCAAAAAAUGAAAAUUUGGUUAACCAAAUAAUAAAGGGUGGAGCAAAAACAUUAUUGUGUUAGUCCGCCACAAUACCAAAUGCAGCCUAAAGUGCAUGGCUUCACCAGAGCCAUAGAAGAAAUUUUCUAUAGGCCAGCAAAGCUAUUAGAUUUUUUCUAUUAAUCCCUCUGCUAGUCUGCUGACCUGGUUAAACCAAGGCGCAUGUUCGUAUUUACAUGAAAAUAAUUGGUUUUCGACAAUCAGAAAACGAAUGGCUACUGUACAGUGUCUAUCACUUCCUACAGAUCACAUUUCGUAGGGCUAUUCGACCUCAUCUUCCUGCUAGCUAGUGGCUACAUCCUACAGGCCGCCACGGCGUAGCCUCCUCAGCUGUUUAAGGCGAGUCUGGGCGCGCUCAAGGCAGGGUCCGUGGUGCGACAGGCCAUGCCAGGGCUCCGUCUGACUCCUCCCGUUCAGCGUCCCAAGCCUCGCGAGCUCGUCGCGGAGGGAUGCAACGUUCACGAUGGGCACUGUGGUCGGACGCCCAUGUGCACACUGCAAGAAACGGAAUGUUCUCGUUUCAUUUACUUUGCAAAACCACAUAGCGGCGACGGAAACAAGGAGUGGGGAUUCUACUGUCUUAUUUUGUUACCUGGAAGCACAGAGAUGUUGCUUUCAGUUCUUCGAUGAUCAGACAGCACUCGGACGGUAGCAAGGGAUCGCCAAACAUAAUUGCUCCUACAAUAGUAAACCAAAGGUGGAACAUCAGCAUCUUGAUUUGGAUCAGAAACGGAACUUACAGAUUGCACAAAAUGCUCGAGGAAAAAGAAUCGCAUUAUGAUUUAAUAGAGGAAAGGAAGAAAUGGUUACCUCUGCAAGCUUUGAAAUUAAGAAUACGGAGAACUGCUGGGGGAAUAGUUGAUGACCCAUCACUCUCAUCGAGCUACAGAGAAUAGCAACAGGUAUGGAACAGAAGGACAGUGAAGUAGCUCAGUAGCUGUAACAGAAACACAACUGCACAUCUGCAUAUUUUGCUAGGCAAAUUGUUAAGUAGACAAGGCAGUCAUAUUCUCCAUCAUUUCAUUACGAAUGACAAGUUGACAAUUUUAUUGCUCUCACUCAUGCUAGUUCCAUACACGUUAUUCUUUAUCUUCCUGGCUGCAUUUUCUUACACAAGAGUAAGACUAGUGUGUCAUGAAAAGCAUUAUAUCUUCAAACAAUUUGACUUCAAAUGAACGAGAAGAACUUAAAAGGAAGUGGAGCAGGAUCAAUCACCUGCUGAAUAAAGUCCAUAAGAUCUUUUCCUGUUAAAUCGACGCCCAAAAUACAUGGAACCUGUGUAGUGUAGAUAAUGUUUAGUGCACGAGAAUACUUGAUGCAGUUUCAUCUGAUAAGAUUUCACCAGAUACCUUUGACACCAUUUGGGGAAAUAAUUGCAUGGAAAACUAAAGACAAACUCAACAAUUGCACUUCUAAGAGGCACUAAGAUAAAAGUGUGCACAGUGUUAACGUAAGGCUCGAGAGCUACCAAUAGCACAACACACAAAAGUUAUUGUCAACUACCAAACUCAGGAAGAGCAGUUACUUCUGAAAAGACAUGGUGAUAUUGAUAUCAUAUACUCCGUAGAAGAUAUGGCCUGAAGAUUACAAGGAAAUAGUAUUUAUUAUGUGUGAAACUUGUCUGUAAUUCUCUUGCAACUUCCAAGAAACCUGCGCUUUGCUUUUCUUUCCAUUUUAACAGUAAUUAAUCCAUGCAUAACUUUAUGGACAUCAAAGAUCAAACCAACAUUGGGUUUCAUGGCAUAACCAUUUACCAAAGAAAUAAUAGGUAGCCAGAAAUAGUACAAACCAAUAGGCCUCCUCAUCCAGUGGAUAGAUUGAAGUAAAAGAUAUACGGGCAGCAAUACUACAAACAUGUUGAAUAAAUAUUGAUGACAGAAAAGGGGCAUACAGCAGUAAGAGCAACUAGACGGGCUUGUCUCCUCAGAAUGUUCAUGUUCCUGAGAAGAAGAAAAACGUAAGUGGUAUAUGUUAGUAUAUAUCCCUCCGAUUCAUAAUAACUGUCGGGGAUUUGGUACAAAUUUGUACCAACUUUGUACUAAAUCCUCGACACUUAUUAUAGAUCGGAGGGAGUACAAAGAAGAUGAUCAGAUGAACAUAUUUUGGUCCUUCUGAUUAUGAUCAACUGAAGCAUACGGACAAUGCUAACUAAAUUACAAAUCUAAACAGAACUAUAAGUCAAGUCUCAGAUUGUUAAAAAUAAGAAAGGGGAGGGAACACUAAUUACAUCAGGGAAUAUAAUAACUAAAAUGAACGCAAGGAGAAACAUGUGCAAGAAAACCUCAUGAAAAUUGCAUAAAAGGUUAAGCAGGCCAAAAAAAGCAGGCCAGAUGAUAAUCAAGCACAUACUUUUUGAAUGAUUGAGAAGAACUGCUAGAACCGUUGAUGAUCCAGCCCCAUUUCUGAAUCUGCUCACUGUACUUCUGGAACAAUUGAAAUCCAGUCUCAGGGAGAGCCUGACACCAUGAGGAGAAUAAAAUAGCAAACAGUAAAUCAUAGUGAUGUUUCCAUAUUUUACAGUAAGACAAUGCCUCGGAUGCCAACUUAUAAAAGAUGAAGUACCAUAUCCUCCUCUGAGUCCAAGUAAGUGAUUCCUCGGUCUUCAUCUGAUAAAACCUGAAAAUCCAAAGGAUAUUAGUACGUAAGAUGAAAAAACAGUGUUAAAGAGAUCUUCCCUGGUAAGUUUAACACUAAAAACCUUGCCACGAAGCUCCUCCAAGCGUAUCCUUUCAUCAGCUGCAUGCUGUACACAAGUAAAAGAGGACAUCACUAGCUAAAACCUUUCAGAAAAGACUUUCUAUCACCAUACAUCUAUUGUCUACUUUUGAAAGUACAUGAACAUAAGAAAUGCAUGAUACACAAUCCAAUACACAAAAUAUAAUCCAAAUACUUUCUAGUAUCGGGCAUAUAUCCCCAAAAAAACUGUGAUCAAGCAUGAUAAACAUCUCCUAUAGGUGGUUGAGUCUAAAACCGUGACUGUGAAAUAGAAUAUCCAGUUCAUGGACUUCAUGAUUUGAUCACUCAAAAUGCACCAAUCAACAUGAUUAGUUCCAAUUCCAUGAAUGAUUGACAUUAAAUAAACAAUAUAUAUACAAACUGUUAAAAAUUCAUUAAUCAAAUAACCAAUUACGAACCUGAUCAACAAGUAGCAGCAUCUCCCCAGAUAUGACAGGAAUAAAUUUCUUAUCUAGCUGAAACAGAACUCUUGCCUCCUCAAAGCACUUUUUAUCAAUAUAUUCUGGAACUAGCGAGCUACAAGAGAGAUUUAAGGGCCCGGAAGAAAUGCUAAGUACGUCGUUGAAGCAUUCAGAAGGAACAUGUGGCAACUUCAAAGCCUACACAAGGAGAUAAGCGGUAAGCAUAGAAAGCAUGCACAGUAACUAGGCCAUAUUGUGAAGUCCAUGAAUGUGAGCAUCUCAAAUUUUUAAUGCAUGCUCAACUGUAUGCUGGUCCGAGUCAUCUCGCCAUUUAGUUAUUUGCGCAGUAGAGUUUUCAAGCCCAUCAGAAUAUGUCUCUUCACACAUUUUCACAUUUCCUUUCAAGCUGGCUCAAAUGAGAGAAGUGCUUAGAAACAGGCCCAGAAAGACUUUUGCAGCAUUAAACAGAUGCGGCAAGAGCAGAAUACCUGAGAUUUAGGGCAGAAAAAUCACUGCUACUAGUCUCAGGAAUAGGCUGGGUUGCACUCAUUUGUGAGAUAUCCUCGGGUGCAGGUGUGGCAUCUGCAUUUAAUUAUAAGAAUACGAACUUAGAUCCAACAAUGGAAUAUAAACGGGAUGGAAAAGAUUAUGAGCAGAAGAACCUUCUUUGUCAUUAAUCGGGAUAGCUUUAUCAUGUUCUGCUGUCAAUUUGGUCAGAUGCUCAUUCAAUCCAGGAAAUUUUCGUUUGCCUCUGUAAAAUGGUGGAGCAGAAUGACUCCUAGAUCUACUACCCUUGGAAAGCCUGGAUCUCCAACCAAAUCCAAAAUUUUGUUGACACAGUUGAUCUUCAAUAAGCGCACUGUCUUUUGCCAUUUGGGGAGAAGAAACAUUCAACUGGCAACCAGAAGUACUUUUCUCGGGAGAAAUAUUGUAUGAUAAUGUUGCAUCAAAUUUUGAUUUCCAGGGUACCUGACAAUCUUCAGAAACAAACUGGCCGACAAAACAAUUAUCAUGAUUGAAGUAAUUAAGCGACUGAGUUUCUUCAUCAAAGUUAUUAAAAUGUUUAGGUCCUUCACUUGUUCUUCGUGAAUCACUGAUAUAUCUUUCCAAAGAAGAUUGAAAAUCACUGUCAAUAUUUUCAGAACUCCAAUAAGCAAAGCUCUUAUUUGAUUCCCCGUGCAAUUCCAAGUCAGUCCUUGCAUGACUGUGACUAUGAGGUGUAUCAGCCAAUGAAAAUGGAUGAGAGAAAUGGAAGUAUGUAUCUUCGAUGGAGGACCUAUCAAUGUCGUCACUUCCCCACCUUGCUUGUAUUUCAGGGAAGUUUAUAUGGGCAACUGUAUUAGCCUCAAGGUCUUCAACAUAUCCCACUGCAUUCCCUAACUUCUUUCUUGCGCUGCACCUUUUCAGGACACUAGAGGUGCUACGAUCUUCAUGAUAGAAUCCAUCACUGGAAUGCGACAUUUCAGGGCAAGAAACAUCAGCUAUUGUCUUCGUAACGUCAUUGAGUAGGCAAUCCUCAUUUAGUUUACAAAAUUCAGCAUAGAACCCAUCAAAGACAGACAUGUUUGCCUUUAUAUUGGUUUCGUUUUGCAUAAAAUCACAGGUAAUUCUGUUUGGUGUACUGAGAACCCCAAAGCAAGGGUCUUGGAGAUCAAUUUCUGGACCAAUUAUCUCAGACUCUUGAUCAUCAGCUGAAAGGCCUAUUGUUUGUACAUCUUUGGACUUGACAAAAUUACAGGAAUAUUCAUGCCCAUGGAAUAUACCUUCCACUCGUCGCUUUUUCCAAACAGUUGGGUUAGCACAUGAAAGAUCACAGUCUUCUAACUGGGAAGAACCACCCUUUAACCACUGAUGACUGAUGCUUUCAGGAACACGUGCUUGUGUAUGCCCAAAUAUCUGAUCAUUACUAUCAACAUUGUCAGAGUGUUUGGAUGCACCGAUGAUCUGGUCAGGGUAGCAGACAUGCCAUGAGGAUGGCUUCAUAUCGAAAGAAAAGGAAUGUGAGUCUUUAGGUCCUGUUGCUGCAUCCAUACAAACAUUGCUUUCUCUGACCACACUCUUCUGCAGAGAGCGUUUGUGUAAGUCAACAUCGUCUUCCUUGUUCUGCACAUUCUGAUGCCUUAGGAGGCUCCCAUUGGACUUCCCUGCAAUGACAACACAUGAACAAAGCUCACAACGAAAAAAAUUCAAAAUAGAACCAAAGAAGUGAAAUAUGUUCACCAAGUCACUAACCAUCACAUUUCAGAGGCACAGAGGUAUCAAUCGCUUUGCCUGCCAAUACGAAAGGAUAACAUAAAACAUUCAUUCAUACCGGUCAGUUCUUCUCUUCAGUUACUAUAUAAAUGCUCGUGUGUUCCUACAGAAGUGAUUAUUUGUCCCAUGAGUGGUUUAAGUGCUUGUGCCAUCAUAAUCCCUAACCUUUUGUUUCUAUUAAAAAAAAUCUCAAAACACACAUCAAUCAAAUCAACUAAUCAGAAGAUUGUGACACAUAUGUCUACUACAUAGAAUGGAUGAAACAUUGUGGUACGCCCUCCAGCCUUUUAUAGUGGGUGUGCACCGCAUUUCGAGAUUCAACUUUGACCACUAAUUAGACCAAUAAUAUGUAGUUUAUGUGUCACAAAAAUUAUACCAUUGUGUUUGUAUUCAAAAGAGUUUUCGAUGGUGUAAUUUUAUGCCACAUAGCUCACAUAUUACUGGUGUAAUUGGUGGUCAAAGUAAAAUUUUGAAAUGUGUUCGCGCUCACUAUAAAGGGACUGAGGGAGUAAUCUUUUAGCAACCUAAGUGGCAAUCUUGCUGAGGGAGAAAAGACUACCAUCAACUAAAAUCUUUAUAAGAAUAAAGAAAGGAUUUAGCUUUUUCGAGACAAUAUAAGGCAAAUAAAGAUCUCAGUCUCUACCUUUGGAUGGUUGUGGUACAUGCUUCUUCCAGUAGUUUAUGAUAGUAUCUUCAAAGAUAAACAAUAUACUUUGCCAGUCCUGAAUAGUGAGAAAAGAAGAGGGAAAUAUAAAAAAACGCAAUAGCUGCAAACGGAAAAACAUAAAAAGACAUUAACAUCUUAUUUCCGGAAGGCUCAAGUCACCUUUAUUAAGUGCUCGUUCUUUUUCUAAUGAAAACUAAGUAUGAGUCCAGGCAAAUGAAGCUUUAUUAGAAAAAAGAAAAAAGGGGACUCAAAAGCAUACAUAUACGUCUAAUCACCUUGAACUCCACAACAGUUUUUGAAGGCUCAUAAUAUAGAUCGUAGCUAGAUCUAGGGCAGAAGAAGUUUAGCAGAUAUGCAGGGUAGACAUCAGUCUUCUGCCUCUUCCGGCUCUGAACAUCGUUUUCUCCAUUCGUCCUUAUCAUGGAAGACUGGAAAGUAGCUGCCAGAUUAUUCAGAAUAUUAUGUAUUGGGCUUCUACUGACGAAUCUUGAGUUGACAUCUUUGAGAAGUCAAGGAUGUCACCAACUCCAAGCAUUUGAAAAAGUUUGAAAAAUGCUAAAUAGAAGUAGAUAACAAAGAACUGUCAAGUAGGAUACACAAGUACUGGAAAUCCUGAAAUGGAGAGGUGCACUUUGCUUUAGAUGGUUUGUCAAAUUUCUGUUUCAAUUGCUUGGAAUACACAGAACUGGCAUUACCUUAUUAGAGAAGACAUCGGUUGGUCCAGAUAUGUGCCCUGAAAGAGCCCAGUUCUGAUCUGAGGUAGAUAUUUCAUGAAGACAACUGGAAACAUCAUUCCCAAAACUGUUUGAUAUAAGAGGCAAAGAGGAUGAUGAAGGAACUGUACAUAGCAACUCAUCUUCGCUGCAUUUAUAGAAAAACAUUCAGAUUACAAAUACAUAAGUAAAUUUAAGAUGCCUGGCAUAGGACAGUGGACUACCUCUACCUGUCAAUGUCAAGAAGUCUGAAUGAAAUCUGUGGAUGAAUAAGUGCAACUCGCAGGACACACUUCUUCACAUUCUGCAGUUCUCUUUUAUGACUAACAAAUAUAAUAUUGAGAAAAAUAUUAAUCAAAUCUUCUUUUGAACAAAACUGUGAAACAAAAGAAAUCUAUCUUAUCCUUCAUAAUAAAAGAAAGAUCACAUGUACCUAGAUUGCAUUUGUUUUCUCCUGACUGGUUGGUUGUAAAAAAGCUCCCGAACAACAACUACAAAGAUAGAAGUGUUCUGAUAAGUAGCUUUCCAAAACAAAAAUAUAGUACACAUGAUUAGUGUCCAAUGCCAUCAUCUCAUUCUUCACAUGCAUCAGGUACAUCUAGUGCGCUUGCUUGGUGAACAUGUGUUGCAUACAUAACACCCGCUCUGCUUUGUUUCAAGGAGAAAUACCCAACUACCUGUUGUGCCAACAGCUUCCCUCUGGUCAUCUAUUCCCAGAUGCGAGCAUUUGGAUCCCUGUGCAGUUGCCACAAGACAUUCAGAUAUGCUAUACAAGGAUAGAUAAAGGAUAUGCACAUUGCACAGCAAUAAAUCGGUAUAGCGAGUGAGUGUUGCCUUUAUUAUCUUGCAGUAUGAAUUUGGUCUCCCACGAGAUUUCGUCCUGACUUCAACCACAGAGAUAUCAGAGAGUGAUGCGAGUGCCUCUCCAUUUAAUCCAAAACUUCUAGAAGCAGAUUCCCCAUCACCCAUGGAAUCAUGGAACUUGGAUGUUGCUGUGGCAGAAGGGAGUUAUACAUCAUUAGCACGUUAAAAGACACUGGAUAUCAUUGAGUACACUCUUUUAAACUUAUACAUAUUUCAGCAGUGAGCCUACAAAAACUUGCACAUAUUUCAGCAGUAAACCUACACUCAAUGAGUGACAAAGAAAUCAUUGAUUCUGAGGGGUUCCUACUUACUAACAAUCAAAAGAACCCUAGAUUUGUUCAAUCCUAAAGAUGAUGAUAGAGCAUGAACUAAAUUGUAUUUUGUAUUGAACAAAGAAACAAGAUGCACAAUAAACAAAAUAGCAAAUUCGCCACCUAGAAGGUACUAAUGCAACUAACAUGUCAUGGCUCGUAGUGAUAUCUAUAUGAACUUAAUGAUGAUUUCAUAACUUUCCAUGCUCUUUUAAUGGAAAUAAAGCAUCCUUAGAAACAGACCCAAGAUCAUUAUGGGUCAUGAGUUUAUGGCUUUAUGCAAGUAACAAUCAGACACACGGGAUACAAUAAACACAUAUCCUUUCAAUAUCAAUCAUCGUUAUCGAGGCCAAAUAUCACAAGAAUGGAUGUCCUUUCCAGUAUUACUCUUUAAAUUUCAUCUGAUUUCAUGGACAAUACUAUUCUGAGGUCAGAAUAGUAUUUCAUGGUCUGAUUUCAAUAUCAAUCAUCGUCAUCGAGACCAAAUAUCACAUGAAAUCAGAGCAAUACUAUUCUCAGGUCCAUGAAAUCAGAUGAACAUCAAGGUCUGGUCCAUUUUGUGAGUGGCAAUAAUGCAAUUUAAGAUGAAGCAAACAGUACUACUGAGUGCAGGAAAAGGCAAGCUUAUAAAUAAGGAGAGCAGAACUUAUGACUUACCAUAUUUUUCUCCCAACAGAACCAAUUCAUCUCGAGUAAUACCACAACCUGCAAUAGAGACACAACUAACAUUUCCUUUCCUAAACACAAAUCCAAGUGAUAAGAAAUUUAAAACAUGAGGUAAGCACAUACCAUCAUCUUCCACUUUAACAUAACAUGAUCUGACAUUUAGUGAGAUGUCAAUCUGAAAUUAUUACAGUUGUAUAAAAAUGUCAAUUCAUCACCAUGGAGAUACUACAUGUAGAUUAUUUUAGCCUUUUGAAAGCAAUACCCAGUAUAGACAUUACAUUUGGAAUUGUGGAUUUUUUGCAUUUAUUCUAUUUUAAUGUAAAAGCCACGCCUAUUGACGACAGUACAUGUAGAUUAUUUUUCCAUUGUUACACGUGAAGGAAAUACCUUUUUCGCAUUUGCAUCAAUGCUAUUAUAUAUCAACUCCUCAACGACCCUAAGUAGGUCAGACAGAACAAUGCUUGAGCGCAAGGAGCUAUGAACACUUUUCGGCAAGCGUUUUAUAGUCUGCAUUGACAUGUUCUGGAGAAAAAACAGGUUAAGCUUAAAUCAGCCAACAUUCAGGAAUCAAACAUAUCCAAGCAAAAUAAAUAGGAAACGUCAGAAAUUUCUUCCAGAAAUAUACAAAAAAAACUUGCUAGUAGGUUGCUUGAUCAAGUGAUGAGUGAGUAGGGUAUGGUUAUAACCGGAAACUUGGUUUGUAAAUUUCCGUUUAUUUUGAAAUUUGGUUAUUAGCAAAUGCUAACCAAAAAUGGUAUCAGAAACCAAGGAACCGAAAAGUAGAUUAACUGACAAUUGGUUUGGUUUUUGGUUAAACAUCGAAUUUGAGGAUCACACCCUCUUACUGUCGUCACCGGCCGGGAAUGGAGCACCUGAUGGCCGUUGGGUCUGUCGGACUGGCGGCAGCUGAUGUCGUGGAGGGAAGCUGGUGGGCGCGGCCGCGUCGCGUGGAGGAGAGGUGCGUCGGCGCGUCGCGUGGAGCUGACAAGAGGCACGGCGGCGCGUGGAGUGGCGUGGAGGAGAGGCGCGUACGCUGCCAAUGGACAAGAGAGUCGACGCCGUCGGUCCGCGCCUCCGUGAGGACGUGGGGUGGAGGCGUAGAGGUAGACCAGUGAAGGCCUGGGUGGCUCGGUCCCCUGCAGGCUGCGGCGGCGCCGGCCGUGGCCCGCGGGAUAGAGACGUACAGGCCUAGAUGGAUGGGUGGCUCGGUCCCCUGUGGGAUGCGGCGGAGCCGACGGCUGGCGGCGGCGGCGAUAGGUCGGUUGGGAGUCGGAGUCGGGGACGAGGCCUCGGCACUUAGACGCGCUAGCGGGCCGAUGUUGUGUACUCAACUGUUAACUAGCAGUUCUUUUGGGCCUCGGGAGUAGUUUUUUUGGGCAUCUUUGGGCCAGGCAUCAUAUCGCGGUUUUCUCUGGUUAACCAGGUCUAAAACUCCCCUAAAAAAAAACAGGUCUAAAACUGAAAAUUCCCUUCAGCUUGAACACCAAAUGGCCAAUGCUGCCCGUGAAACCAAAACACACAUCCCCUUCUCUAUCCUUAUUUUUUUUAAACGGAGGCAAAGUUUGCCUCGUCUCAUUAAUUAAGAAGAAAUUUGUUGUCCGGUUAAUUAACGAAAAACCGAACAAAAACCGUUACAACACUUCUAAGAGCCAUCGUGCAUGACAGCCCUAAAAACACCACAAGCCCAUCUGGCUACCAAACGCACUCCACACGUGCUAUCGAGGAGAAGAUCGUCGUUGACUUUUUUCGCUGGCGUCAUCGUCAUCACACAUCACUCCUCAAGCUAGCAACUCUGACUUCACCGCAAAUGACCCCAAACGAAACCCUCGUCGCAACAGUCGCCUGAAGCCCACGCACCGAGAAAGGGCAAGCCUUGCGCCGGAGAUCGCCGCUCAACGAUCGCAUCAAUCGUGAGGCACCGUUGCCACCAUGCCGCAAGAGACACCCAGCGAACAGAAAGGGGGCAGGCGAGGGCGAUCGAACGAACAAAAGAAGAAGGGUCGGGUCGGGCCGGGCCAGGUCGACGGGCCUAGUCAGACUUCAGGGAGCCAACACGGGCAAUGCUGCGACGGCGGCUCCUCGCCUGAGUGGGUUCUAGCCCGGCAAGCCGUCGAUAGUGCACCUCAGCUGUGCGAGCUCCCGUCGGUGGGGAGGCGGCGAGGCGGUCGUGACGACGGGAGAAGCACACCAAUUUCAUGCAGCAGAUUAUGCGGAGCCGGAGGACGAUUUCGAUGGAAAGAGCACCUAUUUAGUGUCAAUGUGAAGUGGGGGCGUACGAUGAAAUGCUCAAGCAAUGUGGUGUAUGAAUUUGGUGUUCUUGGUUAGCUGCUGGAUCAUAAAGGGAUGUGUUGCGAGAAAAGGUUGCUUCAACUCUUAUCUUUCGCAUCCACUAGAAAAUACUUUUGAACAAUUUCCUAGCAAGGCAUGAACAUUUCACGAUUAAAGAAGACACGGCAUCUUAAUUCUAUGUUUCUUCAUUCCUGCCUUUUUAGAUUUCUACAUACAUGUGAAACAUAGUAAAUCUCAUAUCUCACUCUCAUCAGAUUUAAGUAUUCCACGGUGCAGCCCACGGGUCGAAUCACUGAUGAAUAGCAGCGGCAAGCAAGCCUCUACAGGCUAGCAGCACGCUGGUUCUGAACCCAUGAGGCAGCUUUCCAACCCAGAACCACCCCGAGAAGAAUUGAAACACACUGGACUGCGCUGUACUGCAUCCCACUUUCUCAAAUAGUAAAAGGGAAGGGGAAAAAAAGGCUGAUGGCCAGAUCACAUUACCAAACACCUUACACUUCCUAGUUCAUGCCAGCACAAAUAGGCAGAAUCAACAAUUCAUCAGCUCUGCACCCAAAUCACGCUACUCGCUACAUCAAAACACAGGAUGUUAUGAAGAAAUGCAACGUGACGAUGGUAACCCCACCAUCAUUGCUGCCACUACAAAUAAUUUGUCAAGCUGCGCCAGCAAUACUAGCUCUUGCAGCCCACGUAACACCAGAUAGGUGAACAAAGACCGAAGGCCAUGAUUCGUCGCAAGCGCCAGUCAAAAUGAGCACUCCGACAGAGCCAAAUCUAUAAGCUGUUAUCAGUCAGGCUUCCAGGUCACUGUAUUGUCGAAUCAGUUGAGCCAUGCGUGCUUCAGACACUCCGCGGCAGUGGGCCUAUUUUCUGGAGUAAAAUCUAGGAUCGGUCGAAGAAAGUCAGCAAACCCGUUGGCGUCCGUUUCAGUGAAAUUGUACCUCUCGACAAGUACACGUUCCAAAGGCCAGAACUUGAGCCUUCUGAUCCUCUUUAAAUCUCCAUGUCGGUCGAAGUAAACCUUGGAAUGGGUACCUGAGCUAGCAAUCUGAAAGAUAACAGCAAGAUUAGGGAGCACACUAGGGAGCAUGACAGAGAGAGCAGGAGAGAGUUUAUAAACCUUCUUAGGCAUCUUUCCAAGUGUUUCCAUCAUCAGAGCUAGGUGAUCCUACAAAGGGUUAAGCAAUUGAGAAGAUGAGUUGAAUGGUUGAUAAUAACACUUGCAUCAUUGCAUGGCAUCAGAGUAGACUUUGUAGCUAAGAAUAGACAUCUGAACUUGAUUUGUUAAUGAGUACUAUAAGUGUCACUAUGACAAACAAUCUUACAUAGGUAGACAUGGGAUUCACUUUAAAGGAAAAUCCACCAGGCAGAGUAACAAGCAUUUUAGCUGCCAUUAUUCAAUUUUCACUGGCUACAGAACAGUCUGUUGGUGUUGGUACAUUACCUUGUGCCAGUGUAUUACAUCUGGCAAGGAGAAACAGAACAGCUCAAUUUAGAGUUGCUUUUUAGUACACUGUAGAACCAGAACAGGGCACUUGAAUUUGAACCGUGUAUCACAUUAAGAUGCAAUUUCCUCUGUACAGCAGUCCUAUGAUAUCUGGUAACUGUACAUGAAAUGUUUCUAUAAAUUCAGUUUGGACUUUGCUGCAUCCAGGGAUGUCUGACCAAUCAACAUAACAACUGCUGGAAUUCUAAAAAACAGGUUGACGCCUGCAAUCUAGGCAUUACGAUGAAUAUACUAGCUUGAAUAAACGUCAGACAACCCAGGUACUAACAAAGGUAGUUAAAAAAUAUAUGAAAGAGCCUUCGUUAUCAAAGCUACUAGCAUAUGGAAAACAGUGCUGAAAAUAGAACAUGAAAUUCAUGUUUUUAUACCUCAUCUUCAUUGCAGCCCUGGCAAUUCUUAGGAGCAAACAGCAUGUCACCUGUGGCAAGCUCGAAUACCAUACAAGCGAACGACCACAUAUCGGCUGAAUAAGAGUACACAGAACCGAUGAUAACCUCAGGGGCUCUAUACUCCCUUGUCUGUAUCUCACCAGCAAGCCGCUGGUCAGCCCAGCAGGCAUUCCCGAAAUCGACAAUCUUGCACUUCAUACUAAUGCCAUCUAGACUUCUCUCCUUCUCCACCUCCGCCCCAACUCCACCGAGAGACACCCGCCUCAGUGAAAUCUUAGCCACGGCACGUCUCGCCCGUAUCUUAAGCAUCUUUUCACUGAAACUAGUCACCUUUCCACCAUAUUGGUUUCCCACAGGCCUUUCCAAGAUCGGGGUAAACCCGGAGCGCACUGGGUCCUUCGAUGGGUUUAUUGUCGACACAAGGAGGACAUUCUCUGGCUUCAAAUCCGUGUGGAUGAUGCCAAGCUCCCUGUGCAGGUAAUCAAGACCAACCAGCACUGACCGGCAAAUUUCCCUCACUCUGCUCAGCCCAAUGCCCUUGUUCCUGUUGUACCGUAUCAGCCGCAGCAAGCUGUCGCCAAGGAACUCGGUUACCAGACAAAUGUGCUGACCAUUUGGACCAGAAUGCUUGAAAUGGUCCAGCAAUUGCACAACGCACUUGGAAUUCGUCGGGUCACCCUUGGCUACCGCCGACAGUAACUCGAUCUCAUGGAGGGCCGCAUGCGCAUAAUCCCUCGCGCUCUUCUGUAUCUUGAGCGCCACAAACCUCUGCAGGUUUUACAAUGGCAGUAUCAAAUUAGCAAUUUGUACCGUAUAGAUUGCACAAUACAAAGUUCCAUUCUAGACGGAAAACAGGAAUCAGUUUUGUUCUCAGUUCACACAUAUCAAAAGAGAGACCAAAAACACGAGUUUUCUUCUCUACUUUACCAGUUUUGUAAUCUUGGGAUCAAAAUGAAGAGUUUGUUGAAAUAAAGGUCGGCGGAAAGCUCUACAGAAUCAAAUUUGAACAGAAAAAUGAUGCACAGAAGCUAGCAAUGGAACAGGGGUAAAAGCGACAAAGCGCCAUGUUUCGGAUUGCAGCAAGCUCCCAAACAAGUGAAACAACCUCCACCCAAGUUUGGAAAAUCCAAAAGCAACCGAAAAAAUCGAACAAAUCUCCAACGCCGCAGAAAGAACAAGCCAUGAAAACAAAGCACCAUGGAACAGGAAACAAUUAGCAAGACGCGGGAAGCAGGGAGAUGAGGGGCCGGAGAAGGGACGUGCCUUGAGGAGGGUGUCGUACGCGAGCCAGACGGUGGAGAAGUUGCCCCAGCCAAGCUUCCGCUGCGCGACGAACCUCCCGCCGGCGAACCGGUCCCCGGGCCGCGCGGCGUGGUACCCGCCCUUCCGGUACCCCUCGGGCCCCUCCUCCUCGUCCUCCCCAUCUGACCCGGACGAGUAGCCAUAGCCGCCGUUGCCGAACGCCGCCAUCGAUCGGUCCUCCUCCCUCCGGAUUCGAACUCUUUGCGGGGAGCGAGGGGGCAGGCGGCUAGGCUAGGCUGGGUUUGUAUGCCUUUGUUAAACGAGAGGAUUUUUCUGGUGACUUUGUUCGGUCGGGGAGAAAAGUGGCCAUUCCACCACCACCACCACCUGCUGCGGCGGAGUAGGAAUGGAUGGGAUGGCCGCCGGUCACGCGGUUAAAUUGCAUCAAUUGCUAUCGAAUGCUAAAUUACCGGAAUCUAUCACAUUAGCGCAAACCAAGGUUAAAUCACUUGUAGAAAUACUUUAUUUUUAAAACGCUGUGAAAUUUCUGACGUGUAUGACUAUGACGUCAAUCUUUUUUCUAAAAAUGACUCGCACUUCUUUGCAAGAUUGAAAAAUUAGACAUUGUGAUGUAAUUCAUGAUAUGGUAUUUUUUUUAAAUUGCUCGAAACGAGACAUGAAAACUAUAGUUGGACGACCUUGGGCUGAGAAGGAUUUUCGGCAAACUCUGCCUUAUGUUCUUUUGGUAAAUAUUGAAUUCCCCGCAAAAAAAGAGACACGACAAUAUAUCUGGAAAAUGGUUGUUAAGGAAAAACUUUACGUUGAUGCUAUUUUGAUAUAUAUUUUGUGUAAACAAGCCGGACAUCUUUAUCGUUUUGAUCCUAUCCUACACUUACUUUGGAUCAAGUUUAUAGCAAAAUAAUUGGUCAUAAAAGUAUGAUAACAUAUCUAAUUUUUUUAAAGGAAAAUCUUUAUUGGUGAUUAUGUGAUAUACGUCUCGUGUAAACGUCAUGUAAACAAGGCAUGAUGUUAGAACGACUCUUCAAGUUAUAAAAGAGUCAGGUUGCGUGCAUAAUAAUCUAAACCAGCCGAAAAGAUAUGUCAAAGGACGCAAGUGUCAAUCUUUACUCUUAUAAAAGAGUCAAUUGGUGGCGGCAGUCCGUCACAUCCUUUUGUUGUAAAUAAAAAAUCUUCUCACCUUUUCUAUUGUCAAAAGAAAACUUUUCCUCUUUUUCCAAUGCAAACAGUGAAACCUAUUUGUUCCGUUAUCAGUUGAUAACGGACCGCGGCUAUAAUUUCGGUCGAAUGGGAAAAACAAAAAUUAAAUCUAUUGCAAAAAGCUGACAUGUGGAUAAUGUUUGUCACCAAAAUUAAAAUUAAAUAGACAGUCUUUUGCAGUAGGUCACCAAAAGGCUCACAUGCUAUGAAUUAAAUAUGUAAUAGUGAUUUUAGUCUAACAGUGAGUAGUCUAAUUUAUUUUAUCCAUAGCAACGUAUGGGUAUUUAGCUAGUAAGUGAAAAGGGAGUGAAGAAGGAGGAUAGGCCGUUAGUCAUGAACAAGUAACAAAAUAUGACAGACGAAUCAACAUUGGGUCUAACCGAUGUUCUCUUGAAAUGUCACGAAAUGUUUUCACUGAAAAUGUGAUGUUUUGUAUGUUGUUGAGCGAUUUCUGUUACAACUCGUUUGGCAUCCAUUGUUUCAUUUCAUUUGAAAUGAAAUCCAGAAAAAGUAAUGACUCCUAGAGAGUAUUAAAAAAUCUGGCCAGUAUAAUGCUGCAAAAGCUUGCGAUAUGUUCACGGUUAUUGUAGCCGUUCAAGAAUUUCUUUUACACGUGCACGGGAGAUCUGCUCCAUAGCCGGUGGUCUUUGUUCGUGAGAUCUGCCCUAGUGACUAGUGAGGUCCUGGCCAAUUUUUUUACUCCGAUUGAAUUGGGAUCCUGUCUACCGACGUGACGGUUGGUCAUCGUCUCCUUGGGGAGCACCGGAGCAUGUGUCGUCAGUUGGUAGCUCCCUUUCUUUUCUGUCCGAACAAAAAUAUGCUAGCUGGUGCACUUGCAAAAGCCUGGAUGGGCUUGGCGACCUGCUGGGCUGCCAAAGUGGUGAAGCACGUGUGCACGCGCAGGGCUGCCGGCCACCAAGUCUCGUGGACAUCUAUAAAAAAGAGUUCGUUCGUUCCCGUACAAGAAAAGGAAAUUAUUAAAAGGACCUCGUCAUGGUCUCAUGGACUGCGUCGUCGUUGACGCACGCGGACGGCAUAGUUGCCGGCGCAGCGGCCAGCGCCGACAACAAGCUCAAGCUUAUCGAGUAGGCACCAAAUCCUCUCGGGUUAUGCUCUGCACUAUUCAAAUUCCUAGCUAUGUCACUCAGAUUUUUAUCGUCCGAAUGAGCCGAUAUUACUUCCCUCGUCUCCAUGCAUGAUCAUGUUAGGCUUUGUUAAGACAAUAAAUCUACCCAAAAUUUACUCCAUUAGCAUGUGAAGAUUAUUCACUAUCAUGUGCAAACUUUAAUAGGAGUAGUUAGGGAAUUAUUGUGAAAGUUGCACCCUAGCUUCACAAACUAAAUGAGCAUCAAAAUAAAUACCCAGUGGUCAUACCCAACCAAAGUACUCAUUAGAAAAUGUUCCCUCGACGCUAGUGCUGUAUAUUUUUGAAAAAAGCGGAAGGGGCAGCUAAUUUAUUUAUUUUGUGAGCGGAAGGGGCCGCUAAUAAAACGAACGUUCAUUGCGUAUGUACUAUUGGGUUUUAUCGUUCUUAGUAUUUUAUUCUCACGUAUUGGGCCAAGUAUAUAUCCCGUUCUUAACGUCCGAGCGUAGCUUCUCUCAGCUCGGUUAGGCUUGAUCAACCCGGUACUCAAACAAUUCAACCCGAGUCGGCUUGGUUAGAUUUCGGGCCGGAGUCAGUGUCAAUUCGGGCCAAAUAAAUCUAGCAGGCCGUCGGAAGCCCGCACAGCCCAGUAUCAGCAUCAGUUCGGGUCGAGCACCCUAACUAGCAGCUCCUUCGCGUCGCCGCCGGCCCGCCCGCCCGUGGCCGUGGCAUCCCACCGCGGGCGCGGGCGCCUGCAACUGUGCCGCUGCCCCAUGGCCCAUGCCCAUGCAUCUGUCAAGCCAUGGAGAAGGCGAGAAGCAGAAAUGAUGCUUCCCCUUGUCAGCACGCCUGACGUGCCAGACCCACUUGACAGAGGGCAAGAGACCAGACCGGUUCGGAGGCGUGAGCCGAACCGCAACUUUGCUGGACCCGAGUGGCUGCGCUCUGUCGCUGCAUCAACUACUUAAAGCGCUACCUGUGGCCUGAGAAGAUCAUCUAGUGGAUUACGGAACCGGACGAAAAGGCUUAGUUGUAGUUCAUACAAGUUGAUUGGCUAUUCUUCUUGCUAUCGUCACAGAGUUGGCUUGUAACUGAAUCGAUCUGACACCAUAUUCCUGAGCAAUCGAUCCCCAUCUUCCCCUCCCAACUCGGUACCUAACAUCUGGUAUCAAAGACCACCUACCACCCUUCUCCCUGGCGCCAUUCAUCGAGACGCGUCGUCUUCACCAGAUCCGCGAGCGUAUGGCGACCACGGAUCCUGGAUUUCAGGAGUUCUUCACCAAGCUGACGGACUCAAUCGAUGGGCCGCGCAAGGACAUGCGCGACACUUCAGCCACGGUCCGCUCUCAGUCAGCCAAACUCGACGACCUCAUCGCCUGGCGACCGGAGAUGGAGGCCCGUUUCACCAAGUUGGCUGAGGCGGUCACUGCGCUGCAGCACCAACGCAGCCCGGGUUAGCCGACUGCGGGUGAGGAGACCACGGCCGCGUUCAUUGCGAUGGCCACUACUGCUGCCACCGAUGGCUUCGGUGUCGGCAUGGGCGCGCAGGGUGCUCCCCACGGGCCUACAGGCCACGGCGUCGACACGACUACACGGGGUAUGGCCUCGGCGUUCGGCACGCCGAGCCAUUCCCCGGGCAACGGUCAGUUCAAUACCCCGUCCAUUAUGUUUGCUGGUUCCCCAUUUGCUUUUGCGAGUCAGAUUUUGGCUGGAUUGGGUCAGGCACAUCCGUCGAUCUGUUUUCCCCAAUUCUCUGGUGAAAAUCCCAAUCUUUGGACCACCCUUUGCGAGCAGUAUUUUCAAAUGUUUUCGAUCCAUGAGUCUUAUUGGGUUCCGAUGGCUUCGCUCAAUUUUUCUGGCUCUGCUUCGAUCUAGUUGCAAUCGAUUCGUAAGAAGCUAGCUACUGCUCUUAUUUGCACUCGAUUUGGUCGGGACAAGCAUCAGCUCUUGAUUCCUCAAUUUUACAUGAUUCGUCGGACUUCUUCUGUGGCUGAUUACAUUGAGCGAUUUGAAGAGAUUAUCAACCACUUGACUUCUUAUUGUGAUACAAUUCAUCCUUACUAUUAUCUUACUCGUUUUUUUGAGAGACUUAGGCCGGAUAUCCGGGCGAUUGUGCUGGUCCAGCGGCCGCCAGAUCUGAACACGGCAUGCUCGCUUGCCCUUCUGCAAGAGGAGGCGCUCUCCUACGACCACUUCGAGCACCCCGACCUCCGCCGUACCGACCACCACCACCAACUCGUCCUGCGGUGCCCUUACCACUUCCGGCGCCACCUGUGCGUCAGGGUGCACCGCUGGCGGCGCCAGCCCAGGAUCGGCGUGGCAUGGACGGCGCCCGUGCCGAUGCAUCCAAGGUCAAGGCACUGCGGGAAUAUCGUCGCGCUCGCGGGCUCUGCUUCAAAUGCGGCGAACCGUGGGGACAUGAUCAUGUGUGCCCCACCACUGUGCAGCUCCACGUGGUGGAGGAACUUCUUCAACUAUUUGGCAUCGACACUGUCUUGGAUACAGAUUCCGGCGAUCUCCAUGAAGCAUGGGAGGUCGUCUGUGUGAUUUCACGGCACGCCUUGGAAGGGCAUCCUUCCCCGCGUGCAGUUCAGUUGCAGGCAUGGAUUCAAGGGCGUGAAGUUCUCAUUUUGGUGGAUUCCGGUAGCACCGCAUCUUUCCUCAAUCAACGUUUGGCGUCUCAGUUGGAAGGAGUGCAGGCCAUGUCCAGAACUUGCCGUGUCAAAGUCGUUGACGGUGCUGAUCUCAUUUUCUCUCACAUGAUUCCUAAUUGCGCCUGGACAUCUCAGGGGAAUGAAUUCAGCAACGAUUUCAAGAUUUUAUCUUUGGGUGUGUAUGAUGCAAUUUUGGGAAUGGAUUGGUUGGAGCUUAUCAAUCCUUUGAUCGACUGGGUUGCCAAGCGUUUCUGCAUCCUGACGGACAGUGGGCCUAUCUAUCCGCAAGGUCACUUAUCUGCUUCAGCAACCAGCACUGUGAUCAACUCGUUACAGCUCAGUGGGUUAUGUCGUCAGGGAGCCUUGUCUCAUUUUGUGCACCUAUGUUUCGUUGCUUCCAUUUCGGAAGAAUCUGCACCUGUCCCAGCUUGUGUUCAGCACAUCUUAUCCCGGUUCAGUGACCUCUUUACUGAACCCACGGAGUUGCCGCCUCGCCGUGCUUGUGAUCAUCGGAUCCCUUUGAUGCCAGGAGCUCAGCCUGUUAAUAUCCGGCCAUAUCGACACAAGCCUGAAUUGAAGAAUGAAAUUGAACAACAGGUUGCAGAACUGCUUCGCUCCGGCAUCAUACAGCGCAGCUCCAGUCCUUUCUCAUCGCCGGCCAUUUUGGUUACGAAGAAGGACGGCACCUGGCGUUUGUGCAUUGAUUACCGACACCUCAACUCCAUGACAGUUAUCAGCAAGUUUCUUGUGCCCAUAAUCGAAGAACUUCUGGAUGAGCUAUCCGGUGCCAAGUGGUUCUCUAAACUUGAUUUAAGAGCAGGCUAUCAUCAGAUUCGUUUGGUCGAGGGUGAGGAGUUCAAGACAGCUUUCCAGACACACUCCGGACACUUUGAAUACAAGGUUAUGUCCUUCGGGCUUGCCGGCGCCCCUGCCACGUUCCUUGGCGCCAUGAACGCCACGCUGCAACCUUUACUCCGCAAAUGUGUUCUCGUCUUCUUCGACGACAUUUUGGUUUAUAGUCCUACCUUGGAGGCUCAUGCACAACACUUGCAGCAGGUGCUCCAGUUGCUUCGUCGAGAUCAGUGGAAAGUGAAGCAAUCAAAGUGUGCUUUCGGACAUCAGCAAUUGUCUUACCUCGGGCACAUUAUCAGUGGCAAAGGCGUUGCCACCGAACCUUCUAAAAUUCAAUCAUUCCAAGCUUGGCCAACCCCGUCUGAUGCUAAGGAGGUUCACAAGUUCCUCGGUUUAGCCGGCUACUAUCGCCGUUUCGUGCCACAGUUUGGCAUCAUCGCACGUCCCCUGUUCAACUUACUGAAGAAGGGCAACCCAUUCGUGUGGACUGCGGUGCAGGAUGAGGCAUUCCAAUUACUGAAGCACGGGCUCACUACAGCUCCAGUCCUUGCUCUGCCGAACUUUGCGAAGCCGCUCACUGUAACUACGGACGCCUGCGACACUGGAGUGGGUGCCAUUCUGCAGCAAGAUGGCCAUACAAUCGCUUACUUGAGUAAGGCUCUGAGCCCACGCUAUCGUGGCCUGUCCACAUACGAGAAGGAGUAUCUUGCCGUUCUCAUUGCCGUGGAGCAGUGGCGCCCGUACCUGAUCCAUUCGGAAUUUAUCAUUCAAACAUACCAGAAGAGCUUGGUUCAUUUGGAGGAACAACGCCUCACCACGCCAUGGCAGUAGAAGGCUUUCACCAAGCUCCUCGGCCUUCAAUACAAGAUUUGUUACAAGAAGGGAACCAACAACGGCGCUGCCGACGCUCUAUCUUGAGCCUCUCAUUCUGAACAGCUCCUGGCAAUUUCUUCGUGUCAACCAUCUUGGUUGGAGGAUAUUGUUUCCAGUUACGAUUCAAACCCACAGGCCCUGAAAUUACUUGAGCAACUGGCCGUUGUUCCUGAUGCCAAAGGUCGCUUCACCCUGGAACACGGCAUCUUGCGUUUCCGAGGGCGUAUAUGGCUGGGCGGCAGUACAUCGAUGCAGCAGCGCAUCAUCGCAGCAUUCCACGACAGCCCCAUGGGCGGGCACUCUGGAUUUCCCGUGACCUAUUGUCGUGUCCAGCGUUUGUUCACAUGGCCAAAGAUGAAGCACCAUGUCCAUCAGUAUGUCCGUUGCUGUCAAAUCUGUCAACAGGCUAAGCAGGAGCAUGUGGCCUACCCUGGCUUACUCGUUCCUCUCCCAGUUCCAAGCGAAUCGUGGGAGAUCAUCUCUAUGGAUUUUAUCGAGGGCCUCCCACAAUCAGGUCAGUUCAACUGUCUACUUGUGGUGGUUGACAAAUUUACUAAGUUUGCCCAUUUCUUGCCGCUGGCACAUCCCUAUACUGCCUCCAAAGUUGCUUUGCUAUAUAUGAACAACAUCUACAAGCUUCACGGCCUGCCCAGUUCCAUCAUUUCGGACAGGGACCCGUCUUCACUAGCCAUUUCUGGAGUGAACUGUGCAGGCACGCCGGCACGGCUCUCAACAUGAGCUCUGCUUACCAUCUGCAGAGUGAUGGUCAGACCGAACGAGUUAAUCAGUGCCUAGAGACUUAUUUGCGCUGCUUCACUCAUGCUUGCCCAAGACACUGGAGCUACUGGAUUCCACUGGCUCAAUUUUGGUACAACGCUUCUCAUCAUAGUACCAUUGGGAUGUCACCAUUCAAAACUAUGUACGGGCAUGAACCUCGCCAUUGGGGGAUUUCCUCGUCAAGUAUGGUUUCUGUUCCUGCUCUGCAUACUUGGCUGGAGGAACGGUCUGUUAUGCAACAACUAUUACAGCAACACCUCAAUCGAGCUCGUCAGCGCAUGAAGACCCAAGCUGACAAGAAGCGCACGCCUCAUUCUUUUGCUGUCGGCGAUCAGGUGUUUCUCAAACUGCAGCCCUAUGUUCAAUCUUCAGUGGCUACUCAUUCUCAUCACAAAUUGGCUUUUUGCUACUUCGGCCCGUAUCCAAUCGUGGAACAAAUCAACGAGGUGUCUUAUAAGCUGGAUCUUCCACCUGGCUCUUCGGUGCACCCCGUCUUCCAUGUAUCACAGCUCCGUCGCGCCCUCCUCUCAGGUACACAGGUCGAGUCAGAGCUUCCUUUCCAUACUGACAUUCCCGCUAUUCCUGUAUUGGUGCUCAAGACCUGUUGGCGCAAGUCCCACGGCGCCAUGGUGGAGCGAGUUCGUGUUCUCUGAUCCAAUCCAGCGGCUCUGGCGGACACUUGGGAGGACAAGCUCACCCUUCAAGCUCGUUCCCUGGAGCUGAGGCUUGGGGUCAAGCCUCUUCGCAAGGAGGAGGGGAUGUCAGCACCCCUGACAUGCUAGACCCACCUGACAGUGGGCAAGAGACCAGGCCGGUUUGGAGGCGUGAGCCGAACCGCAACUUUGCUGGACCUGAGUGGCUGCGCUCUGUCGCUGCAUCAACUACUUAAAGCGCUACCUGUGGCCUGAGAAGAUCAUCCAGUGGAUCACGGAACCGGGCGGAAAGGCUUAGUUGUAGUUCAUACAAGUUGCUUGGCUAUUCUUCUUGCUAUCGCCACAAAGUGCUUGUAACUGAAUCGAUCUGACACCAUAUUCCUGAGCAAUCGAUCCCCAUCUUCCCCUCCCAACUCGGUACCUAACACCCCUAAAAAAAAGCAGAAAAGGAUGCGAAGGAGAAGGAGCGGUCGUGCUGCUUCUGCUGCCUGCCUGAUGCUCUCGCUUGCGAUUUGUGUGUACUGCUACCAGAGCAGGGACGGAGCCAGGAGGCAGGGGCCCAGGACUAGAAGUCUAGAACUACUCGUAGAAGCGUAGAGAAAAUCCGGCAGACGUAGCAACACCAAAAAACCCGGCGGAAAAACGAUCCAUCGGGCGACCAGCGACGUGCGCUCUGCCGGCAAGGCGUAUCUUUUUCGGCCCAACUACCCAACAGUCGAAGGACAAAUAUGGCUUUUAUUCUGGCCCAACUAGACUGCCAUUUUUUGUUGCUGGACUUUGUAUACGCUAGCCCGAGGGGGGGGGGGGGGGCGAAAACGGCUUACGAAAUCGCCGCCAGUCUCCUGAAUCUAGCGGUGCCGUUACCUUUGCGUCAGACUUCGUUCACAUGUGAAUUGUGCGGGUGGAAUGGAUGGUCGAGCAAACACCGAGACAUGCCGGCACCGGUAGAAUGGACUUUCACUCCCUAACAUCUGCAGUGUUAAGCACAAUCUACUGAUGCUUUUGUGCUUGUGUGUGCAUGCCGGUGAGCUAGACCGAGCUGAGGGAAAGCUCGGUCCGAGCCAUCAACCUGAGACCGUCAACACCUCGAGUCGAUCGAACCAGGCCCCGUUUUCUAUUCAUCAAGCUAGCUUGGCUCGAGCCUGGCUUGGCCCAUGUAUGGUUCGUGUCUAGGGUUUAUAUGUCCUACAAAAUCCGGUGUGAUUGCGACAACAAAAGGUAAUCAUGUCAUAUUUUGCAGAUAAACCAUUGUUUGGUUUGCAAUCAUAUGUCUAGUUUAUAUUGCAAAUCUAUGUAUGGAAUUAAUGUAUGUCACCACAAUAAUGGUCUAGCAAGAAUUUAUGCAUGGAAAUUAAGCAACCUUAACCUCUGUUUUUUCGUGUUUUGCAUGCUUGUCGUUUUUGUUCAGCAAUUGUAUCCUCACUUGCCCUACCCAACCAGAAAUCUUUCCCACCCAAAAAGACACGUGGCUUGCCCGCCUCGCCCAAACAUGUACAAUCAUCACCACUGCCCCUAGCCGUGCCUCAAGACCCUAGAGUCACAAAUUCUUCUUCAGCGCUGGUGUCCCACACUCCCAGCCCUAACAAACAAAACUUGACCAAUAGUGUCGCCCCGCUGUCGCCACCACCACGUCUUGGCCGCUUCUGCUAUGAAUCUUACCUUUCAUCUUUGUUGCACCGCCAUUGCACGUCGUCGUCGCCCUGACACUUCUUGUCGACAUGGUUCCGCUCUAUACUUCCUCCUUUCUCGUCUCUACCAAAAGAAACUUAGGCAAUUGAAGACUAGAAAAUAUGUCCUUUUGCCGGUUUACAUAUUUUUCAGACUAAAAAUUUGAGUUCUCUCAAAAUGAAAUAACAACCCAUGCUUGAU